rnacentral:lncRNA from 1 species
AGUGCUACGCGCCUGCGAGCUCGCGCACAUACACAUAUACAUACAUACACACAUACAUACAUAUGCACACACACGUACACGCAGAAUCACACACACUCUCCUGGGACAUCAAAGCAUCAGCUCUCUGGACCUGGGAGCUCCAAGAUAGUCUAUCCGCAUCUAGGUGAGAGGGCACCUCGCCUGGGGACAGAUUACAAAAGCGUCCCGCCAGAGGAAUGCUUCAGGUAGAGCUAGGGGUGGAUUGCAAGAAGAGUACCUUCUUUCAAUCGCUUUUGCUAAACACACACCCUCACACGCAAAAACACGCCCUCCAAGGUGGAGUGAAACGGGGUGCGGGGGUGGGGACGGCGGUGGAAGGAAGAAGACUUUUAUUACUCAAUCUGGAAAGUGCAAAUACACACAUGAACCUGUUAGCCGAUGGGCCCACUCUGCAUGGGUGGUGGACGACGACCCUGGCUCAGGAUUCUGCAGGAAACAAGUGAUGAUAGAGGUGUCAUUAGGAACUUUAUGGAUAUUUAUGCGCCUCCCUUUCAUUGCCAUUUGGAAACUCCUCACGCAGAAGUCAAGGAAACUCCAAUCCCACUUAAACUUCAUUGCGGAGAAACAGAGUUCUGAAAAAAAAGCAGCUACCAUGGACCUCUCUUUUAAACGCAAGUACACCCACACACAUUCGGAUACCAAGGAAGGAAGGAAAGAAAGAAAGGAAAGAAAAGGGAGGGGAGGAAGGAAGAGCAAAGUCCUCUCUAAAAGUCUCAAUUAUAUAUAUAGCCUCUGAUUGUCACCUCUCCUCCGUCCCACCAUUUUUCGUACUUGUAUUGGGUGGCAGGGACACUUUUCAAGAGUUCUGUGUUCGAUUGUUCACUCUGAGUACCUCUCCACCAUCCUCCAGUCGUUGCCCUCAUUGGGAGAGAUGCUUGCUACUCUGCUAGUACCACGCCUUGGUUCCGGUCUUUACUGUUGGCUGGUAGGUCGGGAGGCACCUCUAGCAUGAGACAGUGUCUGGAAGCCAGGAUUUCCCUCAUCUAUAUGCGCCGGUCCCCAGCUCCCUGGUCGCCAGGGUUUCUCUCCAGUUGAAUUCCGUGUUCCUUCAGGUUGAACAGUAGCUUCAGCGGUUUUUCACGCUCAGAAAUGAUGAGGCCCAAUUCCAAUCUUCCCUCCCGCCGGAAGUAAGAAGGGGAAUUCUGAGUUGCUUGUCGCCUGACAGCUUAAAAUAGCAACGAAAACAGCCAGCAUCUUUGCUUAAAAACCCAAGGUUCCCGCCAGUGUUUACCAUACUUCCUCUAGAGUUUAAGAAGUUAAGAACUUCCGAGAUCUUGAAUUUCCUCUUUGCAGCACAGCGAACGGGAGUGUGGAACAGUCUUCUGUAAUGAGAAAGCCACAAGAAAAUCUUCAAGAGGAAAAUAUCCAUGGCUGUGGAUCAACUUCUGUGGCUCUGUUCCCCUUGUCUUCUCACACCAGAUUCCAGCCUCUUCAAGAAGUGGUCCUUAUUUGGGACAUCUAGCAAGACAGACCUGUCAGAAACACUUGAUGCCUUCUGAAGUUUUUCUUUUUCUUCUCAGAUGUUUCUAUACGCUAUAUUCCCUCACAUUCCAUUGGCUAAAGCUUGAAAUGUGGCCAGGCCCUAAAUCAAUGGGACAAUAAUGUAGUACCUCUUUAAGGAGGUCUCUAUAGGCCGCAUGUCAAUAAAUGAUUCAGGAUAAAGCCCUUACUAGAAAGAGAACAGAGCAAAAAUUGAGCGGCAAAAAUAAGAUCUACCGCUGGAAGGUGGUACUGAUCCCUCACACAAGUUAUGAAAAUGUGGUGGAUAAAUCAUUGAGAAACUAAUAUUCAGGAGAUAAAUCCACACUUUUUAAAGAGACAUGUAUCUGUCAUGAAUAAAAUCCAAAUGCUGACGAUGUCUUCAGGGUCCAAGAGGAUAGAGGAUUUAAGAAAAGAAUAAAUGUCAGGAAUACUUUUUUUCUGAAAAAGUCUAGAAAAUAAAAACAAAUGAAACAAUGAGAAUAAUACUGUUGUAAAAAGAAGGUAGUUAAUUAAUAUCUCUAAAAUUCUCAUAAGUGACAAUUCUUUUAUGGUAAAAUUUCCGUGAUCCGACGUCUGGCCACCAAAUUUACUGACUAAGGUACAUGAUUCUAUCAUCACUCCACAAAUGUUCCAUAUAUCAAAGGGCAGACAGGUAUUAUUAAACCCAUGAAGCAAAGAGCAUGUUUUAUUCAUCUCAGGAUGGAGAUAGUUCUGCCAGAUGUCUAAGUGUAUUUGAAGGCUGAUGGCCAAAGCUCUCUUUCCAUAAAAAAGUGGUGAACUAGCAGCUGCCAAAACCUGUAUCUUCAAGUUUCUUUUCUAUAGGAUUACUGGUUUAAUCUUAAUACUUUCUGAUUGACCCAUUUAUUGUUUAGCUUUCUUAAUCCAUAUAAUCAGGUUGCAUUUAUGUGUUCACAGCAUGAAGCUAUCCUGUCUCAUAUAACAUUGUAUCUCUGAUCUUUAAUUUUAAAAUUUCUCCCCCCAAAAGCAACCACUAUUGCCUGGCACAGUGUGGUUCAUGCCUAUAAUCCCAAGCCUGUAAUCCCAGCAGUUUGGGAGGCCGAGGCAGGCAGAUCACUAGGUCAGAAGAUCGAGGCCAUCCUGACCAAUAUGGUAAAACCCCAUCUCUACUAAAAUACAAAAACACAAAAAACAAAACAAAACAAGAAUUAGCCAGGUGUGGUGGAACAUGCCUGUAGUCCCAGCUGCUUGGGAGGCUGAGGCAGGGGAAUCACUUGAACCUGGGAGGCAGAGGCUGCAGUGAGCUGAGAUCGCGCCACUGCACUCCAGCCUGGUGACAGAGUGAGACUCCAUAUCAAAAAAAAAAAAAAAAAGCAACCAAUAUUCCCACUCCUUUCCUAAAAUUUAGAGGGUUCACCUUCCAGAGAACUGAUAUCUUAUUUACAUAUUCCCAAAUCUUAAAUUUAGAGAAAACUUCCCCUUAGUUAUAACACCUCAAUUAAUUAAUAAUGUUUAUAUUUGAGAGAUAGACUUCAAGAAAUCUUGGAUAUCACAUUAAUAAUCCAAAAUGUCUCAAUGAUCAAGGCAGAAAGACUUAGAGAGCAAUGAGCUAUGAGCAUAAAGGUGUUCACAAAGGUAUGAUAAUGAGUUUGGUUAUCCUUUCUCAUUGUCCACUCUAGACUUUAGCCAGAAUCAUUUUUUUCUCUUUUUUUUAAAUUAUACUUUAAGUUCUAGGGUACAUGUGCACAACGUGCAGGUUUGUUACAUAUGUAUACAUGUGCCAUGUUGGUGUGCUGCACCCAUUAACUCAUCAUUUAGCAUUAGGUAUAUCUCCUAAUGCUAUCCCUCCCGGCUCCCCCCACCCCACAACAGGCCCUGGUGUGUGAUGUCCCCCAACCUGUGUCCAAGUGUUCUCAAUGUUCAACUCCCACUUAUGAGUGAGAACAUGCGGUGUUUGGUUUUCUGUCCUUGUGAUAGUUUGCUAAGAAUGAUGGUUUACAGCUUCAUCCACAUCCCUGCAAAGGACAUGAACGCAUCCUUUUUUAUGGUUGCAUAGUAUUCCAUGGUGUACAUGUGCCAUAUUUUCUUAAUCCAGUCUAUCACUGAUGGACAUUUGGGUUGGUUCCAAGUCUUUGCUAUUGUGAAUAGUGCUGCAUUAAACAUACGUGCAUUAAACAUACAUGUGCAUGUGUCUUUAUAGUAGCAUGAUUUAUAAUCCUUUGGGUAUAUGCCCAGUAAUGGGAUGGCUGGGUCAAAUGGUAUUUCUAGUUCUAGAUCCCUGAGGAAUUGCAACACUGUCUUCCACAAUGGUUGAACUAGUUUACAAUCCCACCAACAGUGUAAAAGUGUUCCUAUUUCUCCACAUCCUCUUCAGCACCUGUUGUUUCCUGACUUUUUAAUGAUUGCCAUUCUAACUGGUGUGAGAUGGUAUCUCAUUGUGGUUUUGAUUUGCAUUUCUAUGAUAGCCAGUAAUGAUGAGCAUUUUUUCGUGUGUCGGUUGGCUGCAUAAAUAUCUUCUUUUGAAAAGCAUCUGUUCAUAUCCUUCACCCACUUUUUGAUGGGGUUGUUUGAUUUUUUUCUUGUAAAUUUGUUUAAGUUCUUUGUCAAUUCUGGAUAUUAGCCCUUUGUCAGAUGGGUAGAUUACAAAAAUUUUCUCCCAUUCUGUAGGUUGACUGUUUCUGAUGGUAGAUUAUUUUGCUGUGCAGAAGCUCUUUAGUUUAAUUAGAUUCCAUUUGUCUAUUUUGGCUUUUGUUGCCAUUGCUUUUGGUGUUUUAGACAUGAAGUCCUUGUCCAUGCCUAUGUCCUGAAUGGUAUUGCCUAUGUUUUCUUCUAGGGUUUUUAUGGUUUUAGGUCUGACAUUUAAGACUUUAAUCCAUCUUGAAUUAAUUUCUGUAUAAGGUGUUAGGAAGGGAUCCAGUUUCAGCUUUCUACAUAUGGCUAGCCAUUUUUUUCCCAGCACCAUUUAUUAAAUAGGGAAUCCUUUCCCCAAUUCUUCUUUUUGCCAGGUUUGUCAAAGAUCAGAUGGUUGUAAAUGUGUGGUAUUAUUUCUGAGGCCUCUGUUCUGUUCCAUUGGUCUAUAUCUCUGUGUUGGUACCAGUACCAUACUGUUUUGGUUACUGUAGCCUUGUAGUAUAGUUUGAAGUCAGGUAGCGUGAUGCCUCCAGCUUUGUUCUUUUGGCUUAGGAUUGUCUUGGCAAUGCAGGAUCUUUUUCAUCUCAUAUGAACUUUAAAGUAAUCUUUUCCAAUUCUGUGGAGAAAGUCAUUGGUAGCUUGAUAGGGAUGGCAUUGAAUCUAUAAAUUACCUUGGGCAGUAUGGCCAUUUUCACCAUAUUGAUUCUUCCUAUCCAUGAGCAUGGGAUGUUCUUCCAUUUGCUUCUGUCCUCUUUUAUUUUAUUGAGCAGUGGUUUGUAGUUCUCCUUGAAGAGGUCCUUCACCUCCCUUGUAAGUUGGAUUCCUAGGUAUUUUAUUCUCUUUGAAGCAAUUGUGAAUGGGAGUUCACUCAUGAUUUGGCUCUCUGUUUGUCUGUUAUUGGUGUAUAGGAAUGCUUGUGAUUUUUGCACAUUGAUUUUGUGUCCUGAGACUUUGCUGAAGUUGCUUAUCAGCUUAAGGAGAUUUUGGGCUGAGACGAUGGGGUUUUCUAAAUAUACAAUCAUGUCAUCUGCAAACAGGGACAAUUUGGCUUCCUCUUUUCCUAAUGGAAUACCCCUUAUUUCUUUCUCCUGCCUGAUUGCCCUGGCCAGAACUUCCAACAUUAUGUUGAAUAGGAGUGGUGAGAGAGGGCGUCCCUGUCUUGUGCCAGUUUUCAAAGGGAAUGCUUCCAGUUUUGCCCAUUCAGUAUGAUAUCGGCUGUGGGUUUGUCAUAAAUAGCUCUUAUUAUUUUGAGAUACAUCAUCAGGGAUAUUGGUCUAAAAUUAUCUUUUUUUGUUGUGUCUCUGCCAUUGCCAGAAUCAUUUUUACUUUUGGGUAAUAAUUUGCAAUCAGUGAAGUGUACCGUUCUUAAGUGUUCAAUGUAAUAAUUUUGGUAAAAUCUGUAAGCAAUAAAUAACACUUUGAUCAAAGCAUAGACUAUUUUCAUCAUCCCAGAAUAUCCCUUUUUCCCUCUCCCUAGUAAACCCCAUCUAUCAUAAACGAUCAUUCUCUAUUAUUUAUCUCACCAUAAAUAUUUACCUGUUCUUGAGCUCCAUAAAAAUUGAUGUAUGCAGUAUCUGUUGUUUGAGAUCUAUGUUUUGAGUGUUCUCAAUGUUGUGGUUUUUAGCAGUUCAUUUGCCAAAAAAAUAUUGUUUGGUAUUCUAUUGAAUAAAUAUACCUCAGCUUGAUCAUUUAUUUUCUUGUUGAUGGAUAGUUGGGGUUAUUUUCAGUUUGAGGCUUUUAUAGAUAAACUUAGAACUUUGCAAGUCUUUUGUGGAAAAAAGAUAUUCAUUUCUCUUGGAAAAUAUUUUUAUUUUCAGGGGUGAUAAUGUUUGGUCAUUUAAUACGUGUGUGUGUGUGUGUGUGUGUGUUUGUGUGUGUUUCACUCCCCCAUCAUUGUAUUAAAGUUCUAGCUAUUCCACAUUAUCACCGACAUUUGAUAUUUUCAGUCUUUUUCCCAAUUUUGUACCUUCUAUUGAAUGUGAAGUAUUAUCUCAUUAUGUUCUUGGCCAUUUGUGUAUAUUCAUCUUUGAAAUUUCUGUAAAGAAAUGCACCUAUUUUUAUUGUGUCUGUUUUCUUUUUAUUAUUGAGUUAUAGGAGCUCUUUAUACAAUCCGGACAAAAUAUAAGGUUGUAAAAGCAAUGUGAUUUUAAUGACAUUACUUCUAAUGGCAAAAACUGCAGUAAGUUGCACCAAUUUAAUACUUCAUCACAUAUACCUAUUCUAAGUAUUUUUCCCUAAUCUAAAGCUUCCCUUUUCAUUUCCUUAGAGCGGCAUAAGAAUGAGCAGAUGUUUUAAAUUUGGUAAAGUUCAAUUUAUCAGCUUUUCUUCUAUGGCUUGCGUUUUUUGUGUCCUGUCUAAAAACCCCUUUGCUCUCCACAGAGUUGUGUGUGUGUGUGUGUGUGUGUGUGUGUGUAUAUACAUAUACACAUAUACGCACACAUAUUCUACUUCAGAAUUUUAGGUUCAAUAUCAAGGCCUGUUAUCCUUUUCAAAUUAAUGUUUGUAUGUUAUAUAUUAUUGGUUAAGAUAUAUUUUGUCCAUAUAAACAUUGAGUUGUUUCAGCACUAUUUAUGCAAAAUACAUUCUGUUCUCCCUUAAUUGUUUUGACAUUUUCAUUAAAACCCACUUGGCCAUGAGUAAAACUAUUUCCAGAAUUUGUAUUUUAUUUUAUUGAUAUAUCUGUUAAUUGUUAUACAAGCAUAAUACUAUUUUGAUUAAUGUAGCUUAAUAGUAAGUCUUAAAAUCAGUAGAAUGUAUCCUCCAUUUAUUUUAUUCUCCAAAAAUUUUGUUUUCCUAGGUUCUUUGCAUUUCCAUACACAUUUUAGAAUCAGUUCAUCAAUUUCUUUAAAAAACAAACAAAAGCCUGUUAUUAUUUUGAUUGGGAUUGCAAUGAAUAUAUAAAUCCAUUUGUGGAGAAAAGACACCUUGACAACAUCAAGUUUUCUAAUCCAUAAUCAUGGCGUAUUUUUCCAUUUAUUUAGGUUUUAAUUUAUCUCAGCUAUGUUUUAAACUUUUUAAUGGAGAUGUCUUCCACAUUUUAUGUUAAAUUUAUUUCUAAACAUUUUUUAAAUACUACUUUGAAUGGUAAUUUUAAGCUGUUAUUUUUCAAUUCUUUCUUGCUAUUAAAUAGAAAUAUAACUUUUUAAAAGGCAUUAACCUUGCAUUCAAUAAUAAAUCUAAAAUUAUUUAUUAGUUUCUUUGUCCACAGUUUCUUUAUCCACUCGUUGAUUGAUGGGCAUUUGGGUUGGUUCCACAUUUUUACAAUUGUGAAUUGUGUUGCUAUAAACAUCUGUGUGCAAGUAUCUCUUUUACAUAAUGAUUUCUUUUCCUCUGGAUAGAUACCCAGUAGUGGGAUUGCUGGAUCAAAUGGAAGUUCUACUUUUAGUUCUUUAGGGAAUCUCCACACUGUUUUCCAUAGUGGUUUUACUAGUUUACAUUCCCACUAGCAGUGUAGAAGUGUCCCCUGUUCACUGCAUCUAUGCCAACAUCUAUUAUUUUUUGUUUUUUUGAACAUGGCCAUUCUUACAGGAGUAAGGUGGUAUAGCACUGUGGUUUUGAUUUGCAUUUCCCUAAUCAUUAGUGAUAUUGAGCAUUUUUUCAUGUUUUUUGGCCAUUUGUAUAUCUUCUUUUGAGAAUUGUCUAUGCAUGUCCUUUGCCCAUGUUUUGAUGAGAUUGUUUGUUUCUUCUUCUUGCUAAUUUGUUUGAGUUCAUUGUAGAUUCUGAAUAUUAAUUAGUCUUUUGUCAGAUGGAUAUAUUGUGAAGAUUUUCUCCCACUCUGAGGUUGUCUAAGUACUCUGCUGACUGUUCCUUUUGCCAUGCAAAAUUCUUUUGCUUAAUUAAGUCCCAGGUCAAAUGGAUAGACUGUGAAGAUUUUUUCCCACUCUGGGGGUUGUCCAUUUACUCUGCUGACUAUUCCUUUUGCCAUGCAAAAGCUCUUCUGUUUAAAAGUCCUAGCUACUUAUCUUUGUUUUUAUUGCAUUUGCUUUUGGGUGCUUGGUCAUGAAACCCUUGCCUAAGCCAAUGUCUAGAAGGGUUUUUCUGAUGUUAUCUUCUAGAAUUUUUACAGUUCCAGGUCUUAGAUUUAAGUGUUUGAUCCACUUUGAGUUGAUUUUUGUAUAAGGUGAAAGAUGAGGAUCCAGUUUCACUCUCCUACACGUUGCUCGCCAAUGAUCCCAGCACCAUUUGUUGAAUAGGGUGUUCUUUUCUCACUUUAUGCUUUGCUUUAUGGUUUGCUUUGUCAAAGAUCAACUGGCUGUAAGUAUUUGGGUUUAUUUCUGGGUUCUCUAUUCUGUUCUAUUUGUCUAUGCCUAUUUUUAUACCAGUAUCAUGCUGUUUUGGUGACUAUGGCCUUAUGGUAUAGUUUGAAAUCAGGUAAUGUGAUGCCUUCAGAUUUGUUCUUUUUGCUUAGUCUUACUUUGACUAUGCAGGCUCUUUUUUGGUUUCAUAUGAAUUUUAGGAUUUUUUUUUCUAUUUCUAUGAAGAAUGAUGGUGGUAUUUUGAUGGGAAUUGCAUUAAAUUUGUAGAUUGCUUUUGGCAGUAUGGUCAUUUGCACAAUAGGGUUUCUACCUAUCCAGGAGCAUAGGAUGUGUUUCUAUGUUUAUGUUGUCUAUGAUUUCUUUCAGCAGUGUUUUGUAGUUUUCCUUGUAGGGAUCUUUCACCUUCUUGGAUAAGUAUAUUCCUAAGUAUUUUUUUUUUUGCAGCUAUUGUAAAAGAGAUUGAAUUUUUGAUUUGAUUCUCUGCUUGGUCAUUGUCAGUGUACAGAAGAUCUACAAAUUUGUGUACAUUAAUUUUGUAUCCUGAAACUUUGCUGAAUUAAUUUAUGAGUUCUAGGAGCUUUUUGGAUGAGUCUUUAGGAUUUUCUAGGUAUAAAAUCAUAUCAUUAGCCAAUAGUGAGAAUUUGAUUUCCUCUUUACCCAUUUGGAUGCUCUUUAUUUCUUUCUCUUGUCUGAUUGCUCUGGCUGGGACUUCUAGUACUAUGUUGAAAAGAAGUGGUGAGAGUGGGCAUCCCUGUCUUAUUCCAGUUCUCAGAGGGAAUGUUUUCACAUUUUUCCCAUUCAGCAUUGUGUUGGCUGUGGGUUUGUCAUAGAUGGCUUUUAUUAGAUUGAGGUAUGUCCCUUCUAUGGUAAUUUUGCUGAGGAUUUUAAUCAUAAAGGGAUGCUUGAUUUUUUCAAAUGCUUUUCUGCAUCUAUUGAGAUGAUCAGGUGAUUUUUAAUUCUGUAUAUGUGGUGUAUCGCAUUUAUUGACUUCCAUAUGUUAAACCAUCCCUGGUAUGAAACCCACUUGAUCUCAGUGGAUUAUCUUUUUGAUAUGUUUUUGGAGUCGGUUAGCUAGUAUUUUGUUAAGAACUUUUGCAUCUAUAUUCAUCAGGGAUACUGGUCUGUAGUUUUUUUUGUUUUGUUUUGUUUUGUUUUUUGGUUAUGUCAUUUCUUGGUUUUGGUCUUAGGGUGAUACUAGCUUCAUAGAAUGAUUUAGGGAGGAUUAUUUCUUUCUCUAUCUUGUGGAAUAGUAUCAAUAGGAUUGGUACCAAGUCAUCUUUGAAUGCCCAGUAGAAUUCAGCUGUGAAUCCAUCUGGUCCCCAAAUUUUUUUUUUUGGUAAUUUUUUUAUUACCUUUUCAAUCUCACUGCUUGUUAUUGGUAUGUUCAGGGUAUCUAAUUCUUCCUGAUAUAAGUUAGGAGGGUUGUAUCUUUCCAGGAAUUUAUUCAUCUCUUGUAGGUUUUCUAGUUUAUGUGUGCAAAUAUGUUCACAGUAGCCUUGAAUUAUCUUUUGUAUUUCUAUGGUGUUAGUUUUAAUAUCUCCUGUUUCAUUUCUAAUUGAUCUUAUUUGGAUUUUCUCUCUUUUUUCUUGGUUAAUCUUGCUAAUAGUCCAUCAUUUUUAUUUAUCUUUUCAAAGAACCAGCUUUUUGUUUCAUUUAUCUUUUGUAUUUUUUCUUUGUUUCAAUUUCAUUUAGUUCUGCUCUGAUGUUAGUUAUUUCCUUUCUUCUGCUGGGUUUGGGUUUGGUUUGUUCUUGUUUCUCUACUUCCUUGGGGCAUGACCUUAGAUUGUCUAUUUGUGCUCUUUCAGACUUUCUGAUAUAGGCAUUUAGGACUAUGAACUUUUCUCUUAGCACUGCUUUUGAUGUAUCCCAGAGUUUUUAAUAGGUUGUGUCACUAUUAUCAUUCAGUUUGAAGAAUUUUUUAAUUUUCAUCUUGAUUUUAUUGUUGACCCAAUGAUCAUUCAGGAGCAGGUUAUUUAAUGUCCAUGUAUUUUCAUGGUUUUGAAGGUUUCUUUUGGAGUUGAUUUCCGGUUUUAUUUCACUGUGGUCUGAGAGAGUACUUGAUAUAACUUCAAUUUUCUUAACUUAUUCAACUUGUUUUGUGGCUUAUCAUAUGGUCUAUCUUGGAGAAAAUUUCAUGCACCGAUGAAAAGAAUCUAUUUUCUGUGGUUGUUAGGUAGAAUGUUCUAUAAAUAUCUGUUAAGUCUAUUUGUUCCAGAGUAUACUUGAAGUUCAUUGUUUCUUUGUUGACUUUCUGUCUUGAUGACAUGUCUAGUGCUGUAGGUGGAGUAUUGAAGCCCCCCACUAUUAUUGUGUUGCUGUCUAUCUCAUUUCUUAGGUCUAGUAGUAAGUGUAUCAUACAUUUGAGAGCUCCAGUGUUAGGCAUGUAUAUUUAGGAUUGUUAAAUCUUCCUUUUGUACAAGACCUUUUAUCAUUAUAUAAUGUCCCUCUUGUCUUUUUUAACUGCUGUUGUUUUAAAGUUUAUUUUGUUUGAUAUAAGAAUAGGUAGUCCUGCUUGCUUUUGGUGUCCAUUUGCAUGGAAUAUCUUUUUCCACCACUUUACCUUAAGUUUAUGUGAGUUCUUAUGUGUUAGGUGAGUCUCUUGAAGGAAGCAGAUAGUUGAUUUAUGAAUUAUUUUCAUUCUGCAAUUCUGUAUUUUUUAAGCAGAGCAUUUAGGCCAUUUACAUUCAACAUUAUUAUUAAGAUGUGAGGUACUAUUCCAUUAAUUGUGCUAUUUAUUGCCUGUAUACCUUGUGGGGUUUUUUUUUGUAUUUUUAUUUUAUAAGUCCUGUGAGAUUUAUGGCUUGAAAGAGAUUCUGUUUUGAUAUGUUUUCAGGAUUUGUUUCAAGAUUUAGAGCUGCUUUUAGCAGUUCUUAUAAUGCUGUCUUGGUAGUGGCAUAUUCUCUCAGCAUUUGUUUGUCUAAAAGAGACUGUAUCUUUCCUUCAUUUAUAAAGAUUAGUUUUGCUGGAUACAGAAUUCUUGGCUGAUAAUUGUUUGAGGAGACUGCAGAUGGAGCUCCAAUCCCUUUUAGGUCGUAGGGUUUCUGCUGAUAAAUCUACUGUUAAUCUAAUAUGUUUUCCUUUAUAGAUUACCUGGUGCUUUUGCCUCACAUCUCUUAAGAUUCUUUCCUUCAUCUUGACUUUAGAUAACCUGAUGACAAUGUUCCUAGCUGAUGAUCUUUUUGUGAUAAAUUUCCCAGGUGUUCUUUGAGCUUCUUGUAUUGGGAUGUCUAGGUCUCUUGCAAGGCUGGGGAAGCUUUCCUCAGCUAUUCCCCCAAAUAUGUUUUCCAAACACUUGGAUUUCUCUUCUUCCUCAGCAACACCAGUUAUUCUUGUUUGGUCACUUAACAUAAUCCCAAACUUCCUGGAGGCUUUGUUCAUUUUUUUCUUAUUCUUUUUUCUUUGUCUUUGGAUUGGGUUACUUCAAAAACCUUGCCUUCAAGCUCUGAAGUUCUUUCUCCUGCUUGUUCAAUUCUAAUGCUGAGACUUUCUAGAACAUUUUGCAUUUCUCUAAGUGUGUCCUUUAUUUCCUGAAGUUGUGAUUGUUUUCUGUUUAUGCUAUCUAUUUCACUGAAGAUUUCUCCCCUCAUUUCUUCUAUCAUUUUUUUUUCAAUUUCCUUACAUUGAACUUCAUCUUUCUCUGGUACCUCCUUGAUUAGCUUAAUAACUAACCUGAAUUCUUUUUCAGGUAAAUCAGGGAUUUCUUCUUGGUUUGGAUCCAUUGCUGGUGAGCUAGUGUGAUUUUUGGGGGUGUUAAAUAACCCUAUUUUGUCAUAUUACCAGAAUUGUGUUUCUGUUUCCUUCUUAUUUGGGUAGGCUAUUUCAGAAGGAAGGCUACUGUUCAGUUUCUUUUGUCCCACAAGGUGUUCCCUUGAUGUAGUAUGCUCCCCCUGUCCUAGGGAUGUGGCUUCCAGAGAGCUAAGCUGUAGUGAUUGUUAUCUCUCUUCUGGAUCUAGCCACCCAGCAGGUCUACCCGUUUCCAGUCUGGUCCUGGGGGAUAUCUGCACAGUGUCUUGUGAUGUGAAUGAUCUGCAGGUAUCUUAGCCAUGAAUAUCAGCAUUUGCUCUGGUGGAAGUAACAGGCAGGUGAAAUGGACUCUGUGAAGGUCUUUAGUUUUGGUUGUUUAGUGCACUAUUUUUUGUGCUAGUUGGCCUCUUGCCAGGAGGUAGGCUUUCAAGAGAGCAUCAGCUGUAGUAGUGUCCAAUCUUAAUGUCUUUUAGACAACAUGAAAUAAUGCAAAAAUAGUACCAAGAUUAGUCCAAUACAACAGUAUAAAAUUUAUAGGCACCAUGAACAAUGUACUUUAUACAAAACAAAAAGCCUCCUGAAUUCUAGAGUGGCAAGUUCUUUGAGCUGGUGUUAUGACUUGAACAUGUGCAUCCCGCAAACUCAUAUGCUAAAAUCCUAAUUCCCCAAUAUGAUGAUAUUAGGAAGUGGGGCCUUUGGAAGAUCAUAAGGGUGGAGCCCACAUGAGUGGUAUUAGCACCCUUAUAAAAGAGACCCGUAGAGCUCACUAGUUCUUUCUAUCAUGUUAGAACACAGCAAGAAGAUAGCUGUAUAUGAACCAGAAAGUAGACCUUCACCAGACAUGGAAUCUACUGGUGCCUUGAUAUUGAAAUCCUCAGCCUCCAGAACUGGAGAAAUAAAUGUUUGUUGUUUAAGCUACCCAACCUAUGAUCUAUGUUCUUUUGCUAUAGCAAUACAAACAGAUCAAGAUAGCUGGAAAUUAUUUUCAUCUUCUUAGAGAACUAUGAAUGCAUGGCUGGGGUUGGGGAAAGACUAGAAAUAGGUCACAAUAUCCUAUAUUGUGAGGGGAAAUGGCAUUAUCCUGGAGAAAUAUAAGUGUCCAACAAAUAUUUUAGUGUGCCAGAAAUCUCCCUUUAUGCUUAAUUAUGAUCACCAUGCUCUGUCAUAAAUGAAGUACUCCAGAUAUCCAGGAGAGAUUGCCAGGGACAAUGGCUUUUCGCUCGAUCAGAACUCCAGCUUCAAUUCUGUAUUACUAAUACUGUACUAAAAAUCUUCAGGUUUUUCUAGAUUUAAACAAGUCUGAGUCAUCCUGUUGACCAAUUAAGGCCUAGGCAUUGGAAUGAAUUAAAAUUAAUCAUUAUAUUAAUAUGUUAGCUGAUAAAGAUACUCUGAUUUUCUGUAAGGAUUAUGCCUUAUAUUUGGUACAGGAAACAGACUGUGAGAUGAAGACUUGAAUGAAGAAAGUUGAUUUACCAGUGCCUUUGAUAUUAAUAUCUGUGUUGGGGUGAAGGAAGGAAGUUUGGGCAGAGAAAAUGUAAACUGUGAUUCAGUCUUAACAAAAGCCUUAGCAUAUCCACAAGGAACUCUGAAUCUGAGAAAGCCUUUCAGUGUUAUCCAGCCUCGAAGCACAGGGAUCAGGUCUUGAUAUCAUUUUAUUGAUCAGUCAUAGAUUGGGUUUCUUCAGGGUACAAAUAUUACCCUGAGCAGGCAGCUCUCUUUGACUUAAGGCAAUUCAUGGAGAGGGAUUCAGCAGGGAACCAUUAUCUGUUGACAGUUCUGAAGGAGAUCUCUGGAUUGUGCACCACAGCAUCCACUAUGGUUCACCCCUUGUGCUAUCUUAGUCCACUUCCACCCUAUGAUAAAUUUCACACAUAUUUUAUGUGACGCUUAUUAGUCUAUAAUUCAAGAUAAACUUACAAAAAGAAGGGAAGUGGGAUAAAUUAUCAUCCCUGCUUCUGCAAGUGGUCUUAAGACUGAGGCUUUACCAUGUAGAUUUUCUAUCAUUAUUACCUUUCAGGACCACUACUGAUUAGGGUUGUAGUACAGCAGCUGAUUAAGCUCAACUUCCAUUAGUUGGACAAGAUAAAUUCCUAUAUUGUUAUAAAUGUAGGCAGAUAUAGAGGGACUGGUACACCAAUGGUGGGUGUUACAAGGGUCUGGACCACUGCAUAUUCCUGAUUUUAGAUGUAUCAUUUCUAUGUUACAAUGUGUUUCUACUAGGCCUGCCUUGCUUAUGACAUGAAGGGUCUGACAGAACUCAGCUCAUGAUUUGCAGGGCAAAUGGCCACUUAAUUUCUUAUGGUUAAGUAUUUCUUCUAUACCAGGGCCAAAUAACAUGCUAGAAACAGAGUUUUUUUUUUUAAUGUUGCAUAAUUCUCCACUAUGCCAUAAAUAACAAAGAAUCAUUACCCAUUACCCAAACCUCUGUAUAAGAAUAUGCCAGGUUGGUACAGCUUUUACUUUUUCUAGCUUUUCUCUAUUGCAGAAUACUUUUCUGGUCUGGACCUACUCAAAGAUGGCAGGUAUGCAUGUCACUUUGUUAAUAGCUUGUGGCAAUAUUCUUAAGUGUGGGAGAUGCUACUUCUCUUUUUCUUUUCCACCACCCCCUCCUCUCUCUUUCCUUAUCUCAAUAGGCCCCAUAUAUGAAAACUGGCUCAAGUUCAGAAACUGUCAAGAACCAUGGAAUUUUAUUGGAGAUGCUGCCCUCAGUCUACUGACCAUCCAUGCUUAAUUUCUUUUGAUUGUGCAUAUGGAGAAACUUUCAUCAGCUCCCCACCUGAGGAUGCUGCUAUCUAUUAACUACCUCCAUAGCUCUCUGAGAGUCAUGGCCUACAGGUGGCCAUUGUGAUUUUUCCACUAGUUAUGGCAACUGGUUCCAUCCUGUUUCUGAUGAUUAAAUACUGCUUUUGGCCUCCACCUUUUCAAGAUUCCAUUACCUUUUGUGUCAUCGAGGAACCCAGUUCUGUAACAGUAUUUAUUACUCAUAAGUCCUCCCAGUAGAGGGCAGGUGACAUUGAGUUUCUCCAGGAUGAUAUUUCUCUCACUAGUACAUCACAUAUUGCUUUGGCAAAUGCGGCUCUUCUUCAGAAUAUGGUUAAAUGGCGAAUUUUCUGGCCUUACAUAGUAUAUUCAGUAGGUUGGCCACUUUUGUAAAAUUUUAAACUCUUCUUUGCCACGUCUGGCAGUCUUGGCAUUUAUACUUUACCUACUAUAAACUACCACUUUCUCAAAACUUCUAAUAACUCAAUCAGUAUGUUAACACUGUUUUCUGAGGUUUUCAUCAAAGUGUCAAAUCCUUUUGGGAUAGUUUUCCUUUAUCAAUAAACUGGCCAGCCAUUAUCCAUUCUCAUGUUCUACCUUCUUUGAUACAAGAGCCUCUGGAUACAGACCAAAUCACACUCUCCUAACUCCUUCCAGUAUACAGUCAUCCCUGGUAUCCACAGGGGAUUGGUUCCAGGACCUCCCCUGGAUACCCAAAUCUGUAGAUGCUCAAGUCCCUUAUGUAAAAUGGCAUAGCAUUGGCAUAUAAUCUAUGGACAUAAUCCUGUAUACUUUAUAUCAUUUCUAUAUUACUUACAAUACCUAACACAAUGUAAAAGCUGUGUAGUUGUUAUACUUUUUAAAAAAAUUUCUACAUUAUUAUUUUUUAUUGUAUUUUUGUCAUAUUUUCAAUCUGCAGUUAGUUGAAUCUGUGGGUGGGGAACCUGUGAAUACAAAGGACUAAUUGUAUAUUGACUAGGUCUUGCUGAACCCAUUAGAAGUUUGUUGAGAGAUGUCCUCAGGUCUUUUUGGGAUAUAGUCGCUUAUCUUUCUUAACAUGCCUAGCACUUUCCCAGCAUGUAAGCUAAAAAUGGAGUUGAGUUUAGAUGCUGAGGAGUGUUCAAGACACUGGGUGAGGUGGAAAUUACUGCAUCAUUUUCAGACAAUGGGGGCAUUCUAGUCUUUAUUAGGAAGCAAUGUGCAUCUUCUUCAAGCCCAGAGUAUUCAGGGGAUUUGGGUUUAGUGAUUUUUAAUCCAUCAACAAAAAUAUUUCCAACUCAAGGCUCAGGGUCCCAAGCUUUUCCAACCAGGAAUCUAUCAUUGGCAUUAACAUAGCCUUUGUUGGCUAUGAAUUCGACCUCCUCUGGAAGGCUCUCUGCUGCUAUUAUAAUUAUAAUACUAUAAUUGAUUCUUGGACCUGAUUCUCAGGUUUUUUCCUGCCCUCUAUCUUUAGGAAAUAAGAGUCCCUUUUUAACCUGCCAAGGAGGCCCUCUGAAUUUUACAGUUGACUUUCAUGGGUGAUUAAUCACCCACAACAUUUUAUUGGUCUUCUCUGAUGUAUCAAUGUCACUCAGCUAAAACAUCUAAUUCAAUUUCCUUCUAACACUCCCCUUAGCCAGUCAAAAGCCGAGACACUGAAAUUUUGAGUGCAUUAACUUAUACCAGCAUACCAUCCCAAUUUAUCAAAGGUUAGAGUUUUAACAAUUGCACUGCUAUAAUUACAGUACUCCAUCUCCUCCCAAUAAUGAUGCCGCCCUUACCAGCUGGCUGAUAGAGGAACAGGCUUCAAUAUCUCAUAUUAAGAUAUGUUUACUUAGACUUGAUGAUGCCAAUGUCUUAAGUCAGGAUUCCCUGAAAAGAAAUGAAGAUGGAUUUUGCAUGUGGGAACUGUGUUGGGCAGUAUCCUCGAAAUCAACAUUUUAAACAUGUAAAGUCACUAGAAUUUGGCAAAGGAAGAAGUUAAGCUUCAAUGCAGUUACAAGGAUGGCCUCAAAUAGUUUCAGGAGAAGCGCUUGAGCCAAAAAGACCCUUCAGAGUCAUCUUGCCUUGAGACAAAGGAGCCAUGACUUUACACUUUUAUACUGACAAUGAAUAGGUUUAAAUGUUGGGAAGGGUCCUGACACGAGCACACGUUUCCAGCUAAAAGAAAGUUCUAAAGAGAGACUUAGCUGCUCACAUUUUCAGAAGGUGGUGGAAUGAGUUUCUCAGUCCUGCAGGAGGAGUCUGGGUGGCACGUCAUAUUAUCCAUUACAGAAAGUGAUUGCAAAUUACAUUGUGUUACUCACUUCUUCUUGAUUUCAUGUUCAUAAGUACUUUAGGCGCUUUUUCCCUCCCGGCUUCUACUAUAACUUCUGGGAGUAGUAAGGAUAUUGAUUCAGGUUUCCUUAUGUUUAUUUUCCUUUUUUUUUUUUUAUUAUACCUUAAGGUCUAGGUUACAUGUGCACAACAUGCAGGUUUGUUAUAUAUGUAUACAUGUGCCAUGUUGGUGUGCUGCACCCAUUAACUCAUCAUUUACAUUAGGUAUAUCUCCUAAUGCUAUCCCUCCCCAGUCCCCUCAACCCAUGACAGGCCCCGGUGUGUGAUGUUCCCCACCCAGUGUCCAUGUGUUCUCAUUGUUCAACUCCCAUCUAUGAGUGAGAACAUGCGGUGUUUGGUUUUCUGUCCUUGUGAUAAUUUGCUGAGAAUGAUGGUUUCCAGCUUCAUCCAUGUCCCUGCAAAGGACAUGAACUCAUCCUUUUUUAUGGUUGCAUAGUAUUCCAUGGUGUAUAUGUGCCAUAUUUUCUUAAUCCAGUCUAUCAUUGACGGACAUUUGGGAUGGUUCCAAGUCUUUGCUAUUGUGAAUAGUGCCGCAGUAAACAUACGUGUGCAUGUGUCUCUACAGCAGCAUGAUUUAUAAUCCUUUCGGUAUAUACCCAGUAAUGGGAUGGCUGGGUCAAAUGGUAUUUCUAGUUUUAGAUCCUUGAGGAAUCGCCACACUGUCUUCCACAAUGGUUGAACUAGUUUACAGUCCCACCAACAGUGUAAAAGUGUUCCUAUUUCUCCACAUCCUUUCCAGCACCUGUUGUUUCCUGACUUUAUAAUGAUCACCAUUCUAACUGGUGUGAGAUGGUAUCUCAUUGUGGUUUUGAUUUGCAUUUCCCUGAUGGCCAGUGAUGAUGAGCAUUUUUUCAUGUGUGUGUUGGCUGCAUAAAUGUCUUCUUUUGAGAAGUGUCUGUUCAUAUCCUUCACCCAUUUUGAUGGGGUUGUUUGACUAUUGUUGUAAAUUUGUUUAAGUUCUUUAUAGAUUCUGGAUAUUAGCCCUUUGUCAGAUGGGUAGAUUGCAAAAAUUUUCUCCCAUUCUGUAGCUUGCCUGUUCACUCUGACAGUAGUUUCUUUUGCCGUGCAGACUCUCUUUAGUUUCAAUUAGAUCCCAUUUCUCAAUUUUGGCUUUGGUUGCCAUUGCUUUUGCUGUUUUAGACAUGAAGUCCUUGCCCAUGCCUAUGUCCUGAAUGGUAUUACCUAGGUUUUCUUCUAGGGUUUUUAUGGUUUUAGGUCUGACACUUAAGACUUUAAUCCAUCUUGAAUUAAUUUUUGUAUAAGGUGUAAGGAAGGGAUCCAGUUUCAGCUUUCUACAUAUGGAUAGCCAGUUUUCCCAGUACCAUUUAUUAAAUAGGGAAUCCUUUCCCCAUUGCUUGUUUUUGUCAAGUUUGUCAAAGAUCAGAUGGUUGUAGAUGUGUGGUAUUAUUUCUGAGGCCUCUGUUCUGUUCCAUUGGUCUAUAUCUCUGUUUUGGUACCAGUACCAUGCUGUUUUGGUUACUGUAGCCUUGUAGUAUAGUUUGAAGUCAGGUAGCGUGAUGCCUCCAGCUUUGUUCUUUUGGAUUAGGAUUGACUUGGCAGUGUGGGCUCUUUUUUGGUUCCAUAUGAACUUUAAAGUAGUUUUUUCCAAUUCUGUGGAGAAAGUCAUUGGUAGCUUGAUGGGGAUGGUAUUGAAUCUACAAAUUACCUUGAGCAGUGUGGCCAUUUUCAUGAUAUUGAUUCUUCCUAUCCAUGAGCAUGGAAUGUUCUUCCAUUUUUUUGUGUCCUCUUUUAUUUCGUUGAGCAGUGGUUUGUAAUUCUCAUUGAAGAGGUCCUUCACAACCCUUGUAAGUUGUAUUCCCAGGUAUUUUAUUCUCUUUGAAGCAAUUGUGAAUGGGAGUUCAUGCAUGAUUUGGCUCUCUGUGUGUCUGUUAUUGGUGUAUAGGAAUGCUUGUGAUUUUUGCACAUUGAUUUUGUAUUCUGAGACUUUGCUGAAGCUGCUUAUCAGCUUAAGGAGAUUUUGGGCUGAGACAAUGGGGUUUUCUAAAUAUACAAUCAUGUCAUCUGCAAACAGGGACAGUUUGACUUCCUCUUUUCCUAAUUGAAUACCCUUUAUUUCUUUCUCCUGCCUGAUUGCCUUGGCCAGAACUCCUAACACUAUGUUCAACAGGAGUGGUUAGAGAGGGCAUCUCUGUCUUGUGCCAGUUUUCAAAGGGAAUGCUUCUAGUUUUUGCCCAUUCAGUAUGAUAUUGGCUGUGGGUUUGUCAUAAAUAGCUCUUAUUAUUUUCAGAUACGUCCCAUCAAUACCUAAUUUAUUGAGAGUUUUUAGCAUGAAGGGCUGUUGAAAUUUGUCGAAGGCCUUUUCUGCAUCUAUUGAGAUAAUCAUGUGGUUUUUGUCUUUUGUUCUGUUUAUAUGAUGGAUUAGUUUAUUGAUUUGCAUAUGUUGAACCAGCCUUACAUCCCAGGGAUGAAGCCCCCUUCAUCAUAGUGGAUAAGCUUUUUGAUAUGCUGCUGGAUUUGGUUUGCCAAUAUUUUAUUGAGGAUAUUUGCAUCAAUAUUCAUCAGGGAUAUUGGUCUAAAAUUCUCUUUUUUUGUUGUGUCUCUGCCAGGCUUUGGUAUCAGGAUGAUGCUGGCCUCAUAAAAUGAGUUAGGGAGGAUUCCCUCUUUUUCUAUUAAUUGGAAUAGUUACAGAAGAAAUGGUACCAGCUCCUCUUUGUACCUGUGGUAGAAUUCGGCUGUGAAUCCAUCUGGUCCUGGACUUUUUUUGGUUGGUAGGCUAUUAAUUAUUGCCUCAAUUUUAGAGCCUGUUAUUGGUCUAUUCAGGGAUUCAAUUUCUUCCUGGCUUAGUCUUGGGAGGGUGCAUGUGUCCAGGAAUUUAUCCAUUUCUUCUAGAUUUUCUAGUUUAUUUGCAUAGAUGUGUUUAUAGUAUUCUCUGAUGGUAGUUUGUAUAUCUAUGGGAACAGUGGUGAUAUCCCCUUUAUCAUUUUUUAUUGUGUCUAUUUGAUUCCUCUCUCUCUUCAUCUUUAUUAGUCUUCCUAGCGGUCUAUCAAUUCUGUUGAUCUUUUCAAAAAACCUGCUCCCAGUUUCAUUGAUUUGUUGAAGGGUUUUUUGUGUUUCUAUCUCCUUCAGUUCUGCUCUGAUCUUAGUUAUUUCUUGCCUUCUGCUAGCUUUUGACUGUGUUUGCUCUUGCUUCUCUAGUUCUUUUAAUUGUGAUGUUAGGGUGUCAACUUUAGAUUUUUCCUGCUUUCUCUUGUGGGCAUUUAGUCCUAUAAAUUUCCCUCUACACACUGCUUUAAAUGCGUCCCAGAGAUUCUGGUAUGUUGUGUCUUUUUUUGUUCUCAUUGGUUUCAAAGAACAUCUGAAUCUCUGACUUCAUUUCUUUAUGUACCCAGUAGUCAUUCAGGAGCAGGUUGUUCAGUUUCCAUGUAGUUGAGCAGUUUUGAGUGAGUUUCUUAAUCCUGAGUUCUAGUUUGAUUGCACUGUGGUCUGAGAGAGUUUCUUAUAAUUUCUGUUCUUUUACAUUUGCUGAAGAGUACUUUCCUUUCAACUAUAUGGUCAAUUUUGGAAUAAGUGUGAUGUGGUGCUGAGAAGAAUGUAUAUUCUGUUGAUUUGGGGUGGAGCGUUCUGUAGAUGUCUAUUAGGUCAGCUUGGUGCAGAGCUGAGUUCAAUUCCUGGAUAUCCUUGUUAACUUUCUGUCUCGUUGAUCUGUCUUAUGUUGACAGUUGGGUGUUAAAGUCUCCCAUUAUUAUUGUGUGGGAGUCUAAGUCUCUUUGUAGGUCUCUAAGGACUUGCUUUAUGAAUCUGGGUGCUCCUGUAUUGGAUGCAUAUAUAUUUAGGAUACUUAGCUCUUCUUGUUGAAUUGAUCCCUUUACCAUUAUGUAAUGGUCUUGUCUCUUUUGAUCUUUGUUGGUUUAAAGUCCGUUUUAUCAGAGACUAAGAUCGCAACCCCUGCUUUUUUUUGUUUUCCAUUUGCUUGGUAGAUCUUCCUCCAUCCCUUUAUUUUGAGCCUAUGUGUGUCUCUGCACGUGAGAUGGGUCUCCUGAAUACAGCACACUGAUGGGUCUUGACUCUUUAUCCAAUUUGCCAGUCUGUGUCUUUUAAUUGGAGCAUUUAGCCCAUUUACAUUUAAGGUUAAUAUUGUGAUGUAUGAAUUUGAUCCUGUCAUUAUGAUGUUAGCUGGUUAUUUUGCUUGUUAGUUGAUGCAGUUUCUUCCUAGCCUCGAUGGUCUUUACAAUUUGGCAUGUUUUUGCAGUGGCUGGUACUGGUUGUUCCUUUCCAUGUUUAGUGCUUCCUUCAGGAGCUCUACUGAGGCAGGCCUGAUGGUGACAAAAUCUCUCAGCAUGUGCUUGUCUGUAAAGGAUUUUAUUUCUCCUUCACUUAUGAAGCUUAGUUUGGCUGGAUAUGAAAUUCUAGGUUGAAAAUUAUUUUCUUUAAGAAUGUUGAAUAUUGGCCCCCACUCUCUUCUGGUUUGUAGAGUAUCUGCUGAGAGAUCAGCUGUUAGUCUGAUGGAUUUCCCUUUGUGGUAACCUGACCUUUAUCUCUGGCUGCCCUUAACAUUUUUUCCUUCAUUUCAACUUCGGUGAAUCUGACAAUUAUGUGUCUUAGAGUUGCUCUUCUCGAGGAGUAUCUUUGUGGCGUUCUCUGUAUUUCCUGAAUUUGAAUGUUGGUCUGCCUUGCUAGAUUGGGGAAGUUCUCCUGGAUAAUAUCCUGAAGAGUGUUUUCCAACUUGGUUACAUUCUCCCCGUAACUUUCAGGUACACCAAUCAGACGUAAAUUUGGUCUUUUCACAUAGUCUCAUAUUUCUUGGAGGCUUUGUUCAUUUCUUUUUACUCUUUCUUCUCUGAACUUCACUUCUCCCUUCAUUUCAUUGGUUUGAUCUUCAAUCACUGAUACCCUUUCUUCCAGAAUUGGCUACUGAAGGUUGUGCAUGCAUCACAUAGUUCUUGUGCCAUAGUUUUCAGCUCCUUCAGGUCAUUUAAGGUCUUCUCUAUGCUGCUUAUUCUAGUUAGCCAUUUGUCCAAUUUUUUUUCAAGGUUUUUAGCUUCUUUGCCAUGGGUUCAAACAUCCUCCUUUAGCUCGGAGAAAUUUGUUAUUACUGAUCAUCUGAAGACUUCUUCUUUCAACUCAUCAGAGUCAUUCUCUGUCCAGCUUUGCUCUGUUGCUGGCAAGGAGCUGUGUUCCUUUGGAGGAGAAGAGGCGCUCUGAUUUUUAGAAUUUUCAGCUUUUCUGCUCUGGUUUCUCCCAAUCUUUGUGGUUUUAUCUACCUUUGGUCUUUGAUGAUGGUGACGUACAGAUGGGGUUUUGGUGUGGAUGUCCUUUCUGUUUGUUAGUUUUCCUUCUAACUGUCAGGUCCCUCAGCUAUAGGUCUUUUGGAGUUUGCUGGAGGUUCACUCCAGACCCUGUUUGCCUGGGUAUUCCCAGUGGAGGCUGUAGAACUACAAAUAUUGCAGAACGGCAAAUGUUGCUCCCUUAUCUUUCCUUUGGAAGCUUAGUCUCAGAGGGACACCUGGCUGUAUGAGGUGUCAGUUGGCCCCACUGGGAGGUGCCUCCCAGUUAGGCUACUCGGGGAUCAGGGACCCACUUGAGGAGGCGGUCUGUCCUUUCUCAGAUCUCAAACUCCAUGCUGGGAGAACCACUACUUUCUUCAAAGCUGCCAGACGGGGACGUUUAAGUCUGCAGAAGUUUCUGCUGCCUUUUGUUCAGCUAUGCCCUGCCCCCAGAGGUGGAGUCUACAGAGGCAGGCAGGCCUCUUUGAGCAGUGGUGGGCUCCACCCAGUUCGAGCUUCUUGGCUGCUUUGUUUACCUAUUCAAGCCUCAGCAAUGUUGGGUGCCCCUCCCCCAGCCUCGCUGCAGCCUUGCAGUUCGAUCUCAGACUGCUGUGCUAGCAGUGAGGAAGGCUCCGUGGCCAUGGGACCCUCUGAGCCAGGCUCAGGAUAUAAUCUCCUGGUGUGCUGUUUGCUAAGACUGUUGGAAAAGUGCUGUAUUAGGGUGGGAGUGACCCAAUUUUCCAGGUGUCAUCUGUCAUGGCUUCCUUUGGCUAGGAAAGGGAAUUCCCUGACCCCUUGCACUUCCUGGGUGAGGUGUUGCCUCGCCCUGCUUUGCUUAUGGUCUGUGGGCUGCACCCACUGUCCUGCACCCACUGUCCGACAAGCCCCAUUGAGAUGAACCUGGUACCUCAGUUGGAAAUGCAGAAAUCACCAGUCUUCUGCCUCACUCAUGCUGGGAGCUGUAAACUGUAGCUGUUCCUAUUUGGCCAUCUUGGAACUUCCCCUCCUUAUGUUUAUUUUCUACUGUUAAUGUUGACACAUAUGAUGGCUAUUUUAAGUGAUACAUGUUAUAGUUUUGCUAUUUAAUAUAUAUUUGGGAAUUAGAAUACUUAUUUUUUUCAUGAAACCCAGGAUUUUAUAGCAAAAAGACAGCUCAUUCCUGACACAUUUUCCAAAAGCUAACUUCAGCAAAAGGAAGAUGUCCAUUCCUUCCUAAUAAAGGCAAGAAUGUCCCCAAUAUCUCUGUAGACUAGUAAAAUAGAGCUGUUUAAGAAAUUCUAGGAGGCCUAAAGGAAAAUAAAAAGAAGUAAAGAAAACAAUAAAUGCCACCUUCAGUUUUAAGUAAAUUUUGUUCAUCUUGCUGUUUGAAGCAGCCAUUGUUAAUUUUGGAAAUCUUUUACAAUAUUUACUUUUGGAUCACUUUUAAUGCCACUGAGAUUUACUAUCUAAAUGAAACAAUCAAAAUAAGAAACAGUCAUGUAAGUGGCAAACACCUCUGCUCUACUAUCUCAUUGCAGUGGGAUAAUAAAGCUUAGGUCCAUUGAUCCAGGAACGACUGUGUAAGAGCAUCACAUGGCUCAUAGCACAGAAUCCCAACUAAGAUAUGCAGAGAAUUAUACUCUAACAUAAUAUUUAAAAGCCCUGUAGUAAGUUAAUAUAUAACAUUAUGGUUUGAAGAAAGAGUAUUUUUGUGAGAGAUUUCACAUUCAAACAUAUUGAAUACUCAAUGUGGCAUGUAUUUGGAUGGGCAAUGAAAAAUUUAUACAACUGUUCAUGAAUAAUCACACGGUUGCACUUAAUGUUCAGUAACACUUACCUGAAUGUUUUCAUAUUGCUGAGAUACAUUCAUAUACAAAGCCUGAAAGCACACAUUUGAAUGUAUGAUUGAUGAAAAUAGAUCUACUUAAUAUUGUUCUAGCCUCAUCUACUCUCUCUAAUGUUUAUAUAGUUCUUGGUAUUGUUUUCAAAUAAAAUAACAAAAUGCAAUAUGAGAGCUUGAAAAAUAUUUUACUAGUUAUCCCAAAAGAAUUAAGAAAUAAUACAAAUGAAUUAGAAGUCAUUUUAGUAUUUUUCAUAGUUUAAAGAAAUAUAAUGAGAGACAUUUUCCAAAGAGGUGUUUUAGAAGCUUGUGAAAAUGGAUGUGGCUUAAUUACCUUUCAGUACCUGGAGUGUGCUGGUUAUGUGCCAUGUUUGACACAAAAGAGCAGGAUUCUACUUCUUUGUUCCCCCAGUUUUACUCAGUGUGGUUGCAUAGCUGAACCAAAAUAUUCAUCAUCACCGAAUAAAGCAUUUAGCUUUGAGGGUGGUGGGUUAGAAUCAAGGAAGCAUAGGAAUUUUACACGUUCUAAGUAUCCUGAGGGAAGAGAUAGAAAUAAAACAAGGUGGCUGGGAAGAAUUCCUUACAAAUCACUCAAGAACAUGCUAAUUCAUUUCUUUCAGCUUUAUUCAGGUACAAUUGACAAGUAGAAGUUGUAUGUAUUUAAGGAGUAUAACUUGAUGUUUUGAUACAUGUGUUAUAUUAUAAAAUAAUCACCACAAUCAAGCUAAUUAACAUAUGUGUCACCUCACACAUUUAAAUUUAUUUUUAUUUUUGAUGAAAACACUUAAGAUCUAUCAUCUUAGCAAAGUUUAAGUAUGUAAGUCAUUAUUGUUAAUGGAUGUACAGGAGAUCUUCAGAACAUAUUAUUUUGCAUAACUAAAACUUUGUAAGCUUUAACAUCUCUCCAUUUUUUUCUCGCUCAGCUCUGACAACCACCAUUCUAACUCUCUGCUUCUGAGUUUGACUAUUUUAGAUUCCACAUAUAAGUCAGAUCACACAGUAUUUGUCCUUUUGUGUCUGGCUUACUUUAUUUAGUGUAAUGUCCUCCAGUUCAAUCAUCUUGUCAUAAAUAUCAGGACUAUCUUAUUUUUUAAAGCUGAAUAAUAUUCCACUGUGUUUACAUACCUACCAACCUACCCACCUAUCUACAUAUCUUGGGUUUUCUUGUCCAUUCAUCUAUCAGUGGACAUUUAGAUUGUUUCUAUAUCACGGCAAUGGUGAAUAAUGCUGCAAUAUAAACAUGAGAGUGCAAAUAUUUGUUUGACAUAGUUAUAUCAUUAUCUUCAGAUAUACACCAGAAACGGGAUUGCUGGAUAUUAUAUGAUAGCUGUAUCUUUAACUUUUUGAUGAAUUUCUAGACUGUUUUCUAUAAUGAGUGUAUCAAUUUACAUUCCCACCAGCAGGGUACAAGUGUUACCUUUCCACCAGAUUCUUGUCAGUAUGUGUUGCCUUUUGUCUUUUUGAUAAUUGCCAUUUUAACUGGGGUGAGGUGAUAUCUAAUUGUGAUUUUUACUUGGAUUUUUCCAAUCAUUAGUGAUAUUGAACACCUUUUCCUACAGCUUUGGGUUCUUUGUAUGACUUCUUUUGAAAAAUGUCUAUUCAGGUUCUUUGUCCUAUCUUGACUUCAAAACACUACAAAACUAUAGUAGCCAAAACAGCAUGGUACUAGCAUAAAAACAGAUAUAUAAACCAAAGGAACAAAAUAGAGGGCCCAGAAAUUUAUGCAUGUAUGGUCAACUGAUCUUUGACAGGGUGCCAAGAACAUAUGAUGGGGAAAGGAUGGUAUCUUCAAUAAAUUGUACUGGGAAAACUAGUAUCUACACAUAGAAGAAUGAUUUUGAACCCUUUCACCAUAUACAAAAAUCAACUGAAAAUCUAUUCAAGUCUUAGACAUAAGGCCUGAAACCAUAAAACUACUUGAAGAAACUACAGGAAAAAGCUCCUUGAUAUUGGUUUGGGCAAUAAGUUUUUUUGGAUAUGAUACUAAACACACAACAACAAAAGCAAAAAUAGACAAAUUUAGAAAAAAUAGUAGAACUUCAUUAAACUGCAAAGCUUCUGCACAGCAAAUAAUCAAUCGUGUGAAAAGAGAAUCCACAGAAUGAGAGGAAAUAUUUGUGAACCAUAUAUCUGAUAAGAGGUUAGUAUGCAAAAUAUGUAAGAAAUUUAUGCAAUUCAAUAGCAAAUAAGCAAGGAAAAAAGGAACCCACUUAAGAAAAGGAACACGCUCAUUUUUUGACUCUUACUUUAAGACUGAUAAAAGAUCUGCAGAAAAAAAGCCACAUAUAAAAAUAUAUAUAUAUAAAAAUACAUAAAUAAAUCUGAUUUCUGUAUGUUGGUAGGUAAAAAAAGAACUCCCUUUAAUAAAGUUUAAUUAUUUAAUUAUUACUGUGUAUAAUAUUUCUUUCUCUUUGAGAAUAUUCACACCAGAGGGUAUGGUUGAAAAAAUUUAUUUCUUGUGUUACUAAAACUGCUAACUAAUUAUCACAUUAAUUGUAUGGGUUUCACGUAUUAUUCUUUGAAGUAUCUGAAGUCAUUAGUGCUCAUGAGUCUUAACAGCUCUCUUUAUGUAAGGCCUUUGGGGUAACAGUAGACACUCUAGAAAUUUAAUAAUAGAUUACAAAAAAUAUACUACUGUUUGCCAUUAUCUCAAUUUCCUGAGUGUUCCCCAUUCUAAUGCAUUUUCUUUAAUCUCCUCUUUCCCCUCCUCAUGAAACUACCUCUACAUUAUGUUCUAUAAAAUUGGCAUUUCUUUGUUAGUUUAUUGGUUGUAUCAAUUGCAAAUUGUCUCUCUUCCUGUUGGCAUUUUAAUAAGGCCUAAGGAAAGAGCAUAAAUGCUAUUGUGAUGGUUAAUUUUAAGUGUCAACCUGUAGGGUAUUUUUGGAUGAGAUUAAUGUUUAAAUUGGUUAAUUUUAGGUAAAGCAGAUUAUUAUCCACAAUGUUGGUGAGCCUCAUCCAAAUUGUUGAAUACCUGAAUGGAACAAAAUUUCCAACCUCUGUGAGCAUGAAGAAAUUUUCUAGCAGACUGCCUUUCAACUUCACCUGCACCAUCAGCUUUCCAGAGUCUCCAUCCUGUCAGCAUUUGGACUGGAACAAUGCCAUUGGCUGUCCUACGCCUCAAACCUCCUGGCCCGUGCUGCAAGAUUCUAACUCACUAGCCUUUGUAAUCAUGUGAGCCAAUUCCUUAAGAGAUAAGAAUCUCUUUCGAGAUAUUAAACAAGACAUUCAAUUGGUUCUUUUACUCUGGAGAACCUAAUACAGCUGUCAUGAAAAACUUGGAUAUUCAAAUUAGAUAAAAGUAUAUUUCAGAAAUGUACCAGGAUCACAUUGUUAGCUUGUCUCUAUGGCUUUAUCCUAAGUCCUUAAGUAUUCUCUGCUUAGACAGCAGGGUUUGCUUAGUGGAGAGAUUGUAUCUCUAACUGUAUUGCCAGGACAGGUUUUUGACUACAUACCACCUAUCUUUCUCAAGAAAGUGAUAAUAAAAGCAAUUUUUUUCAUAUUUGAAAUCCUAGAGUACAACAAUAGCAAAUGGAAAAUGAAGAAAGAGGGAAUUAAAAAUGAGUAAAAGUAUUAACAUUACUUGUUUUAGGAAAAAGUAACAAUAAGUAGAUAAACAAUGGCUAGAUAAGGAAAAAUUUUUAAAGUCACUGUUAAAACUUGAAUUUUCUUCUAAAAUUCUCCUGCUGAACACCUUUCUAGAUGGGUAAAAGAGUGAGAAUAUUAAAUAAAAUUCUAAACUUUUAAAAAUAUAACUGGUUUUAAUUAUCUGACAGGUAACAUACAAAAUUUAUAUGUAAGGACAUUUUUAACUAUAGCAGUUGUUCCCAACAUAUACUUCAAAAGUAGUGUUCGGCCGUCCUAAAACACUAGAAAACUUCUACAGGCCUUUGACCUCUUGUAGAUUAUGUGGAAAACAGUAAUCUAUCUAUUCUGUAUUUUUUUUCAGAAGUAUCCAAAUUUUUUCCUCAGGGAAAAAAAAUACAGGUAAUAAGUUUCUUGAUAAAAUGUUUCUCUUAAAAACUGCAUAGAUUACUUCUACUUUCAGGUAAGGUCUUACUUCUCUCCAUAAAUAAUUGAAAACUUAGAUAAAACAUGUUUUUAGAUACUAGACAACAGUAAAUACUGUGAGCUAAAGAAAUAAAAUAGGUAACUACCUACAAUCAUUCUGACUUUCUGGCCUACAGGAUAUUUAUAAAUCUUGGGGCAGGGAGAGCCAACCCACUAGCUCCCAAGAGCUGUAGCUAACAUUUUAUUUAUUAUUUUUUGAUUUGAGGAGAUGGUGUUUGUAGCAUAAAUCUGAGAUUGCUAGAAUAUUUUGGGACGGAUCACCAAUGAAGAAAGAGUUACUCAGAGAAACAGCUCCAGAAAUCUACAUAACGAAUCAACGAAGUCUUUAGUUGAAUGCCAAUCUGCAUGUUAAGGUGAAACUCCCUGAGGAUAGGCAAAGAAAAUUUCUGAGGAAAGAAUAAUUUCCAGGUACAUAUAAGUCAAAACAAUUUCCACAGGACAAACAGUGUCAUGACUCCUUCCAAGUGCUAGCAAACAAAGUGAAGUAACAUCAUUGAAUACAUGGGCAGUAGUAGAGACGCAAGAUAGGCCCAUGCUCUAGUAAUUGGGCUAAACUAGUCCCAUAAAAUAGAUUAUUCUGUACCAGGGAUCAGCAAAUUAAGGACCAAUCUGAACCACUACUUUCCAGUAACUAAAAUUUUAUUGCAAAAUGGCUUUUCACUUAUUUACAUAUUAUCUAUAGAGACUUCAGUGUUACAACAAUAGAGUGAUAGAAAUCAAACGGUCUGCAAAGCUUUAGAUAAAUACUGUGUGGCUCUUGACAGAAAAAAAAUCCCUUGCUGAUUCCUCCUCUAGACUUGCCCUAAUCAAAGGACUUUCAUGCAACUCAACAGCCUAUCAGAACAAAAUUCAACACUGAUAAAAGUCUGACAACAAAAUUCAGUAAUCAAAUAUUUAACAUUUUCAAUGUCUGUCAUCCAAUCCAGAAUUACCACACAUACAAAGAAGGAGGAUAAAAUACCUCUAUACCCAGGUAAAACAAAUCAAAAAAUAACAUAGAUGAUGACAAAAGUAGAAAACAUUUUUUAAAAUAGGUAUAAUUAUCAUGUGCAGCAUGUGCAAAUAUUUUUUAAAAUGAACAUAAUGAGGAGAGUCAUAGGGAUAUAAAAAAAGAACCAAAGGGAAAUUCUAAAGAUAAAAUUAUGAUACCAAAAAUUAAAAUUAUUCUGAUUGGUAGAUUAGGCCCUGAAAUAGAAAGUCAGUGAAAUUGAAAACAUGGCAACAAAAAUUAAAAUAUAAAAUAAAUAUAAAUAAAUGCACAAAGGUAAAAAACAAGAUAUUAAUGGCCUCAAUAUUAAUAUCAGAGACAAUAUCAAUUGCAACAAAAUACAUGGGGUGGAAUACUAAAAAGAAAGAGAAAGAGAAAAACAAUGUGAAGCAAUUCUUUUUUUUUUUUUUGAGACAGUCUCACUCCAUCGCCUAGGCUGGAGUGCAGUGGCGUAAUCUUGGCUCACUGCAACCUCUGCCUCCCGGGUUCAAGCAAUUCUCCUGCCUCAGUCUCCCAAGUAGCUGGGAUUACAGGCUACUACUACCAUGCUCAGCUAAUAUUUUUUUUUUGUAUUUUUAGUAGAGACAGGGUUUCGCCAUGUUGGCUAGGGUGGUUUUGAACUCCUAACCUCAGGUGAUCCACCCGCCUCGGGAUUACAGGCGUGAGCCACCGUGCCCGGCCCAUAUUUUAAAAAUAUCUAUAUUUUAUACCAAGUCAUCAGACAUUUGAGAACAUAUCCUAUUGAAGUAAAACACAGUAAGGAUGUAUUUAAAGAAUGAGUAUUGAAGAAAUACUCACAGAAUUGAAAAAUCAGAGAAUGUUAAAUAAUUAUAAUAUAUUCAUAUUAAAAAAUAAUAUUCAGUCUUAAAGCAAAUAGUUAAAGCAACUAAACCAGUUGUAAUAGGCAGAUUUCCAAAAAACGGUUAUGUAAGAAAACAAGAUACAAACAUUGUAAUAUCAUUUCAUGUUUUCAAUAUAAAUUAUUUAAAAAUUUCAUAUAUGUAUAUGUAUGUUUACCAAACUAUGUGAGUACUGAGAAAAAUAUGAAAGAAUGCAUGCUUGAUUGUCAUAUCCCAUGGGUGUGUAAUGGGAGUAGUGAAGAAGAUAAAUGGGGUAGUAUAAAAAAUAUAAAACCAUAAUACACUAAAAUGUAAUAUGAAUGUUAUACUUUACAUUUGUUUAAAAUUACAUAUGUGAUUUGUACAACUAAAGUGGUAUAAAAAUUAGAAGCAAAGUUAAAUGAGAAGGAAUUGAUUAAAUGUACAUACAUAUACCCACAGAACGGUAUCAAUACAUGGGUACACAUACACACACAUAUAUAUAUAAUGUUUAUGUUCACUAAAUAAUUAUGUGUCACUUAACGAUGGAUAUACAUUCUGAGAAAUGUGUUGUCAGGCAAUUUUGUCCUUGUGCAAAUAUCAUAGAGUGUAUUUACACAAACCUAGUUCACACUUUGGCUAUCUGGUAUAGACUAUUGCUUCCAGGCUACAAACCUGUACAACAUGCUACUGUUCCAAAUAUUGUAGGCAAUUGUAACUGGAUGUUAAGUAUUUGUGGAUCUUAAUGUAUCUAAACAUAGAAAAGGCACAUACAAAAAUACAGUAUUAUAAUCUUAUGAGACCAUGGUCAUCCAUGUGGUCCAUCAUUGACUGAAGAAUCGUUAGCAUGUCAUGACUGUACAUAUACAGCAUUCAUAUAUUUAAAUACAUGCAUAUAUAUUAUAUAUAUAUGGGGCAUACACAUAAGUAAUAUAUAUUUUCAUACACCUUGCAAUUUUACUGCUUGGAUUUAUUUUCUUAGAAAACAAAAUAAAUAAGAUAGUAUAGAUUUAAAAAUCUAUGGAUAAAAUAAUUCAAAGCAAUAGUACUUUUGUAGUGAAUAACAUAAUAUAGUAUAAAUGUACAAAUACAGUGAUGCAUUACAGAUAUUUUGCGUAUUUUACAGCAUGCAAGUUAUCUCUUUAAAAGAGCUUUAGAAAUGAAUUCAGUAAGUGAAAGAACAAAAUAUUUUUAUAUCAAAUUAUUUUGCCAAAUUUAUACGUUACUACCGCUAGUAACGUAUGAGAUCAUUCAUCUCACCAUUGCAAACAUUGUCAUUAUAAUUCAAAAAAUUGUAUUUACUAUUUGGUUGACUUAAUUUACAUUUUUAAGAAUAGUAUAAAAUGGCUAAAGUGAUGGCAUUUUAAUUAUUUGAUUCAUCUUUUUUGGCUCCACUUAACAAUUGAGGUUCUAUUAAUUAUUUUAUGGAUUUAUGUGGGCUUUUCUAUCAAGCUACGUUCUGAAAUAGUUGCUCAUAAUUUAGUACUGCUUUCUUUUUCUCUUAAUUUUAGUUAAAGCUUCUGACAUACAGUAGUUGUAAAUUAUAUAUUAAAUCUAUUGGUUUUUUCCAUUAUGAUUUUUUUCCUUAUUGUAAUAAAGCUUAAAAUGAAUAUCCUUCCUCUUGAACAAGUUUCCUAUCUAGCUUGUAUUAAAUUAAUCUCAGUGGAACUUAAGGAUCCAUAGCAAAUGGAGGAUUCCUGAAAUCCAACUGAAUAUCAAGUAUUUUCUGAAGACAUCAUAAGUAAUAGUUUGUGUACUUUUAAUUGUGUGAAAUAUUUUAAGCUUAAUAAGCCAUAUAUGUAUUUAAAACUAAUAAAUUUAUAGAUAGCAUAUGCAACAUUGAAUUGAUCUAACAGAUACCAAAAGAAGUACACCUAUAAUGCAGGCAGUUGAAAUUUAUUUUGACACAGGAACUUCUUUAUUUUUAUUUUUUAUUUUUUUGAGAUUGAGUCUCACCCUGUCGCCCAGGUUGGAGUGCAGUGGCACCAUCUCUGCUCACUGCAACCUCUGCCUCUCCGGUUCAGGUGAUUCUCGUGGCUCAGCCUCCCAAGUAGCUGGGAUUACAGGCGUGCACCACCAUGCCCGGCUAAUUUUUGUAUUUUUAGUAGUUUUGAACUCCUGACCUGAGGUGAUCUGCCCACCUCGGCCUCCCAAAGUGUUGGGAUUACGGGCAUAAGCCACGGCUCCCAGCCAAGGAACUUAUUAUACUAAGUGUGGAGAACCCUGCUAUAGAAGUCUGUCAAAUAUUUACUGCCCCCACCCUUUUCUUAGUAUUUCUGUAAUUCAAAUAACUUUUCAUAUUUCAUAUUUAGUUUUUCAUAUUUAUUAUUGUAAUCUAUUGGGAAGUUAUUUUUACAUAGAAAGUUGGUUAGGAAUACGAUUUAUCUUGUCAGGUUUUAUAGUUUUUCUAAAAGUUUACCUACGUGUUUUCUUUUUUCUUUUUUCUUUUUUUUUACUUUUUUUUCUUAUUUUGAGAUGGAGUCUCACACUUGUUGCCCAGGCUGCAGUGCAGUGGCGCGAUCGUGGCUCACUGUAACCUCCACCUCCCGGUUUCAAGCGAUUCUUCUGCCUCAGUCUCCCGAGUAGUUGGGAUUAUAGGUGCCAGCCACCACACCUGAAUUUUUUGUAUUUUUAAUAGAUACUGGGUUUCAUCAUGUUGACCAGGCUGGUCUGGAACUCCUGACCUCAGGUGUUCUGCCCGCCUCGGCCUCCCAAAGUGCUGAGAUUACAGGCGUGUUUUCAUAAGUUUCUUUUCUCUAUAAAUAUCAUAUUGUAUUACUAAAGUGGAGUCAUUUUUGUUUCAUUAUUACUUAAUAGCUUUAACUGUGGUAAUGAAUUUCAGUGCUUUCCUUUCAUACUUUAUGAUUUUUGCACCUUCAGCUUGAAAUCAGGUACUAUUAAACUCCAGUAAUUUUUAUUUUUAUAACACAUUGCAAUUUUUGUUAUUUUCUUUUCCAAUAAUUCUACAUUUUUGUUCAUUGUAGCAACAUUAGAAAUAUACUUUUAUUAUUUAUUUAUUUAAUUAAUUAUUAUUAUUAUUUUUUGAGACAGAGCCUCUCUCUGUCACCCAGGCUGGAGUGCAAUGGCACAGUCUCAGCUCACUGCAACCUCCACCUCCUAGGUUCAAGUGAUUCUCCUGCCUUAGCCUCCUGAGUAGCUAGGAAUACAGGUGCAUGCCACCAUACUCGGCUAAUUUUUGUAUUUUUAGUAGAGACGGGGUUUCACUAUGUUGGCCAUGCUGGUCUUGAACUCCUGAACUCGUGAUCAGCCUGCUUUGGCCUCCCGAAAUGCUGGGAUUACAGGCGUGAGCCUCCACACUGGCCUCACAUGCUUUUAGUUAUAGUGUUUUGUUUUUGCUUUUUAGUAAUUGAAGUAAUUGUUGUUUUCAAAUUCCUUCUUCUGGUUUAUCAAUUUCCUUAUAUUUUUCUUAAUGUUUUUACUGAGAAAUGCUAACAAAUUUUAUCAUGCAAUCAUGUAUAUUUUUAUUAUAUUCAGUAAUAUACUAAUGCUUUAUUAUGUUAAUUAGCUAUAAAAAUAUAUUUAAAAGUCCUGCUUUGUCAUGUUGGCUACAGAAUAACACUAAUCACUAAUAUGUCAUUUCAAAUAUAUAAAUAUCAAAGUAUAUAUGUGUGUGUUUUAUACACCAUAUAUUACAUUAUAUUAAAUACAUAUAUGCCUUAUUUAUAUAUAUAUAUAAUGUAUGCUGAAUUUUCUUUCUCUUUCUUCCCUUCUUCUUUCUUUCUCUCUCACUUUAUUUCUUGCUUGCUUUUCUGUUUUUGUUUAAUCUGUUUUUUGGUGACCCAGACAGCAUCCAUUUUCUCUUCCUAAGAACAUUCUAUUUUUUGGGGGGAGGGAUCUAUCACUUCCCCUUAUUGUUGAUAAAUUGAUAGAAUGAUAAAUCAAGUUACCUUGACCACUCUUAUAUAGCCAAUGACUCACUCUAGGUCAAUAAUACUAUCCCAGGACUUUGCAUCUUGACUGAACAUUUGUUCACUCUUCUUGAGUAAAAAAACUCCAAAACUCGGUGAAAACAAGCCAAAAAUAUAUUAAUUAUUGCUCACAUAUCUAUGAGUUGGUUUGGUUUCUGACCUUCCAGGCAGGACUGUCACGAAUUAUUCUUGUCAUUAUACAUCUGAGAUGACAAAAAGACUAGCUGAGAUGAUAAGUUCUGUGUUUCACUGAUCAUCGUUGGAUGAGUGAGCUUAACAAGAGACGUUACUCUCAUAGCAACACCAAAGAUGAUAAAGAGCAUUUGGCUAACUGACACUUUUCUCCAUGUACUAUUUGCCAAAACAAGUCACAUAACUAAGCCAAAAGAGAUGGAGGAAUUCAUUUCCCUCAUGGAGAUGAGAAGACUUGCAAAGUUAAAUAACAAGAGUAGAUACAGAAGAAGGAGAAGUAUUAGAGUCAGUAAUGAAAUCUACCAGGCAUUGAGAGCCACAAAGGCAAAAUGUAUGUGUAAAAUAUUCACUUUAUUAGCACCUAAGAAAGAGAGAGUUGAGCAAGCUAUAUCUGUUUCCUAAGAGCCCAGUAAUUGCUGGUAUACAUGUUGUUUCUUAUGCUAGUUCCUAGUCUCUGUGUAAAUUUGAACUAAACAAUAUAUAAAAGAUUCCCCUCUUCUUAAUUUUGUGGAAAUUGGUAUUGCUUACUUCCAAAUAAAGAAUCCUAAGUGGUUAAGAAUAAAACAAAAUUUGAAGAAGGUAGAAUAUAUAAAGAGGCUGACAAAUUCUUUGUGAUCUUGGCUUAAAGAACAAUACAUCUCACUGUGGCCUUUGCUACUUUAUUACUUUUCUUCCUAAGAGCCUUAGGAAUUUCUAAAUCCAGUUUUCCAGCUUAAUCUUUACAGUGGACAGAAAACUUCUCUUUAUACUAACUCCCAUUUGAGAAUCCUGUACUUUUCCUCAAAUAUAGAGAACUUCACUUCUCUCCUUGCCAUGGCCAGCUUAUUUUUCACUUAUUGGCUUCCACAAAGUUGGCCGUGACCUGUGCUCUCCACAACAAAAAUCACAUAAACUGAUGGCAAUGCAGAAUUCAAGUAAACAUAUUUAGCUAGUGAUGAUGCUUGAUCCAGUAGUAGCUGCACUGUUAGUUCUCUCAACUUCUAUUACUUUUGCUUGCUAUUUCUCUUAGUUUCCUUUGUUUUCCCUUCAUAGUACAUUCUAUUGUAUUACACAAUAUAAAUAUGUCAUUUUAUUAUUAUCAUCAUAUUACACAAUACAAAGAUUCUACAGCAAUGCUGUCCAAUUGAAAUAUACUGUGAAUGAUAAGUAUAAGACAUAUAUGUAGUUUUAAAUUUUAAUACCCAUAGUGAAAUAAAAAGAUAAAAUGAAAUUUAGUAGUAUAUUUAAUUCCAAAUAUUCAAAAUAUAACCAUCUAAAAAUACAAUCAAUAUUAAAUUGUUAAUAUGAGUUUUUUCUUUUUUUUGGUAUAAAGUGUUCAAUAUCCAAUGUGCAUUUUAUACUUACUGCAAGCAUGUCUCCAUUUGGACUCACUAUAUUUGAAGCGGUCAAUAGCCACACAUGGCUAGAGACUACAAUAUUCAACAAUGUAAGUCCAUAAAGUUUCUUAGGGCUGAGUUAUGUAUGUCUAAUUUAUUUGCAAAUUUCAUAAGGGCAGAGGUCUUUUCUAUACUGUUUACCACAAUACACAUAGAACCAAUCAGAAGGUUUAGUCUAAAAUAAUAGGCAUUUAAGAAUUUUGUAUCAAAAACUCAUUUAGUAUAAUGUUAUCUAUUUUUUCUAGAGUGAAAUACAUAGUUCCAUCUUUUAAAUUUCUACCUUAUAAGCACUAUUAUCUACCAUAAAAUUAUCUGUUCAUUUGUCUUGAAAUUCUUUAUUAAACACUUAGAUACAAGUUUUUCUUUAUUUAAAUUCUCUCAAUAAUUUUCCAUUUUUCCCAAUGCUACGUGAGUCAAUCGUCAAGGAAAAAUAUCCUGUUCAUUAAGAGUUUAAAUGUUUUAGUAUAAAAUGAUGACCUGUUUUAUGAUCAAACAAUAGUUAUUUACCAAAGGUUACACAUUCCCAGCUGUGUAUUAUUAUGAAACUUUAGGUUAUGUCAAUCAUCAAUAGAGUUUCUUCAUUUGAUACCCUUAACAUAAUUUUUUCCAGAUAUAGAUACAUUAUGUUCAUAUGUUAUCUUUAGAUUUCUGGAUUUUUGUGAUAUCUGUUCUCAUUUAUAUGGUCAUGAACGAUUUUAAUAGAAGGUGAAAUAGAAUAAGAUACUCUUAGUAAUCUGCCUCAUAAGUGAGAAAUUCACUAUAUUUUUUUGACAUUUAUUAGAAUCAUUAUUUUUAAAUUCCAUGGCUAUAGUGCUAUACUUAUCCUACUGAGAACUGCUCUCAAUUUAAUUAAUAAGGACUUGUCUGUUGAAUACAUCAUUCCUUUUAGUAUUCCUCCCAUCUUCUCAGGGUAUACUGGAAGGAAAAUUUGUGUGCUUUUGCUGAAUAUUAUUAUAGUUAUACCUUUGGAUAGUUUAAUACACUGACAUGAUUAGUUGUACUGAGUUUAUAUUUUAAUAUAACACUCAAAUUUUUUACUGGAUUAUGCGAGUCAGGUACUCUUACCUGAACAUUUUAGCCACUUAUAUAUAAACCUCUACCAUAGUUUUACAAUGCUAGGCUGUCUUUAAAAAGUCCAUGGCAUUUAUCAGGAAUAAGACAUUUUAAAAAUCAAUUUCUAGCAGUUUGAGCUAUGAGAAUGCAAAUUAUAACAUUGUACUACAGUUCUGGGAUGUACUAAAAAAUUAAGAAGAGGCAUAACAAUAAUUACGCCAGGUGGUGUGUUUUAUUUGUAAUGACAAAGCUUAUUUCUACACAAAAUGCCUCUAGUAUAAAAGAAUGUCAAGAAUUACUAUCUAACGCAUUGCUGAUUUCUUUAAUUACUCUCAUUAAUGUGCCUUUAAUAGCUACCCAGAAUUAAAUAUUUAAAAUAUAUUGUGCAUUUUUUAUUAAAGGAGAUAUUUAAAUAAAGCAAAAUAAAUUUCAUAUCUAUAAUCUUCAGUUAUAGGAAUGAAGAUAGAAGCAGUGUAUAUUUAUCUUAGGGAAGUUGUUAGUAAUUACUAAAUUUCUUUAACAAAGCAAAAUUGGAUUCACCAAAAUAUAAACAAUAUAAAUAAUCAUAUGUUUAAGUGGUUCAACAUUUUAAAGUGUUAAUUACCUUCUAAGAUAUAUUCUGCCUCAAAGCCUCCAUACAUGCUGAGAAACAUACUGAGGAAUUAUAAACAUCUUGUGUAAAACAUGUUGUCAUAUAUUCUCCAACAACUGUGUUUCAGUAAAAUCUGCCCAAGGCUUAACAAAAAAGUGUUUAAAGUAUUAUCUGUCUACAUCAAGAGCAGCAUUUUGUCAGUUAAAUAAAUUAUGAUAACUUUGUGAAAUACAGUAAUUAAGGUGCUUCUAUGUAAUAGAAUAAUGUGUAACUGGUAGAAUAUUACUUUACAAGAAUGUUUAAGGUUAUUAAAAUGUUCAGAUAUGUUAAACAAAGUGCACUUGUUGAAUAAUAUACAGCUUAUGAUGAAAAUUUUGUGAGUGAAUGAUGAAAAUUUUGUUGGGUAUAUAUGUAAAUAUUUAAUGUGUGUAGAAAAUGAGAGAGAGACAAAGAUGGUAAGAGCAGGUAAGUACUUUAAAAGAAUUAUAACCCAAAGAAUUAUAAUAAUCAUCAUCUGGGUAGUAGAAUUAGGUGUUCUUAAUUUUCUUCUUACACUUUCAAAAGCAUUUUACAGUGUCAUUAUGAAUAUAUAUGACUAUUUUAAUAAAAAUAAUUGCACAAAGUAUGUAUUAAUGAUUAUAAAUAGAAUAUAUUAUUUAGUAUAUACUAUACUUAUAAUUACUUCCUUCAACAGAACUACUUUGUUUUACUAUGAUCAGACACUAAUAUUAACCAAAUUAUAUCUUCUAGAUUCAUCUGCUCCAUUUAUACCCUCUUUUAAAUUUACCUCCAAGAAAGCAAUUCUGUUCUUUCUUGCACCUCUAAUUUCUUUCCACUGUAUCCUUUCUUUUUAAUUCCAUAAAUGAGUAUGAAGUUUGUCAUGGAUGUUCUGUGUGGCCCUAGGACAAAAUCUAUCAGAAACUGUAUUGCAUGAAGAUGGCUGGCAGCUGAGUCCUUUAGAAAUGCCUUUUGCUGAAGGGAGUUGGGCCAUCAAAGAUGUAAUGAUACAUCCCUGGGAGAGGUCAGGGUCCAAUGACGGUUUAAUGUGAGGUUUGAGAUGCCCAGCCCCCUUGCAUGAUUCAGAACUUCUCUGUAGGGCCGUCUCCAUUUCAUAAGCCCUGUGUGAUUGGCUGAAGUUUCUGUUCCUACUGUAACCAAUUCCUCCCUUCUCCUUUUCCAAUUCAGCUUCUUGUGUUUCCUCAUAGAUACUGCGACUGAAAACGACCCAAUGCCUUUCCUGCAUAAAAAUGUCUGUCUCUUAGUCUACUUUGCAGGCAAAAUGACAAAGGGAUUAUUCAAAGGUACAUCCAGCUAGUGUUGCAAGGAAAUGUUUAUUGGGAUUACACACAAAAAUGUGAAGGUUCUGUAUAAGAAGGGGAGCCCAUUUUCAGUUCAAACCUUAAAUAAACUAAAUGAAUUUUUUUUUUUUUUUUUUUUUUUGCUCUCACGCUUAACACGGCAAAAUAAUUAAAGAAGAUAGGAAAUAUCAGUACAGAAAACCGUAGUCUAAGCAGACAGACAUAGGCUUUUUUUGUGGAAAACAAGUGAAACUGUCAGUCAGCAGUUACAGAAAAUAUUGCAGAACAUCUCAGAGGGAAGCAAUGUCCCUCUGGACAUCAAUUGUGGUAGAUUUACUUAAAGUAAAUUGUAUAAUUUUUCAUGACUUCAAAGGCUAAGUAUUUAGUGGUAAUGGCUCUUAAAACUGUCAUCAGAAGGAAGAGGAUCAGCAGAGUUGGGACAAUCUAGUCAAAUUCAAUUAAAUAUUGAAUACUAAAUUCUUCCUAUAUUUUCUAGCUUUGUUCUAGAUGUUACUUGGGAGGCUGAGGCAGGAGAAUCGCUUGAAUCUGGGAGGCUGAGGUUGCAGUGAGCCAAGAUCCUGCCACUGAACUCCAGCCUGGGUCACAGAGUGAGACUCCAUCUCAAAAAAAAAAAACCAGAAAGCAAAACAACAACAACAACAACAACAACAACAACAACAAAAAACUUAAGCUUUAGAAAAUGUUGUAAUAGAGAUUUUAUGGAGGGUAAUAUGGUUAACAUUUCUCUACUUCCUUAGUGAUGGAGAAUCAAGAGUUUCUUACCUACCUAUUCUCUAUCUACCUCUCAGUUUUGAAUCCUUCACUUGUUUACUCUGCAUCAUAUCUAGCACUCUGCCAGUCUGUUUUAUAUCCCUACCCCUCUUGAACCUUGAUAGCUAAACUUAAGCAUCAUGUAGUCUACAACUAAUCCAGACUUAUUCUCUCUGUGAAAUAGGUUCUAGCAUCUAUCACCAUUUCAGUAAAGGGCAAAUGAAAGAAUUGUAAACACACCCUCACAUUCUAAGUCUUCCAUCCACUGAGCAACAGGAAUUUCUUAAUUUAUACUCCAUAUGGUGGCCAAGGACUGAUUUAUUAUUAUGUGAGUAAUUCACACCAGGUAUUCAUGACCAGGUAAAUCUACACUCCUCAUAAUUCUGUGGUUUCCCUGUUGUUUGAAAUAGUCUGUAAAGUUGUUUAUUCUUCCCUGUGUCCUUCGUUUUGUGCUUUUUUUUAUUCAAUUACUUAUUACUUAUCUAUCCUAUUUUUCUUUCCCCUCCCACCCCAAACUCUGACAACUACUGACCUGUUCAUCAUUCCUGCAGUUUCUCCUUUUCUAGAAUGUCAAAUAAAUACAAUCUUAAAAUAUGUAACCUUUGAGACUGGCUUCUGUUACAGCACAAUGCAUUUGCAAUUCAUCUAUGUUGUUGUGUGUGUCAGUAGUUGAUUACAUUUUAUUGUUCAGUAAUACUCCCUUGUUUGUAUAGGCUAAGUUUGUCUAUUCCAUCACCUAUGCAUUUGAAUUAAUGCCAGUUUGAGUUAUCCUGGCAUAAACAUUCUUAUAUAGAUUUUGGGGUGAAAGUAACUUUUCAUUUCUCUAAAAUAAACAUGUAGAAAUGGGAUUGUUGAGUCAGAUGGUAAUUACAUGUUUAACUUUUUAAGAAACAGACUGCCUUAGAUUCUUUAGUGUUGCUGUAAUAGCAUAUCAUAGACUGGGUAAUUUUAAAGAGGGUAAAUUUAUUUCUUAUAGUACUGGAGACUGGAAAGUCCAAGAUCAAAUGGCACACAUCUGGAUAAGGCCUUCUUACUGCACCAUUUCAUGGAUGGGAGCAGAAAGGCAAGAAAACAUAGAAGUGGGGUCACUUUUUUGUCUGGUAGCUUUACUUUUAAAUUUUUGAAGAACCUCCAUCUGUUUGUAUUAGUUCAUUUUGUGUUGCUGUAAAGGAAUACCUGAGGCUAGGAAAUGUAUAAAGAAAAGAAUUUUAUUUGGCUCAUAGUUCUGCAUGUGCUGUACAAUCAUGGCACCAGUAUCUGCUUGGCUUCUGGUGAGGCCUCAGGAAGCUUUUACUCAUAGCAGAAGGGAAGGGAUCCAGCAUGUCACAUGGUGAAGAAGGGAGCAAGCAAGAGAGAGAAAGUGCCAAGCUCUUUUAAACAACCAGCUCUCGCACGAGCUAACAGAGUAAGGACUUACUUAUUCCUGUGAAGACAACACCAAGUCAUUCGUGAAGGAUCCAUGUCUAUGACCCAAACAUCUCGCAUUAGGCCUACCUGCAACAUUGGAGGUCACAUUUCAACAGAAUAUCAGUGUUUUCACAAUGCCUAUAUUACUGCUGAGUUUUAGGAGUUCUUUCUGUAUAUCUUUCUGGAUACAAGUUUUUCAUUGAUGUUAUGCUUGAUAAAGCAAACAAGGUCUGAGGGCAAAGACUAGAGUAAAUACCUAAUGCCUUGAUGCACAGACAUUGAUGAAUGUUCACAAGCAUCAAGAAUAUGAAAGGCAUUAUGACUUCAUGAAACAAACUAAAUAAGGUGCCAGUGACUAACUUUAAAUAGAGGGAUAUGUGUGACCUCUCAGACAGAUAAUUCAAAAUUACUGCUUUGAGGAACUCAACCGACUUUAGGAAAAUACAGAGAAGGAAUUCAAAAUUUUAUCAGAGAAACUUGACAAAGAGGUUGAAAAAAAUCAAAUGGAAGUCCUGGAGCUGAAGAUGCAUUUGAGGUUCUCAACAGCAAAAUUGAUCAAGCAGAAGAAAAAACAUCAGUGAGCUCAAAGACAGCUAUUUAGAAAUAUCAAAAAGUCAGAGAAAAAAAAAAGAAUGAAAUUCUAUGGCCAGGUGCAGUGGCUCAUGCCUGUAAUCCCAGCACUUUGGGAGACUGAGAGCGGAGGAUCACUUGAGCUCAGGAGUUCAAGAACAACUGGGGCAACGUGGCAAAAACCCAUCUCUACAAAAAAUACAAAAGGUAGCCAGACAUGGAGAUGCACACCUGUAGUCACAGCUACUCAGGAGGCUUAGGCAGGAGAAUCACUUGGGCUUGGAAGAUCAAGGCCACAGUGAGUUAUGAUCGAGCCACUGCACUCCAGCAUGGGUAACUAAGCAAAUAUCCUGUCUCACAACAACAACAACAACAAAGGAAUGGAAUCCUGUCAUUCACAAUGUGGAUGGAACUGGAGGACAUUAAGUGAAAUAAACUAUGAACAGAAAGUUAAACACCACAUGUGAUAUGGUUUGGCUCUGUGUCACCACCCAAAUUUCAUCUCGAACUGUAAUCCCCACAUGUUGAGGGAGGGACCUGGUGGGAAGUGAUUGGAUCAUAGGGGUGGUUUCACUCAUGCUGUUCUUGUGAUAGUGAGUUCUCAUGAGUUCUGAUGAUUUAAAAGUGUUUGGCAGUUCCUCUCCUCUCUCUUGCCUGCUGCCAUGUAAGAUGUGCCUUGCUUCCCUUUUGCCUCCUGCCAUGAUUGUAAGUUUCCUGAGGUCUCCCCAGCCAUGUGGAACUGGCAGUCAAUUAAACCUCUUUUCUUUAUAAAUUAAAAAAAAAAAAGUCAGGGAAGAAAACAGGAAAAGAACAAAAAAUGAAAAACAUAAAAUCUAGAAAACAGCCUCAAAAGUACAAAUCUAAGAGUCAUUGACCUUCAAAAGGGAGUUGAGAAGGAAUAAAGGGUAGAAAGAUUAUUGAAAGAAAUAAUAACAGAAAACUUUCCAAGCCUAGAAUAAAUACAUAGAUAUCCAAGUGAAGGAGUGUCGGAGAUCACCAAAGAUUUAACUCAAAUAAGACUACUUCAAGGCAAGUAACACGUUAUAAUUACAACAGCUUAUUUUAAACUGAUGACCCCUUAACUUUGAUCACAGUAUAAGAAUGGAAAUAAAGAAACUCUAAAGCAAGAAACUCUAAAAUACAGAAACUCUCCAUAUUAACUUCAUUUUCUGCAUCUCUCCCCCAGGCAUAAAUAUUUUGACUUCUAGAUGUCUCAAUUUACAUCUUUUAUAUUGUUUACCUCAAUAUAUUUUUAUUUUUAUUAUUGUUAAUAAUUUUGUCUUUUACUUUUUAUGUUAAAUAUAUGACAGGUUUACAAACCACAAUUUCAUCAUUGGAGUAUUCUGAAUUUGUCUGACAUUUACUUUUAUCAUUGAGUUUUAUGCCUUUAAAUUUUGUUGUUAAAUAUUACUGUCCUUUCCAUUUAAAUUGCAGUACUUUAUUUAGUACUUCUUCUAAGGUGGAUCUGGUGGUCACACAUUCCCUCAACUUUUGUUUGCCUGGCAAAAUCUUUAUUUCUGCUCCAUGUUUGAGGAUAGUUUUGCUGGAUACAUCAUUCUGUGUUGGCAGGUUUUUGUUUCUGUUUUUGUUUUUGUAUUUCAGCACUUUAAAUAUGUCACCCACUCCUUCCUGACUGCGUGAUUUCUGCUGAGAAGUCUGCUUCAACACAUUGAGGAGCUUCUUUAUCUGCUAUUUUCUUAUUUUUUCUUGCUGCUUUUAGGGUCCUCUGUUCAUCCUUCACCUUUUAGAGUUUGAAUAUUACUUGUGAGGCAUUGAACUCAAGUGCAGUCCUGUUACAGCAGAAGGAAAAACGACCAAAUUCAGCUGUGUCCACAGAGAGAGCAUUUAAACCAGCCCUAGCCAGAAAAGAAUUGCUCAUUCCAGUGGUUGGAACUUGAGUUCCCAUUAGUCUUGCCACUGCAGGCUACAGCAUUCUGUGUCUCCAAGUAAACUUGAAAAGCAGUCUAAGCCAGGGGUGUCCAAUUUUUUGGAUUCCCUGAGCCACAUUGGAAGAAGAAGAAUUGCCUUGUGCCACACAUAAAAACACUAAAACUAACGAUAGCUGAUGGACUGAAAAAAAAAAGUCACAACAAAAUCUUACUUGUAAACUUUUAAGAAAGUUUACAAAUUUGUGUUGGGCCACAUUCAAUUGGGUUGGACAAGCUUGGUCUAGGUCAUAAGGACUACAACUAUUAGGUGAGUCCUAGUGUUAAACUCAGCCCAGAGACAAUGGACUUGGGGGGCACAUGACAUACUGAGGUCCAACUAGGGCAGCCAAGGAAGUGCUGCCAUCACUCAUUCCUCAAGGCCAGACCCCUUCCUUCUGCUUGAGGAAAGAAGAAGGAAAAGUGGGAAGAACUAUGUCUUGCAUCUAGGCUAUCAGUUUAACCACAGCUCAACCACAGAAGGAUAGGACACUGGUCAGAGUUAUGAGGCCCCCGUUCCAGGUCCUAGCUCCUAGAUGACAUUACUAGACUCACCCUGAGCCAGAAGAGAAUCCACUACCUUGAAGGAAAAGUCCUAGUCUUGGCAGCAUUCAGCAUCUGCUAACAGAAGAGCCCUUGGGCCUCAAAUAACAAGCAGCAAUACUCAUGUACUACAUCAAGGACCUUGAUGAACCUCUUAUAAUUACUGGCUUCAGGUGAGACUCAGCAAAUUGCCAGCAGUGGUGAAUAUGUGGUGAAACCCCUUCUGCUUGAGAAAAGCAGAGAGAAAAGUAGAGGAGACUUUGUCUUGCACCUUAGAUACCAGCAUGAGUACAGGGCGGUAGAGCACCAAGUGGGCUCCUGGGGUCAAUGAUCCAAUAAAUUCACUUUUGAACAGCAUUUCUGAACAUUCCCGGGGCCAGAACCCACUGCCCCUGAGGGAUAAGUCCCAGGUCAAAAAACAUUCACAACAAGCUAACUAAGAGACCUUAGGCCUUAAGGGAACAUUGGUGGUAGUCUGGCAAUAAUCCUCGUGGACUGGGAUAGAAGUGGCUAGGAGGUGAGGCUCCUCUGCUUUUGGAAAGGGGAGGGAAGAGUGGGAAGGACUUCAUCUUGGGUUUGAGUGCCAGCCUAGCUGCAAUACAAUAGAAUACCAGGUAAAAUUCUAAGGUUUUUGACUGAAGUCCCUAACUCCUGAAUGGCAUUUCUGGACUCAUCCAGGGCCUGGGGGAUCUCACUGACUUGAAGGGAAGGACAAAGAUCUGGCUGGCUUUGCCACCUGCUGAUUGUAGAGCCCCAGGGCCUUGAGGGAACACAGGCAGUAGCCAGGGAGUGGAUGAAACAGGCCUUGGGCAAGACCCAGAACUGUGCUGGCUUCAGAUGUGAGCCAAGGCAGACACAGUAGUAGUGGCCAUGGGAGUGUUUAGGCCAUUCCAACCCCAGCUUUAGAAGAUUCAGAAAGAGAGAGAGAGCGAGAGAAAGAAAGAGAAACUCUGUAUGUUUGGAAGAAAGAAGAAAGUAAGGGAAGAGAACAAGAGUCUCUGCCUGGUAAUCCAGAGAAUUCUCCCGGAUUUUAUCCAAGACCUGCUAGGCAGUACCUCUAUGAGUCUGCAAGAACUACAGCAUUACUGUACUUGGGGUGCCCUGUACAGCAGAUACAGCUUAGAUCACAACACUGAAGGCCUUUCAAAUAUCUGAAAGGCCUUCCCAAAAAGGAUGACUACAAAUAAACCCAGACAGUGAAGACUACAAUAAAUACCUAACUCUUCAAUGGCCAGACACCAACGAACAUCUACUAGCAUCAAAAUCAUCCAGAAAAUCAUGACUUCACCAAAUGAACUAAAUAAGAAACCAAGAAUCAAUCCUGGAGAAACAGAGAUAUGUGACUUUUCAGAAAGAGAACUCAAAAUAGCUGUUGAGGAAACUCAAAUAAAUUCUAGAUAAAGGCUGUCACGGUGGCUCAUGCCUGUAAUCCCAGCACUUUGGGAGGCCAAGGCAGGCAGAUCACCUGCGGUCAGGAAAUUGAGACCACCCUGGCCAACAUGGUUAAACCCCAUCUCUACUAAAAAUACAAAAAUUAGUCGGGCAUGGUGGCAGGCACCUAUAAUCCCAGCUACUUGGGAGGCUGGGGUGGGAGAAUCGCUUGAACUUGGGAGACGGAGGUUGCAAUGAGCCGAGAUCAUGCUCCUGCACUCCAGCCUGGGUGACAGAAUGAGUCUCCAUCUCAAAAGAAAAAAAAAAGAAAUUCUAGAUAAACAUAGAGAAGGAAUCCAGAAUUCUAUCACAUAAACUUAACAGAUAAAUCGAAAUAAUUAAAUAGAAUCAAACAGACAUUCUGGAACUGAAAAAUAUAACUGGCAUACUGAAGAAUGCAUCCAAGUCCUUUAACAGGAGAACUGAUCAAGCAGAAAAAAGAAUUAGUGAACUUAAAAACAGGAUAUUUGAAAAUAAAAAUUGGAAGAGACAAAAUAAAAAAAUAAAAAGCAAUAAAGCACAUCUACAAAAUCUAGAAAAUACCCACAAAGGGGCAAAUGUAAGAGUUACUGGCCUUAAAGAUGAGGUAGAGAAAGAGAUAGAAAUAGAAUGUUUAUUCAAAGGGAUAAUAAGAGAACUUGCCAACGUAGAGAUGACUCAAUCAAAAGUAAUAACUACAACAAUUUUAAAGACAUAGUUAAUACAAUAAGAUAUAAAUAGAAACAACAAAAAGUUAAAAAGCAGAAGGAUGAAAUUAAGGCAUAGAGUUUCAUUAUUAUCCUUUUUGCUUGUUUGUUUGUUUACAGAAAUACUGUUACGUUGUUAUCAGUUUAAAAUAAUGGUUAUAAGAUAGCAUUUGCAAGCCCUAUAGUAACCUAAAGCAAAAAAAAAAAAAAAAAAAAGAAUAAAUUGCACAAAAAACAAAAAGCAAGGAACUAAAUCACAUCACAAGAGAAAAUCACCUUCAGUAGAGGAAAACAGGAAGGAAAGAAAGCAGGAAGAGAAAACCACAAAACAACUAGAAAACAAAUAACAAAUUGGCAGGAAUAAAUCCUUAAUUAUCAGCAAUAACAUUGAAUGUAAAUGGAGUAAACUCCUUAAUAAAAAUACAUUGACUGGCUGAAUGGAUAAAAAAAAAACAAAACCCAUGGAUUUAUUGCCUACAAGAAAUACACUUCACCUAUAAAGACAUAUAUGGACUGAAAAUAAAGGGAUGGAAAAAGAUAUUUCAUGCCUAUAGAAACUGAAAAAGAGUAGGAGUCACUAUACUUAUAUCAGACAAAAUAGAUACCAAGACAAAAAUUGUAAGAAGUGAUAAAGAAGGACAUUAUAUAACAAUAAAGGAGGCAAUUCAGUAAGGGAAUAUAACAAUUUUAAGUAUAUAUGCACCCAAUUCUGGAGCACCCAGAUGUAUAUAAAAAAAUAUAUUAGAGCUAAAGAAAGAGAUAGGUCCCAAUACAAUAAUAGCUGGUGACUUCAACACCUCACCUUCAGCAUUGGACAGAUCGUAUGGACAGAAAAUCAACAAACAAAUAUCAGACUUAAUCUGUACUGUAGACCAAAUGAAUCUAAUAUAUAUUUAGAGAACAUUUCAUCCUUGAGCUGCAGAAUACACAUUCUUUUUCUCAGCACAUAGAUUAUUCUCAAGGAUAAACCAUAUGUUAGGCCACAAAACAAGCCUUGAAACAUUCAAAAAAUUGAAAUACUAUCAAGUAUCUUGUCUGGCCAAAAUGAAAUAAAACUAGAAAUUAAUAACAAGAGUAAUUUUGAAAAUGGUACUAAUACAUGGAAAUUAAACAAUAUACUCCUGAAUGAUCAAUGGGUAAAUAAAGAAAUAAAGGAGGAAAUCAAAAAAAUUCUUGAAACAAAUGAUAAUGGAAGCACAACAUACCAAAAUUGAUGAGAUACAAAAAAAGGAGUACUAAGAGGGAAGUUACAGCUAUAGGUGCCUAUAUAAUAAUGAGGAAAAACAGCAAAUGAAUUAUCUACAUAUGCGUCUUAAAGAACUAGAAAAGCUAGAGAAAACCAAACUCAAAAUAAGUAGAAGAAAAAAAAUAAGAAAUCUCAGAGCAAAAAUAAAUGAAAUUUAAAUUUAAAGAUACAAAAGAUCAAUAACCUCAAAGUUUGUUGUUUGAAAAUUUAAACAAAAUUGAGAAAACAUUAGCCAGACUAAGAAAAAAAUGAAUCCAAAUAAAUAAAAUCAGAAAUGUAAAAGAAGACAACUGACACUGCAGAAAUUUAAAGGUUUAUUAAUGACUACUAUGAGCAACUAUAUGCCAACAAGUGGGAAAAUCUAGUGGAAAUGGACAAAUUUCUAGAUACAUACAACCUACCAAGAUUGAACCAUGAAUAAAUCCAAAACUUGAUCAGACCAAUAAGUAAUGAGAUCAAAAUUGUAAUAAGUGUCACCUAAUAAAAGUUUAAGAUUUGAUGGUUUUACCACUGAAUUCUACCAAACAUCUAAAGAAGAAAUAAUACCAGUACUAUUCAAACUAUUCUGAAAAAUAGAGGAGGGAAUACUUCCAAACAGUUGCAGCACUGUUUAAAAUAGCUAAGAGUUGGAAGCAACCUAAGUGUCCAUCAACAGAUAAUGUAUAAAAAAAUGUGGUACAUAUAUACAAUGGAGUACUCUUCAGCCAUAAAAAAAAAAAGAAUACAGAUCCAGUAAUUUGCAGCAAUGUGGAUGGAACUGGAGAUUAUUAUGUUAAGUGAAAUAAGCCAGGAGCAGAAAGAUAAUCAUCACAUAUUUCAUUUACCUGUGGGAUCUAAAAAUCUAAACAUUUGAACUCAUGGACAUAGAGACUAGAAGGAUGGUUAUCAGAGGUUAGGAAGGGUAGUGAGGAGCUUCGGGGGAAGAUGGUGAUGGUUAAUGGUUAUUAAAAAAAUUAAAAAAAACAGAGAGAAUAAGACCUACUAUUUGAUAACACAAUAGGGUGAAUAUAGACAAUAAUAACUUAAUUGUACAUUUUAAGAUAACUUAAAGAGUAUAACUGGAUUGUUGGUAAUUCAAACGAUAAAUGCUUGAGGGGAUGGAUACCCCAUUUUCCAUGAUUUGCUUAUUUCACAUUGCAUGCCUGUAGCAAAACAUCGCAUGCACCUUAUAACGAUAUAUGAUGGACCUACAAAAAAAUUUUUAAGAAAAAAACAAAAAAGGAGAGAUGACCUAAAUAAAAUCAGAAACAAAAAAGAAGACAAUAUAACUGAUGACAAAGAAAAAGAAAGGAUAAAAAAUGCUACUAAGAAGAACCAUAAGCCAGCAAAUUGGAAAAUCUAGAAGAAAUGGAUAAAUUCCUGCACACACACAACUUGACAAGAUUGAAUCAUGAAGAAAUAGAAAACCUAAACAGAUCAAUAACAAGUAACAAGACUGAAGCAGUAAUAAAAAUCUCCCAUAAAAGAAAAGCCCAAAACCUGACAGCUUCACUGCUAAGUCUACCAAACAAUUGAAGAACUAAUAUCCAUUCUACUCUAACUAUUCCAAAAAGUUUAAUGGGGGGAAUACUUCCAAACUCAUUUUAUAAGGUCAGCAUUACUUCCAGGCCAAAAUCACUAAUGAAUAUAAAAGCAAAAAUCCUCAACAAAAUACUAGUAAACCAAAUUCAACAAUACAUUAAGAAGAUCAUUCACCAUGAUCAAGUAGGAUGCAUCUCAGGUAAUCAAGAAUGAUUCAAAAUAUACAAAUCAAUAUAUGUGAUACAUGAAAGUAACAGAAUAACAAAACCCACUUGAACAUUUCAAUAGAUGCAGAAAAAUAUUUGAUAAAAUUAAACAUCUCUUCAUGAUAAAAACUUUCAACAAAUUGGUUACAGAAAGAAGGUACCACAACAUGCUAAGUGUGACAUACGACAAACCCUUAAGCUAAGAUUGUACUGAAUGAAGGAAAGCUGAAAGCUUUUCUCUAAGAUCAGCAAUAAGACAAAGAUGCCCAGUUUCAUGCUUCUAUUCAACAUAGUAUUGGAAGUCCUAGCCACAGCAAUCUGGCAAGAGAAAGAAAUAAAAGCUAUCAAACUGGAAAGGAAGAUGUUAAAUUGUCCCUGUUUGCAGGCAACAUAAUCUUAUAUAGAGAAAAAUCUGAAGUAUUGAUUUUAUACAUUGAAACAUCCUUGAACCUCAGGGAUGAAUCCAACUGGAUCAUGUUGAAUGGUCUUUUUAGUGUGCUUUUGAAUUCUGUUUGCUAGUAUUUUGUUGAGAAUUUUUACAUUUAUGUUCAUCAGGCAUAUUGGUCUGUAGUUUUCUUUUCUCAUAGUGCCUCUGCAUGGUUUUGGUGUAAGGAUAAUGUUGGUCUUUCAAAAUAAGUUUGGACAUAUUUUCUCCUAUAAUUAUUUGGAAGAAUUCGAGAAACAUUGGUAUUACUUCCUUUUCAAAUAUUUAGUAGAAGUCAUAGUAAACUUACCAGUUCUUGGGCUUUUCUUUGAUGAGUAUCUUUUUAUUUCUGAUUCAAUCUCCUUACCUUUUAUUGGUCUGUUUAGAUAUCUCUUUCUUCAUAACUCAAUCUUGGUAGGCUGUAUGAGUCUAGGAAUUUAUUCAUUUUUUUAGGUUAUCAAAUUUGAUGGCAUACAAUUCUUCAUAGUAGUCUCAUACAAUUCUUUUUAUUGAUGUGGUAUCAAUUGUAAUGGCUUCUUCUUAAUCUCUGAAUUUAUUUAUUUGAGUCCAUAAAAAACUUUUAGAACUGAUGAAUGAAUUCAGUAAAGGUACAGGACGCAAAACCAACAUACAAAAACCAGUAGCAUUUUUAUACUAACAUUAAACUAUCGGCAACAAAAUCAAGAAAAUAAUUGCAUUUACAAAAACUUUACAAUAACUACGAAAAAUAAGUACUUUAGAAUAAUUUUAACCAAGGAGAUAAAAAAAUCUGUAUACUGAAAACUGUAACAUAUUUACUAAAGGAAUUGGAGAAUACACAAAAAAAGUGAAAAGAUACCCUCUGUUUAAGGAUUGGAAGACAAUAUUGUUAAAAUAUCCAUAUUACCCAAAGUGACAUACAGUUUCAAUGCAAUCAAAAUUCUAAUAUUAUUUUUCACAGAAACAGAAAAAAAAUCUAAAAUUUGUAUGGAGCUACAAAAGCCUUGAAUAGCCAAAACAAUCUUAUGCAAAAAGAACAAAGCUGGAGGAGACAUACUACCUGACUUUAAAAUAUAUUACAAAGCUAUAGUAACCCAAUCAUCAUGGUUGCAUAAAAAUAGAUAUGCAGACCAAUAGAAUACAAUAAAAGUCCCAUAAAUAAAUCCGUAUAUUUAUAGCCACCUGAUUUUUUGAUAAAGGUGCCGGGAACACACAUUAGGGAAAGGACAGAAUCUUCAAUAAAUGAUGUUGGUAAAACUGGAUAUCCAUAUGCAGAAGAAUGAAAUUAGGCCCACAUCUCUUACAAUGUAUUAAAUCAACUCAAAAUCGAUUAAAGACUUAAGCCUAAGAUAACAAAACUUUGAAACUACUAGAAGAAAUCAUAGGGGGAAUGUUCCAUGACAUUGGCUUGAGCAACAACUUUUUGGAUAGGACAAAAUCACAGACAACAAAAGCAAAAAUAGACAAAUUGGAUUACAUCAAAUUAAAAAGCUUCUCUAUAGCAAAGGAGGAAAUCAACAAAAUGAAGAGAGAAUCUAUAGAAUAGGAGAAAACAUUUGCAAACUAUUCAUCUGAUAAACGGUGAAUAUCUAGAUUAUAUAAGAAACUUAAACAACUCAAUAGCAAGAAAACAAAUAACCUGAUUUUAAAAUGGGCAAAAUACCUAAAUAGAUUUUUUUAAAACACUGUAAAAAAUAUCUAUCAGGUAUAUGAAAAUGUGGUCAAAUCACUAUCAAGGAAAUGUGAAUCAAAUCCACAGAGAGAUAUCACCUCACUUCUAUUAGAAUGGCUUUUAUCAAAAAGACCAGAGUAAGCAAAGAUGUGGGGAAAAGGAGCCUGACACACUGUUAAUGGAAAUGUAAUGCUGUUAUGUACAGCCAUUAUGGAAAAUAGUAUGUAGUUUUCUCAAAACAUUAAAAAUAGAACUCCCAUGUUAUCCAGAAAUUUCACUACUGGGUAUAUAUCCAAAGGAAAUAAAAUCAGUAUGUGGAAGAAAUGUCUAUAAUUCCAUGGUCAUUGCAGCAUUAUUCUCAAUAGUCAAGAUAGGGAACCAACCAUGUGACCCUCUAAGGAUGAAUGGAUAAAGAAAAUAUGGUGUAUGUACAAUAUUUACCCUUAAAAAGAAGAAAGUCUUAUAAUUUCUGACAACAUGAAUGACCCAAGAGGACAUUAUGUUAAGUGGAAGAAGACCCCCCUACCCCCCAAAAAAGCUGUAUAAUCUCACUCAUAUAUAAAUCUGAAAAAGUUGAUCUUAGAAGUAGAGAGCAGAAUUGUGUUCAAUUCUACAUGGAUGGGGUUGAAUUGGAAAAGGGGAUUUGGUGAGAUGUUGGUCAUAAAAUACAUAAUAACAGUUAGACAGGAGGAAUAUGGUCAAGUAAUUUAUUGCACAGCAUGACGUCUAUUGUGAAUGACAAUAUAUUGUAUUUUUCAAACAUGCUGAGUGGAUACUGUGUUCUCACCACAAGGCAAUGGAAUACAUAUACAUUUCAUUUAUAUUAUAUUAUAUUAUAUUAUAUUAUAUUAUAUUAUAUUAUAUUAUAGUGAAGUCAAUGUAUUUGUUAAUUAGCCAGAUAACCAUUCCACAAUGUUUAUAUACUUUCAACCCCAUAUUGCACAUGAUAAAUACAUAGAGUUUUAUAUGUUUUUUAAAAAUUUCUUUAUUUUUUAAAAUAAAUUUGAAAAAAAAAGAAACACACAGAAACUCUUUGACUAGAAAUAGUGACUCUCCUAUGUCUAAAUCUACAAACCAAUUGCAUCUGUAGUCAAUCUUCCUUCUGAGCUCCAGAAUUCCCUGUCCUGCUUUCCCUGGAGGAAGCUAGAAUUAUUAAUUAGUCAUCAUUUUCUUGUAUGCCAAUUUCUAUCUACUGGUUCUUUACUGAAGUCCUUUAAAAAUCCUCUUUUCUCUCUGCUUCACAGACAGGAAAGUUCUGCUUGAUCAUUCUUCCCUGUUUUGCCAGAUCUAUAACUUAUUUUUUUUUCCAGAAAUAAGCUCCCAUAAGGCAUUAUCAAGACUCUUUGUCUCAUUUUUUUCACUACUUACACAUAUCUCAACCCACUGACAUCUGGCUUUCAUCGUCCUCAUUCCUUUCAACUGCUCUCAUAAAGGGUACUGAUAUCUCACCUAUUGUUAAUCCAAUGUAUUUUUACUUCCUAUUUUACAUAUGUCUCAGAAGGAUGUGACACACUUGAGACUAUUACACCUUUAAAAAUUCUUUCCACUGAUUUGAUGACAUAAUUUUGGUUCUUUCUUUCUUUCUCCUUGAGAUAUAUUCACUUUUAUUUUCCCUUGCUGUAUCUUUCUCACUGCCAUUCUUUAAAUGCUCUCCCAUGAUGAUGACUAAACUCCCUUCUCUUCUCACACAAGCUCUCUCUGUUAUAUAACCAUACUUAUAUGAAUUCCAUUGCCUUGUACAUGCCAAUGACUCCCUAAUCCAAGUUAAUCUGUAUUCCCUUCCUGAGUGCCAAACACAACUCUCUUCUAGACAUUUCUUCUGAAAUAUUUUUUAAAUACCUCAUGCACAUGUUAAACACUAAACUAAUCAUGCUGGCUCAGUUUUCCCCUUUAAACACAUCUUUUUCAGUGUUCAGUUUAGUAAAAGUAUCCCCAUAUCUACUCACUUAUCAGACUGGACAAAUCUUUCUUCAUUUUCCCCUACAUGCAAUCAAUAUUGAAUUCCUGCCUAAUGUACUUCUCAGCUCUUGAUCCUACCCUUUCUUUCCAUCUCCACUGACACACUUUUAAUUCCAAGCUGAAAUUUAACAAAUUUCUCUCAUCUACAAUCUCCAGAAAGAUAUGUAUAUCACUCUAAUCAUUUGGUACUCUUAAUAGCUUUUGAGUAAUCUAAAAAAAUGCAAAUCUGUUCAUGUUGCGAGCUAUAUUAGACCUUUUUAGCUUCCUGUUACCUUUAUGUCAAAGUCUAUAUGUUGAAGUCUAAGUUCCUUCACAUAACUUACAAUUCUCUUCAUAAUUCUAGGUUUCUCUACCUACUCAGUCUUGCCUUGUCAUAAUCGCUAUCAUUUUAUAAGGCAUAGAUACUCUGGACUGCUCUUGUCUCCAAGAAUGUGUUGUGUCACUUUUCCCCAUGUGUCUUUGAGGAUGCUUUUGCCAGGUCUGAAAUCUUCCUCCCCUUUUACCUGGCUGAUGCCCACUCACUUUCAGGUCCCAACACAUAUGCCUUGAGACAUUUUCUUGACCUAAGAAUAAGUUAGUUUCCAGUGACAAGUGUGUCUAAGCAUCUAAAAUCAAUAAUUCCCUUUAAUUUAAUUACACUAUUAACAGUUAGGGUUUAGAAAAAAAAAGGCUCACACAACAUAGUUUUUUAAAUAUAGAUUUUAGAAGAGUUGAAAAGCCAAACUAGAUGAGAGGGCUACCCAAAUUUAAGCAACAAUUGGAAUCUAUAGGAACAAAGGGAAAAGGUGGUGCCAUAAGUGCCCCAAAUCCAGGGUGGCCAGAUGUGAGUUGAAACCAUGGAAAAGACUGUCCAGUGAGAUGUGGGACCAUGGGCUGAGUGGCCACCUGGAGGAACCGGGAAAUGCUGAAGAGAUGUAGCCACUGUUAGAAAUAGUGGCAGGAAGUACAGUAAAAGAAAGGAAUACCUUAGAUUUGCUUGUCUCUCUGGCUCUACCUCUGACCUCCCACUAGUGUGUUUUUGUGGCAGAACCCAAACUGAAGCCUAGUAACAUGGGAAGGAGAUGCUGUCCAGAAACAUCAGCCCCACUAGAAUACAGAGAGUCAGGGGAAGAUAGGUAGGGGACACAUGACCAGCACUCACAGUAUGUUUUGAACAAUUGUUUAUUUUAAGAGGAAAAAGACUGUGCUUUUCCUGUUUACUAUUUUCAGAAUAUGGCCUUUGCCUAGUUCAUAGUAGGUUUUCAUAAGUAUUUAUUUGAUGGAUUAAUGAUGUCAGUGUCCCCAAAUAUGUAUUCCUAUUAUAUCUUAUACAUAUAUAAAUAAAAACAAAUAUAUACACACACAUAUACACACACACUUUGUUUCCAGAAUUUCAAAUAUUCUUAGUUAAGCUUUUGUCUUGAUUACAUUGUGAUUACACAAAUUCCUUAAGACACAGUUCUUUAGUUUCCUGUGCUGUACCUGAAACAUACUUGCCUAAUAAAUUAAAAAAUCAGGUAUCUGAAAUAGAUAAAACUAGAUAAGCACUAUUCUUCAUAUAUGCCAUCCUAAUUCAGGUUCUUUCUGCUUGAGCAUCUUACAACUCUACUGUUUACUUCCCCUCAUAAUGUAUCCUUCCCUAUCUUACUCCUUCUUUUUUCCAUUUCUUUGGAUGAAUUUUGCUUCCUUAGUAAACUCCAUUCUUGACAAUUUCCUUCAUAAGUGUCAAUUUGGCUUGUGGCUCAGGAGACAGAUAGUUAUACUGCAUUUUCUAACAUACAUUAAAAGCUCUGAAUUAUAUUCUGAUAUCAAAUAACCGUAGAAUUAUACAAUGACAGCUCUGGAUUGUACUUUGAUAAAUCAUCUAGUUUAAUUCCGUUCUCUGUAAAAGGUUAAUAAUGGCAGUGUAGAUAGCGGCUACCUCACACAUUUUUUUUUUCACCUUUCCUUUUACUUAAGCUUGCAUGGAUGGUAUAUCCACCAUCAUGCAAAUUACUCUAUUCCAAUAUUUAAAAGAAGAUUUACAGAGAAGUUCUUCCUUAUCUCCUUCUCCUCUUCCUCCUUUUACUCCUGCUUCUUCUCUUUGUGGGCAUUUUUUUCUUGGUAUCUUUCCUUGCUCAAACAUUCUGAAACAUGAGGAAGAACUUGUUGGUACAUAUAAUGGCAUUAACUUUAUGUUAGAAGAUGGUUAUUACUAUACUGAGAUGGUCUUCACUGGUGGAGCAGGUACAAAGUUUAUAGUCUGCAAACAUAGAACUUUAUCUUUUGUACACAGACUUAGGUCCUGAGUCCCAUUUCUGCUGUUAUUAGAAAAUUGAUGCCAAACAAUUUUCUCUGUCUCUCUUAUCCCAGUAGUUAGAUAAUUAGUCAAUUCAGUAUUUUAUCUCAUCCUUCACUAUUUUUUCUCUUUCUCUCCUUGGUUUAGAAGAUGAGUGAAGUGGGCAGGGACUUAUAUGGCAACAAUUGAAUUACUCUCAUUUUGUUUUCUAGUCACCAUGUCAGUGCAGUUACCUUUACCCAACAGAGAAUUAUUUCCGCAUGUACUUUUCUAUUCUCAACCACAUCUCCUGGGGAUGUAGAAUACUUGGGGAUAUUCUUUCAUGCUACUUCAGAUUCAAAGAAAAAUGGUGGUGGUGGUCGUGGUGGUGGUAUUGAGAGUGAAUUUUGUUGUUGCUGUAUUUGUUUUAGCUUUGUUUCCUCAACUUUCACACAGUAUACAAGACACAGAUUUUCUUUUCCAGGAAAUUCUUAAAAAUCCUCUGGGAUUUCCUCCUGACACAUACUUCCCCAAUAAUUUUAAUAGAUAGAGGAGAUGCAAGGUUUAUUUUGUAUACACAUCUGCUUUGGUCCUCAAUAUUUUAUCACAUAUCAAACUAUUUUCUCUUUCGGGAUUGGAAAAAUGACCUUACAUCAUUAUAAUUCUAUGUCAGUCUAUGGUUUCUACUAAGGAAUUUUAUUGCUGAGCCAUUCAGAUUUGGGGGGGAUGUGGCACUGGCUAAGGUUGUGUUCUCAUGGGCUCCACAUGGGUCCAGUCUCUGGUUCAGAGAGAUCCAAGCCACACUUAAUGUCGUCUAUGUGACUAUGAGUUCUUCCCCAAGCCUUGCGAUGGAGUCCAGUUUCUUUCCUCAAAGUAAGUACUUUCUCUCCAAAUUUACCUAAAGUCACCAAACUUACAGUCUGAAGUGGUUAUUUUAGAAUUAGUGUUUCUUCUCUAAUAAGAAGUUCCAUUAGCUAUUCAGACUUUUCAGAUAGAACAUUGCUAAGAUACAAUAUAACUCAUCUCUCUGUAUCAAAACUAUACAGACUUUGGUGACAUUUUGCAGAAUGAUUCUUUUGAAACCUAAAUGUUUCCUUUAUAUGCCGCCUUUAUAUGUCAUAAUGAAUUACACUAGAACAAAUUCAGGAAUGAAAAAAUGUUGUAGUCUGUAUAUCUAUAUAACUAAAGUAGCUCUGAACUCCUUGUUUUCCUUAGAAAGAAGACACUUUAUUGAGUUAUUUCCAAGCAAGCAUUGCCAUUUGAAAAUUAAACUAAAUUUCAAAAUUUCAGAAACUUCUUUUUAAAAAUUUUGCUCUCCUUGUUUUACUAUUUAAAAACUAUCUUGUAUUGUUACAUCCCUUUAUUUUUCAGUAUUGAAUACAUUUGUAUAUUAAGUCCAUAAGUAAUAUGGACUUCAUAUAUGCUAUACUAUACUUCCUUUAUCUCUGUCUCUGUCUUUCUGCCUUGAGUAGGUAUGAAUGCAUGUAUCUGUGCCAGACUUAUAAAGAUGCAACCACUUUGAUUAAAUCUACAGUAGUGUUGGUAUCAAAAGAAUGCAGUCCUGUAAUUCAAAGUCAUUUCAAAAAACAUACUUUCUUGAAUUACGUUUCUCAAACAUCUUAAAUUAGAAAUACUGUUCAUAUUAUAUCUAUUGUUCUCACUCCAAAGCUGUUCUUGUUCCUCAUCCUUCACUCUCUUUUCCUUUCCAAAAGGAAGAAAUUCCUCAGCAACCCCAACCCCAGCCUUCAUGGGCUCAAAUUGAGGCAGUUUAGCUCUUUAAUUUGUGAUCUUAGUAUAACAUUAUAUUGUUGUGCAUAUUUCAACCUAUAAUAUAUUGAUACUCAGAGUAGCGUAUUUUAAUGAAAAAGUUCAACCAGUGUAAUACAUUUUCUCUUCUAACAAAUUGCGAAUAAGGCUAUUGUAGGAAUAGUCUCCCAAGUAAAACUUUCCUUUUGAAAUAAUAGAGCAUAUUUUUAUAAGCAGAUUACUGAAUAAUGACAGUCAAAAAGCAUCUAGUUCAGAUUUUUUUUAAAUUGGAAAAUUAUUCUGGAUUGUUUAUACUAUUUUUCAUAUAUGAGAAGCAGACAUGAUUAUUGGUGGUAUAUCAUCUCAGUAAUGCCUUACAGUGAAGUUUUAAAUUUUAGUCAAAAUUUUAUAUAGCCUUUUUAUCUUGCAGAGAACUAAGAGAGAGAGAGUAUAUGUUUAAAUUUUGGCAUAGAAAAUAAAAAAUAAUUUUUCUUAGAUAAUUUAAGUUACUCUCUUCAAUUAGAUUGACAUCAUCAGCUUGUCUAUGAUGCAACAAGACACUGUGAAGAUUCUCUCUGGUUUUUACCUAUAAAUUUCUUGUGAACAUUGCCUAAAAGAAGUGUGUGUGUGUGUAUGCAUGUGUGUGUGUGUGUGUGUUUGUGUGUGGUGUGUGUGUGUGUUCCCCUUGCACUGGUAUUGAUAACAACCGUUUUUGUUUUUUUUUUAAUUUUCUAGUUCACUAUGAAACUGCUCUUUUUAAUCCUUCAAUAUGGCUUCAAAUAUAUUUUCAAGACUGGGAACUUUGCCAGUUUAUUUUAAUUUUUAUCUCUGAUAGAGCAUCACAGACUGUAUUGAAAGAAUACUUUUAUAUAUUAUUAACUAUCCUUAUAAUUUAGUUUAAUAUUAAUUUGUAUUCAAAAAUAUUGCUGGAUACCUCUUGCAGCUCUAGGUGCUCCUGAGAAAUAGUUUUAGUUACCUUUUAGAUUUUUACUUUUUUAAAAAAAAUGUAUCCCUAUAUAAAAACAGCUUUGCUGCAUCCCACAGAUUUUGACUCCUCUUACCCUCCUCCUCUAUCAACUUUACAGCUCUAAAUGGAUUGCCUGUUUGUGUGAUUCAGAUAUCUUAUCCCGCAGCUGUCUGAGACACUCACAUUCUUAGGCCAAGUCUGUCACCCUUAUCCACUUACAGUCAAAAUUGGGUAAGGAGGUAGAAGAAUGUAUUGUGAAAGGUAUUCUUUCCUUCCUUCCUGUGUAGUAGCAGUCCUGCUUCCUGACCAUGAAGAACAAUCUCCUGCCAAGAUGGUGGCUCCUUUUCUUGCCUGCUGAUCUGUUCACACAGGACCCUGAAGUAUUCAACACAGCUUAAGCUUUACGAGAAUCUUGCUGUGUCCUUUGUAUAAAAUGUUUUCCCUCUGGGAAAUGACACGUCUAAGCAUAGUGGCCAGAGAUUCAGCAGUAGGAAGCACAAUGAGCCGCUGGUAGUGACGGUAGUCAGGGCAUGGUAGGAUUUUUGUCCCCAGGAUUUUCACCUUCUUAUGUUAUGCCUGUGAAUAUGUUACCUUCAAGGCAAAAUGAAUUAAAGUUUCAGACAGAAAUGAGUUUCCUAAUAUAAUAAUCAUGAAAUAAGAAGAUUAUCCUGGGUGAUUCUGGUGGGUUUAAUGUAAUCAUAAAGCCUUUACAAGCAAAAGAAGGAGGUGGAAUAUUUGAUCCAGUACACUCCCAGUUGUGGCCACAGGGAUGCUUGUGUCACUCCACACCCAGUUCAUGGGGGCUAAGAAAACAGAGAGAGAGAGAGAGACUCAAUUUGUACAGGAGAACUUAAGGGAAGAAAACAAAGUAUCUGCUUGGUAAUCCAGAAAAUUCUUCUGGAUCUUACCCAAGAUGAUCAAAGUGAUACCAGUGCAAAUCUGCAAGAACAAAGCUGUAGUAGGCUUUGGGUACCCCCUAAUUCAGAUACAGCUUACGUAAAAACACACAAGUUUUUUCAAAUACCUAAAAAUUGUUCCCAAGAAAGAUGGGUACAAACAAUCCCAAACUGAGAAGAAUACAAUAAAUAACUACUCUUCAAUGCCCAGACAGAGACAAACAUCUAUAAGCAUCAAGGCCAUACAGGAAAACAUGACCACACCAAAUGAACUAAAUAAGGCACUAGGGACCAGUCCUUGAGAAACAGAGAUACGUGAUCUUUCAGACAGAUAAUUCAAAAUAACUGUGUUGAGGAAACCCAAAGAAUUUCUAGAUAAACACACAGAAGGAUUUCAGAAUUCUAUCAGAUACAUUUAACAAAGAGAUAGAAAUAAUUAAAUAGAAGCAAGCAGACAUUCUGAAGCUGAAUAAUGCAACUGGCAUGAAGAAUGCAUCAGAGUCCUUUAAUAGCAGAACUGGUCAAACAGAAAAAAGAAUUAAUGAGCUUGAAGACAGGCUAUUUAAAAAUACACAACUGGAUGAGACAAAAUUAAAAAGAAUAAAAAAUAAUUAAGCACAUUUACAGAAUCUAGAAAAUAGCCUCAAAGGGACAAAUGUUAAGAGUUAUUGGCCUUAAAGAGGAGGUAGAGAAAGAGAUAGUAAUAGAAAGUUUAUUCAAAGAGAUAAUAACAGAGAAUUUCCCAAACCUAGAGAAAGACAUCAAUAUCCAAAUACAAGAAGGUUAUAGAACACCAAGCAGAUUUAAAACAAAGAAGACUACUUCAAGGCAUUUAAUAUUCAAACUCCCAAAGAUCAGGGUUAAAAAAAAAGGAUUCUAAAACCAUCAAGAGAAAAGAAACAAAAAACAUACAAUGGAGCUCCAAAAGGGCUAGCAGUAGACUUUUCAUUGGAAAUAUUACAGGCCAGGAGAGAGUGGCAUGACAUAUUUUAAGUAAUGAAGAAAAAACCUUUUCCCCUAGAAUAGUAUAUCUGGCAAAAAUAUCCUUCAAACAGGAAGAAAAAAUAAAAACUCCUAUGAAAACAAAAGCUGGGGUUUUUCAUCAACACUAGAUGUUUCCUACAAGAAAUACUAAACGGUGUAGUUCAAUCAGAAAGAAAAACAUGUUAAUGAGCAAUAAGAAAUCAGCUGAAGGUACAAAACUCACUGGUAAUUGUAAGUACACAGAAAAAGCAGAAUAUUAUAACAUUGUAACUGUGAUGUGUAAACUACUCUUAUCUUAACUAGAAAGACUCAGUAAUGAACCAAUAAAAAAUAAUAGCAACAAAAACCUUUCAAGACAUAGACAGUAUAAUAAAAUAUUAACAGAAACAAUAAAAACUUAAAAAGCAGGGGUAUGAAGUUAAGGUAUAUAGUUUUUAUUAGUUUUUUUUUUUUUUUGCUUUUGGUUUGUUUACUUAACAGUGUUAAGUUGUUAUAAGUUUAAAAUCAUAUAAUUUGCCAGUCUCAUGAUAAACUCAUGUCAAGAAACACAAUGAAUAUACAAAAAAUAAAAAAGCAAGAAAUUAAAACAUAUUAUCAGAGAAUAUCACCUUUACUAAAAGGAAGACUAAAAGGAAACAAAAAAAUAAGAAAGAAAAUAUCAUAAAACAACCAUAAAACAAAUAACAAAAUGGUUAUUAUUGAUUAUAACAUUAAAUGCAAAUGGACUAAACUCUCUAAUGAAGAGAGUUUCAGCCUGGCUGAAUGGAAGAAAAAACAAGACCCACAAAUCUCUUGCCAACGAGAAAACACUUCACCUAUAAAAAACACAAAGUAAAAAUAAAGGGAUGGGAAAGGAUAUUCUAUGCAAUUGAAAACUAAGAAAGACCAGGAGUAGCUAUACUUAUAUCAGAAAAAAGAGACUUCAAGGCAAAAAUGAUAAGAACAGACAAAGAAGUCCAUUUUAUAAUGAUAAAAUUGUAAAUUCAUGAAGGGAAUAUAACAAUAGUAAAUUCAGUGAGAGGAUAUAUAUUUACAAACACACAUAUAUGUAUAUAACAAUUCUCUUUCUCUUUAUAUAUAUGUGUGCAUGUAUAUAUGUGUGUGUAUAUAUAUGCACAUAUAUAAAUAUCUAUAUAUACACACAUAUAUAUAAUUGUUAUAUCUUCUUUCUCAAUUUACAACUUUAUCAUAUAUAUGAUGGUUAAUAUUGAGUGUCAACUUGAUUGGAUUGAAGCAUGCAAAGUAUUGUUGCUUGGUGUGUCUGUGGGGGUGUUGACAAAGGAGAUUAACAUUUGAGUCAGUGGACUGGAAAAGGAAGACCCAUCCUUAAUUAGGGUGGGCACAAUCUAAUCAUUUGCCAGCAUGGUCAGAAUAAAAGUAGGCAAAAGAACGCAGACAGAUUAGACAAUCUUAGCCUCCAAGCCUACAUCUUUCUCCCAUGCUGGAUGCUUCCUGCCCUUGAACAUCAGACUCCAAGUUCUUCAGCUUUGAGACUCAUAUUGGCUUCCUUGCCCCUCAGCUUGCAGAUAGCCUACUGUGGGACUUCACCUUGUGAUUGUGUGAGUUAAUACUCCUUAAUAAUCUCCCCUUUAUAUAUACAUCUAUCCUAUUAAUUCUAUCCCUGUAAAAAACCCUGGCUAAUACAACACCCAACACAGGAGCACCCAGAUAUGUAAAGCAAAUAAUUCUAGAGAUAAAUAGAAAGAUAGGCCUCAAUACAAUAAGAGCUGGAAACUUCACCAUCACAUUUUCAGCACCGGACAGAUCUUCCAGACAUAAAAUCAACAAAGACACAUCAGGCUUAAUAUGCACUACUGACCAAAUUGACCCAUAAAUAUUUACAGAAUAUUUCCUCCAAAAGCUACAGAAUACACAUUCUUUUCCUCAGCACACGGAUCUUUCUCGAAGAUAGACCAUAUGUUGGGUCACAGAACAAUUCUUAAAGUGCUCAAAAUAAUUGAAAUAAUAUUAAGCAUCUUCUCUGACUUCAGUGGAAUAAAACUACUCAUAAAUCAAACAGGUAAUUUGGAAACUUUAUAAACAAAUGGAAAUUAAACAAUAUGUACCUGAAUGAUGAGUGCAUCAAUGAAGAAAUUAAGAAAAUUGAAAAAUAUUUUGAAGCAAAUGAUAAUGAAAACACAACAUACCAAAACCUAUGGGAUACAGCAAAAACAGUACUAAGAGGGAACUUUAUAGCUAUAUAUACUUACAUCAUAAAAGAAGAAAAACUUCAAAUAAACUACCUAAAAUGCAUCUUGAAGAAUUAGAAAAGCGGGAUCAAACCAAACCCAAAGUUAGUAGAAGAAAAUACAUAAUAAAGAUCAGAGCACAAAUAAAUAAAUUUAAAAUGAAGAAAACAAUACAAAAGAUCAACAAAACAAAAAGUUUGUUUUUUGAAAAGAUAAACAAAAUUGAAAACUUUUAGCCAGGCUAACUAAGAAAAAAAAGGAGAAUAUCCAAAUAAAUAUAAUCAGAAAUGAAAAAGAAGACAUUACCAUUAUGAUUGUUGCUGCAGGAAUUCAAAGGAUCAUUAGAGGCUACUAUAAGCAAAUGUAUGCCAAUAAAUUGGAAAAUAGAGAAGAAAUUAAUAAAUUCCUAGAUACAUACAACCUGCCAAUAUUGAAUCAGGAAGACAUCCAAAACCUGCACAGACCAAUAACAAGUAACAAGAUUGAAGCAAUCAUAAAAUUCUCCCAAAAAGAAAAGCCUCAGACUUGAUGGUUUCCUCACUGAGUUCUACCAAACAUUUAAGAAAAUACUAACACAAAUCCUACUCAAACCAUCCUAAAAAGCAGAGGAAGAGUGAAUAUCUCUAGAUUCAUUGUAUGAAGCCAGUAUUACCCUGAUACCAAAACCAGACAAAGAGACCUCAAAUAAAGAUGACUAUAAGCAAUAUCACUGAUGAAUAUAAAUAUGCUCAUCAAAACACUAGUGUAUCAAAUUAAACAAUAAGUUAAAGAAAUCAUUCAUCAUGGUGAAGUGGGAUUUAUCCCUGGGAUGCAAGGGAGGUUCAACAUAUGUAAAUCAAUCAAUGUGAUUCAUCAUAUCAACAGAAUAAGAGACAAAAACCAUAUGAUAAUUUCAAUUGAUGCUGAGAAAGCAUUUGAUAAAAUUCAACAUCGCUUCCUCAUAAAAACCUCAAAAACCGGGGUAUAUUAAGAACGUACCUGGACAUAAUAAAAGCCAUAUACAACAGACCCAUAGCUACUAUCACACUGAGUAGGGAAAAACAGAACACCUUUCCUCUAAGACUGGGAACACAACAAGGAUGUGUACUUUCACCACUGUUUUUCAACAUAUUACUAGCUAGAGAAAUCAGACAAAUGAAAGAAAUAAAGGUCAUCCAAACUGGAAAGAAAGAAUGCAAAUUAUCCUUCUUUGCAGAUUAGUAUACAGCAAAAGUACAAAAUUUAAAAAAUAUACAGUCAUACCAGAUAUUGUAUAGGAACUGGGGUUGGCAAAUAUGUAGAAAAUGUUAUUUAAUGUAUUUUUAAAAUGCCACAAAAAGCCCUUUAGAUGUCAUUGUGUAUGUGUCUUUUUUUGUGUGUAUGUAUGUGUGUUGUGUGUGCAUGUGUGUAUGAAAAAGAGAGAGAUUAAUUUUCCUUUAUAAUUAAAGAGCUUUAUUGGAACUUUAGUAAAACUGUUAAAAUGGGCUCUAAUAUUUUAAGUAAGAAUAAUUUGAUUUUAAAAUAAACUAUAUUUAUCAGUUACUCUCUUUUAUCCUAAAGUUAAAACUCACACCUGCAUAUAAGAGUUACAUAGUUAAAGACAAAAUAAUUACUGAAGAAAAUAGAAGAUAAAGAGGUAGCAUUGCUGAUAACUUGGUAUUUGAUAAUACCUUUACUUGCUAUAUAGGAGUUCUCUGGACAUAUUUUUCUUUUCACUACGUCAUAUCAUUCUCAAGUAUUACAAGCUUAUAAUGGGCAAGACUAAUAGGAGCUUCUGCAAAACAUGCCUUCUUUAAACUUAGGUCUAAAAAUGUGAUUUUGUCAGUUAGACUUUCAGAACAGGCAGAUUGUCUCAUGUUUUACAGAAGACUGAACAGAGAAUAGACAAUUAUGGUAACAGACUGCCCUUAUUUUUACUUUUUAUUUUGCAGUAAUUGUAGACAAACAAGAAGUUGCAAAAAAUAUCACAAAAAGGUAUUACACAUCUUCACCCAGCUUCCCCCAGUGUCACACCUGCAUAAUUGUAGAACAUAAUCAACAUUAGGCGAUUAACACUGUCACACUACUACUAAUUAAGCAUAUAUGGUUAAACUCAGCUUGCCUGCUACAACUUUGCGCAACCUCUGAGUGACCUGGAGUCACAGUGCUAACAAUUGAUCAAACCUGAAAGAAAUGUACUAUCAAGACAUUAAUAUAUUCCUAUAUCAAAGACAACUUGCACUAUCUUCUCAGCGUAUUUUCUGGUGAAAAAUAAAUGAAUCAGUAUUUUGCACCUAGUUUAUGUUUUCAUAAUUCUUGCUAUUUAGCCUUGUCAUACCUGGUUUUACUUACAUGAUCAGAAGAGUAAUUAAAAAAAAUUCUUGGUAUGAAACUGUAGCUUCCCUGAAACUAAAGUGUUUCAUAUGUAUCUGCUAUUUCAAAAUCCGAAGAAGCUGCCUUGUGUGACCAAGAAAGGAACAUGAGAGCUGCAAUCUGUAUUUUAAAGAAAUUUUCUAAUAUAUCUAGAUAGUCGAAAUUGUUACAUGAAAUUGUUCAUGGCAGUGGCUCAGUCUAACCCCAUCACUUUGGGAGGCGAAGGCGGGUGGAUCAUCUGAGGUCAGGAGUUCAAGACCAGCCUGGCCAGUAUGGUGAAACCCGGUCUAUACUAAAAAUACAAAAAAUUAGCUAGGCAUGGUGUCGAGCAUCUGUAAUCCCAGCUACUUGGGAGGCUGAGGCGGAAGAAUUGCUUGAACCCCGAGGCGGAGGUUGCAGUGAGCCAAGAUCGUGCCAUUGCACUCCAGCCUGGGCUACAAGAGUGAAACUCCGACCCAAAAAAAAAAAAAAAAGUUCGUAAUAUUUUCUUAUAAUUUCAAUGUUUGCAGAAUGUAUAGUAAUGUCUCCUCAUUCAUGUAUUAUUAUUAUUUUUUCUUUUUUUGUUUUUUUAUUUUUAUUUUUAUUAUACUUUAAGUUUUAGGGUAUAUGUGCACAACGUGCAGGUUAGUUACAUAUGUAUACAUGUGCCAUGUUGGUGUGCUGCACCCAUUAACUUGUCAUUUAGCAUUAGGUAUAUGUCCUAAUGCUAUCCCUUCCCCCUCCCCCUCCCCCACAACAGGCACUGGUGUGUGAUGUUCCCCUUCCUGUGUCCAUGUGUUCUCAUUGUUCAAUUCCCACCUAUGAGUGAGAACAUGCGGUGUUUGGUUUUUUGUCCUUGUGAUAGUUUGCUCAGAAUGAUGGUUUCCAGCUUCAUCCAUGUCCCUACAAAGGACAUGAACUCAUCAUUUUUUAUGGCUGCACAGUAUUCCAUGGUGUAUAUGUGCCACAUUUUCUUAAUCCAGUUUAUCCUUGUUGGACAUUUGGGUUGGUUCCAAGUCUUUGCUAUUGUGUUUAGUGCCGCAAUAAACGCACAUGUACACGUGUGAUUAUAGCAGCAUGAUUUAUAAUCUUCUGGGUAUAUACCCAGUAAUGGGAUGGCUGGGUCAAAUGGUAUUUCUAGUUCUAGAUCCCUGAGGAAUCGCCACACUGACUUCCACAAUGGUUGAACUAGUUUACAGUCCCACCAACAGUGUAAAGUGUUCCUAUUUCUCCACAUCCUCUCCAGCACCUGUUGUUUCCUGACUUUUUAAUGAUCGCCAUUCUAACUGAUGUGAGAUGGUAUCUCACUGUGGUUUUGAUUUGCAUUUCUCUGAUGGCCAGUGAUGAUGAGCAUUUUUUCAUGUGUGUGUUGGCUGCAUAAAUGUCUUCUUUUGAAAAGUGUCUGUUCAUAUUCUUCACCCAUUUUGAUGGAGUUGUUUUUUUUUCUUGUAAAUUUGUUUGAGUUCAUUGUAGAUUCUGAAUAUUAGCCCUUUGUCAGAUGAGUAGAUUGCAAAAAUAUUCUCCCAUUCUGUGGGUUGCCUGUUCACUCUGAUGGUAGUUUCUUUUGCUGUGCAGAAGCUCUUUAGUUUAAUUAUUUAUAAAUUUAUCUUUCUUUGAUCAAUCUUGCAAGAAGUUUAUCAACUUCAUAACUAUUGUUAACUAAUCAGAAUUGAUCUUAUGGAAUGUUGUUUUUGUCCAUAUUUUUACAUUUUUUUCUACUCAGCUCUUUAUUAUUUUCUUUCUUUAACUUAUUUUCAUUUGAAUUUUGCUUUUCUUUUUUUAUUAAAUUCUUAGAGUGGGUGAUUAAAUCAACAGUUUAAAAAUUUUUAUUUUAAUCCAAUAUAAGCACUUAGAGCUAUUAAUUUCCUUUCUAGCUUUAUAAGCAUCCCAUAAACUUGUGUAUGUUGUAGUUACAUGUUCAUUAAUGUCCAAGAAACUACUUUUCUUUGUGAUUUGUUUUUUGGGUCAUGGGUUAUUUAGAAUUGUGCAUCUACUUUUCAAAUAUUUUGGAGUUCUCUAGGGAUAGCUCUGUUAUUUAUUUCAAAUGUAAUUAUUUUGUGGUCAGACAGCUGGAUUUUUUUUUUCUUUUUUUUUGAGGUGGAGUCUUGCUCUGUCGCCCAGGCUGGAGUGCAGUGGUGCGAUCUCAGCUCACUGCAAGCUCUGCCUACUGGGUUCACGCCAUUUUCCUGCCUCAGCCUCCAGAGUAGCUGGGACUAUAGGCGCCCACAACCACGCCUGGCUAAUUUUUUGUAUUUUUAGUAGAGACGGGGUUUCACCGUGUGAGCCAGGAUGGUCUCGAUUUCCUGACCUCGUGAUCCACCCGCCUCGGCCUCCCAAAGUGCUGGGAUCACAGGCGUGAGCCACCACGCCGGGCCCUGGAAUUUUUAAAAACAUAUUGAGAUUUCCUUUAUGGCCAACAAUACGCAUGAUAUUGGUAAAUAAUUUGUGAAUAUUUGGAAAGAAUUGCCAGCUAUUUUAAGGUUAUUUUAUAAAUGUCAAUUUGGUCAUGUUGGUUGUUGGUAGUGUUCAAAUCUUCUAUAUUUCUACUGACUAACUGUCUUCUGGCUCUAUCAGUUAUUCAAAAUUCCUACUGUAUUUGUGAAUUUAUCUUUCUUUGUGGUUGUCAGCACUAUGCAUUAGGUAAUUUGAAAUUUCUGUUAUUUGAUGAAUAUGAGUUUAAGGUUAUUACAUCGCUUUUGCCAUUAUGAAAUGACUAUUUAUAACUGGUAAUAUUCUUUGUUCUGAAAAAUACUUAGAUAUUGAAAUAGCCAUUUCAACUGUUUUUUGAUUAUUUAAAAAAUUUUUACAAUUUUUAAAAUAAUGUGUGUUAAGAGUUUAUUUUAUUUUAAGGCAGGAUGUAGUGUAGUCUUUUUAAAUUUUGAAUUCAGUUGUAUUAUGUUGAAUAUUUAGAACAUUGACUUUUAAUGUGAUUAUUGAUAUUAUUGAAUUUUUUUCUUUUUCUUCUUUCUUCCUUUUAUUUUUUUUUUCUUUUUGGACUCAGGGUCUUGCUCUGUCACCCAGGGAAAGCAAUGGCACAAUCAGGCUCACUACAGCCUUGACUUUCUGGGAUCAAAUGACCCUCCCACCUCAGCCUCCCAAAUAUUCUGCCUUUUGAGUAGCUAGGACCAGAGGUGUGCAUCACCAUGCCCAGCUAAUGUUUAAAAUUGUUGGAGAAGAGGUCUCACCCUAUUGCCCAGGCCAUUCUUGAACUUCAGGUCUCAAGUGGUCCUCUGCCUCCCAAAUGCUGGGAUCACAGGCAUGAGCCACCACGCCCAGCAAUUAGAUUUCAAUUAAAUCAUUUUUUCUAUUAGUCCUUUUUUGUCCCUUCUUCCAUUCUUCCUUUUUUUUUCUUUUUAGCCAACAUUCUAGCUAAACUAUUAUUUUUAUUGUAUUAUUUUACCUCUCGGCUUAUUAACUAUAAUUUUGGUUUCAUGUUUUAAUAGCUGCUUAGAGUUAAUAGCAUAUGUUUUUAAUUCAUCAUAUUGUAACUUCUAAUUAUAUCAUACUACUUUACAUAUACUGUAAGAAACUUAUACUAGUAUAUUUUCAUUUCUCACUUUUUAACUUUUGUGUUAUUGUUAUACAUUUUUAUUUUAUAUAUGUUAUACAUUCAUUAUAUUGUUAUCAUUUUUUUUGCAACCAGGUAAGUAUAUUUCAGAAGAAUUUAUACCUUAAAAAACUCCUAUGUUUACCUGUAUAGUUUCUUUUCCAAUGUUUCUUAUUCUUUUGUGUAGUUCCACAUAUCCCUCUGGUACCAUUUUCACUUUGAUUGAAGGACUUCCUUAAACAUUUCUUGUAAUGUGUGUCUGUUGGUGAAUUUGUUUAGGUUUUAUACGUUUGAGAGAAGUCUUCACCCUCUCUUUUAAGAGGUUAUUGCAUGUAAUGUUCCACUAUUUUCUUGUUUGCAUUGUCCCAUACUAAAAUAAAUAUUCUGACAAGUUUAUCUUUGCUUCCAUGCACAUAACAUGGGUUUUUCUUUGGGAAGAUUGUAAUACUUUCUGCUACUUCCUUUGUAUGAGCAAUUUAAUUAAAUUGUCUCGGUGUAAUUUUCUUUAUGUUUCUUUUACUUGGAGAUUGUUGAGUUUCUUAGAUAUGCGAGUUUAUAAUUUUUAUCAAAAUUUGAACAUUUUCAUAAUUCUCAAUAUUACUCAAACUUUAUUUUAUGUUCCCAUUUCUUCCCUUGGGGACUUUGCACACAAGCUAAGCUUAGUAGUCAUCUGAAUAUUUGAGCAGAUCCUCUGCAUAUCUCUUAAGUUCUCUCUCUGCUCUCCAGUUCUCUGUGAUGCAAAUUCUUGCCACCUUAAUUUUUCUGAAUUCUCAGCUACACCUGCUAACUCAGGGAGUCCAACAUGCUAUGACAGAAUCCUCCCUUUCUGUGCAAUAGCCUAAAAAUACUCUUUUUGUACCUGUUCCAAGGCAGACUAUUAGGAUGGGACACACACACAAAUACACACACACACACACCAUCUCACAGCUAUCGCUAACUUGCACUACCCAGUAUCCAGUAUCUUGCAAACAUUUUGUCUGUGGUAUGAUUGUUCCAAAGUAGACAGUAAAUUUGGUCUCUGUUAUUGAUACUGGAGGGGAGCAGGGAAGUACUAGUUAGAGAAGGGUGGGGUACCUGGUGAGGGCUACACCUUGGACCUGUGCCAGGAACCUAAGUGAGGAAAAACAUUUCUGUUUUCACACCCAAAAAAUUGUCUUUUGGCCCACUACACCCCCCGCCAUUCUGUAUCCAUAAAAACCUGAGACCUAGUGGGCACAGACACAAGUAGUUGGACAUUGGGAGGAGUAAAAGAACACACUGACACACACCAGCAGACACUGGUAGGCCAUUGAUGGUGGAAAGAUGUGGAUGCCAAGGGGAAUUUGGCCUGGGGCGGUCAGAGGAGAGUCUGGCCACUGGUGGCCUGACUCCAGGGGAAGACCACGUUCCCAAUGCAUUCCUCUUCUGGCUCCCCAUUCACCUCGCUGAGAGCUACCUCCAUCACUCAAUAAAAACUUACACUCAUCCUCCAAACCCAUGUGUGAUCCAAUUUUUCCUGUACACUAGGGCAAGUACUCAGGAUAUGGAAAGCUCUCUGUUCUUGCGAAGAGGCAGAGGGUCUAAUUUAGCUGAUUAACACAAGCUUCCUGCAGUUGGCAAACCUGAAAGAGCACACUGUAACAUGUGCCCACUGGGGCUUCAAUAGCUAUAAACACUCAUCCCUAGAUGGUGUCGUGGGAUCGAAGCCCAAAAAUGCUCCCCACGACUUCUGCAGCUGCCUGUCUGCAUGCUCCUCCUAGGGGUUUGAGUAGUGGGUGGGCACUGAAGAAGAGAGCCACACCACUGUUGCAUGUCCUGUGAGGGGGAUAAGGGAACUUCUCCCACUUCGUUAUGCCCAUCUUGGCUGAAAAAUAAAAUCUAUAUCUAACUUGCUGUUUUCUCUUUGUCACCUAUGUACUUUGUUCUUUUCUAAAUUUUCUUGUUUUGCUGCGUCUUUUUGGAGUAAUGGUGAUUUGAUGUUCUAUUUUAUUGUUUAUUUUGGCUUAUAACCUUUAUCUUUUAUUUCUAUGUUUUUUGUUAUUAUUUAGCAAUAUGUUACGGUUACUGGAAAGGGGUCCUGAUCCAGACCCCAAGAGAGUGUUCUUGGAUCUUGCACAAGAAAGAUUUCAGGGUGAGCCCUUAGAGUAAAGGAAACUAAAUUUAUUAAGAAAGUAAAGGAAUCAACAAUGGCUACAUCAGACAGAGAAGCCCUGAGGGUUGCUGGUUGCCCAUUUUUAUCGUUAUUUCUUGAUUAUGUGCUAAACAAAGAGUGGAUUCUUCAUGCCUCCCUUCUUUAGACCAUAUAGGGUAACUUCCUGAUGUUGCUAUGGUAUUUGUAAACUGUCAUAGCACUAGUGGGAGUAUAGCAAUGAGGACGACCAGAGGUCAUUCUUGUAGCCGUCUAGUUUUGGUCAGCUUCUUUACUGCAACCUGUUUUAGCAGCAAGGUCUUUAUGACCUGUAUCUUGUGCUGACCCCCUAUCUCAUUCUAUUGAAGGGGUGGGUUGCCCCUCCACACCUGUGGGUGUUUCUCGUUAGGUGGAACGAGAGACUUGGAAAAGAAAGAGACACAGAGACAAAGUAUAGAGAAAGAAAAAGGGGCCCAGGGGACUGGCGUUCAGCAUAAGGAGGAUCCACGCCGGCACCGUCCUCUGAGUUCCCUUAGUAUUUAUUGAUCAUUAUCGGGUGUGGCAGGAUAAUAGGAUAAUAGUGGAGAGAAGGUCAGAAGGUAAAGACGUGAACAAAUGUCUCUGCAUCAUAAACAAGGUAAAGAAAAAAGUGCUGUGCUUUUGAUGUGCAUAUACAUAAACAUCUCAAUGCCUUAAGGAGCAGUAUUGCUGCCAGCAUGUCCCACCUCCAGCCCUAAGGUGGUUUUCCCCUAUCUCAGUAGAUGGAAUAUACAAUUGGCUUUACACCGAGACAUUCCAUUGCCCAGAGACGAGCAGGAGACAGAAGCCUUCCUCUUAUCUCAGCUGCAAAGAGGCGCUCCUUCCUCUGUUACUAAUCCUCCUCAGCACAGACCCUUUACGGGUGUCGGGCUGGGGGACGGUCAGGUCUUUCCCUUUCCACGAGGCCAUAUUUCAGACUAUCACAUGGGGAGAAACCUUGGACAAUACCUGGCUUUCCUAGGCAGAGGUCCCUGCGGCCUUCCGCAGUAUUUUAUAUCUCUGGGUACUUGAGAUUAGGGAGUGGUUUGAGAUUAGGGCGUGGUGAUGACUUUUAACAAACAUGCUGCCUUCAAGCAUUUGUUUAACAAAGCACACCCUGCACAGCCCUUAAUGUAUUUAACCCUGAGUUGACAGGGCACAUGUUUCAGGGAGCACACGGUUGGGGGUAGGGUUACAGAUCAACAGCAUCUCAAGGCAGAAGAAUUUUUCUUAGUACAGAACAAAAUGGAGUCUCCUAUGUCUACUUCUUUCUACACAGACACAGUAACAAUCUGAUUUCUCUUUCUUUUCCCCACAUCUGUGACUUAGAAUACCUAAUCUGAGAAUGCAGCCCAGUAGGUUUCAGCUUUAUUUUAACCCAGCUCCUAUUCAAGAUGGAGUUGCUCUGGUUCAAACAUCUCUGACAUUUCCACUUACUUUCUUUCUUAUUCUUUGCCACUGAUUUCAUAUAAUUUACUUCUAUAUGUGGUGACACCCUACAAUAUAUGUUCAUAACUUUGUACUGACAAUUUUCAUUCAACAUAUGUAACUAUGAGAAUCACUUAAAUACUUAACCACAUAGUUACUUUCAUGCGCAUCCGUGUGAAGAGACCACCAAACAGGCUUUGUGUGAGCAAUAAAGCUGUUUAUUUCACCUGGGUGCAGGUGGGCUGAGUCCGAAAAGAGAGUCAGCCAAGGGAGAUAGCGGUGGGGCCAUUUUAUAGGAUUUGGAAAGGUAAUGGAAAAUUACAGUCAAAGGGGGUUGUUCUCUGGUGGGCAGGGGCGGGGGUCACAAGGUGCUCAGUGGGGGAGCUUCUGAGCCAGGAGAAGGAAAUUCACAGGGUUAAUCACUCAGUUAAGGUGGGGCAGGAACAAAUCACAAUGGUGGAAUGUCAUCAGUUAAGGCGGGGCAGGGCCUUUUCACUUCUUUUGUGAUUCUUCAGUUACUUCAGGCCAUCUGGGCAUAUAUGUGCAAGUCACAGGGGAUGCAAUGACCUGGCUUGGGCUCAGAGGCCUGACAUUCCUGCCUUCUUAUAUUAAUAAGAAAAAUAAAACAAAAUAGUGUUGAAGCGUUGGGUCGGCGACAAUUUUUGGGGGGCGGUAUGGAGAGAGAAUGGGCGAUGUUUCUCAGGGCUCCUUCAAGCGGGAUUAGGGGUGGUGUGGGAACCUAGAGUGGGAGAGAUUAAGCUGAAGGAAGAUUUUGUGGUAAGGGGUGAUAUUGUGGGGUUGUUAGAAGAAACAUUUGUCGUAUAGAAUGAUUGGUGAUGGCCUGGAUACGGUUUUGUAUGAAUUGAAAAACUAAAUGGAAUAAGAGAAGGAGAAAAACAGGUAUAAAAGGACUAAGAAUUGGGAGGACCUAGGACAUCUAAUUAGAGAGUGCCUACAGAGCUUCGUCAUAGUCCUGCCAGCAAAGAUUAUUUAUUUACUUCAAGAGUUAAGAGUGGCAGUUUGGGGAUAGCACAAGGAGAUAUCAGCUGUGAUGGCUUGGAGAAACAGUGUAAACCAGCAGUGUAAACAAGAGCAGGGCAUGUAUGAGUAGUUGAGAACGGUGAAUAGGAGUAUGACUAGAGAGAAGAUAGUAGGGAUGACAAGUUAUUUGGGGGCACAGUCUAAGUUGGUCUGGUGUCUGGAAUGAGACUGGGGCCUAAUAAAAAGGAGCAUCUAUACAGGAGCUUAAAUGGGCUGUACCUUGUAGCAUUCUGAGGACAGGUCUGACUUCUGAGAAGGGAAAGUGGUAAAAGUAUUGUCCAGUCCUUUUUAAGUUGGUGGCUGAGCUUGGUGAGGUGUGUUUUUAAUAGACCAUUAGUCUGUCACUGAAUACUAAGAGCCUGAAAAAAUGCUUGGCUGAUUUGACUAAUAAAGGUUGGUCUGUUAUCAGACUGUAUAGAGGUGGGAAGGCUAAACUGAGGAAUUAUGUCUGACAGAAGGGAAGAAAUGACUGCGGUAGCCUUCUCAGACCCUGUAGGAAAGGCCUCUACCUAUCUAGUGAAAGUGUCUACUUAGACUAAGAGGUAUUUUAGUUAUCUGACUCAGGGCAUGUUGAGUAAAGCUAAUUUGCCAGUCCUGGGCAGGGACAAAUCCUCGAGCUUGAUGUGUAGGGAAGGGAGGGGGCCUGAAUAAUCCUUGAGGAGUAGUAGAAUAGCAGAUAGAAUAGCAGAUGGAACACUGAGAAGUUAUUUCCUUGAGGAUAGAUUUCUAUGAUGGAAAGGAAAUGAAAGGUUCUAAGAGGCAGGCUAGUGGCUUGUACUAUAGCAUAGCCUGCCUUUGCUGGUGUAUGGUGAUUAGGCCUGGUGGAACUGCCAUCAGUAAAUCAAGCGUGAUCAGGGUGAGAAGCAGGGAAGAAGGAAAUGUGGGGAAAUGGGAUGAACAUCAGGUGGAUCAGACAGAUGCAGUCAUGAAGAUCAGGUGUGGUAUCUGGAAUAAUGUGGGAGGCUGGAUUGAAGUCCUGGCCAUGAACAAUGGUAAUUGUGGGACUUAACAAAGAGUGAGUACAGCUGAAGGAGCCGGGGAGCAGAAAGUAUAUGCGUCAGGUAUGAGGAAGAAAAUAGAUUUUGGAAGUUAUGAGAAAUGUAGAGAGUGAGUUGAGCAUAGUUUGUGAUUUUGAGGGCCUCUAAAAGUAUUAAAGCAGUGGCAGCCGCUGCAUGCAGACAUGAGGGCUAGGCUAAAACAGUAAGGUCAAGUUGUUUGGACAGAAAGGCUGCAGGGUGCGGUGCUGGCUCUUGUGUAAGAAUUCUGACCGCACUAACCAUGCCUAGGAAGGAAAGGAGUUGUUGUUUUGUAAGGGAUUGAGGUUUGGGAGAUUAAUCGGACACGAUCAGCAGGGAGAGCAUGUGUGUUUUUAUGAGAAUUAUGCCGAGAUAGGUAACAGAUGAGGAUGAAAUUUGGGCUUGACUGAAGUAAUGGGGGCUGUCUGUGAAGCCUUGCGGCAGUACAGCCUUGGUAAUUUGCUGAGCCUAAUGGGUGUCAGGGUCAGUCUAAGUGAAAGCAAGGAGAGGCUGGGAUGAAGGGUGCAAAGGAAUAGUAAAGAAAGCAUGUUUGAGAUCUAGAACAGAAUAAUGGGUAGUAGAGGGAGGUAUUGAGGAUAGGAGAGUAUAUGGGUUUGGCACCACGGGGUGGAUAGGCAAAACAAUUUGGUUGAUAAGGCGCAGAUUCUGAACUAACUUGUAAGUCUUGUCUGGUUUUAGGACAGGUAAAAUGGGGGAAUGGUAAGAAGCGUUUAUAGGCUUUAAAAGGCCAUGCUAUAGCAGGCGAGUGAUAACAGGCUUUAAUCCUUUUAAAGUGUGCUGUGGGAUGGGAUCUUGACAUUGAGCGGGGUAAGGGUGAUUAGGUUUUAAUGAGAUGGUAAGGGGUGCAUGAUCGGUUGCCAAGGAGGGAGUAGAGGUAUCUUAUACUUCUGUGUUAAGGUGGGGGGAUACAAGAGGAGGACGCAAAGUAGGCUUUGGAUUGGGAAGAAGGGUGGCAAUGAGAUAUAGCUGUAGUCCAGGAAUAGUCAGGGAAGCAGAUAAUUUAGUUAAAGUGUCUCAGCCUAAUAAGGGAACUGGGCAAGUGGGGAUAACUAAAAAGGAGUGCUUAAAAGAGUAUUGUCUAAGUUGGCACCAGAGUUGGGGAGUUUUAAGAGGUUUAGAAGCCUGGCCGUCAAUACCCACAACAGUUAUGGAGGCAAGGGAAACAGGCCCUUAAAAAGAAGGUAAUGUGGAAUGGGUAGCCUCUGUAUUAAGAAGGGGACGGGCUUACCUUCCACCGUGAGAGUUACCCAAAUCUCAGCGUCUGUGAUGGGUUAGGGGGCUUCCGAGGUGAUCGGGCAGUGUCAGUCUUCAGCCGCUAAGCCGAGAAGAUCUGGGAAGGAGUCAGUCAGAGAGCCUUGGGCCAGAGUUCCAGGGGCUCUGGGAGUGGCUGCCAGGUGAGAUGAACAGUCCGAUUUUCGGUGGGGUCCCACACAGAUGGGACGUGGCUUAGGAGGAAUACCGUGCUGUGGGCAUUCCUUGGCCCAGUGGCAGAUUUCCAGCAUGUGUAGCAAGCUCCUGGGGGAGGAGGUUCUGGAGGAAUGCCUGGCUGCUGCAGUUCAGGUGUUUGGAAGUUCUUGUGUGCUGGAGAUGUGGCUGAGGUUUGUCUCACAGUGUAGGCAAGGAAUUGCAACUUUUUUCUGUUAUUGCACACCUUGAAGGUGAGGUUAAUUAAGUCCUGUUGUGGGGUUUGAGGGCCAGAUUCCAAUUUUUGGAGUUUUAUUUAAUGUCGGGAGCAGAUUGGGCAAUAAAAUGUAUAUUGAGAAUAAGAUGGCCUUUUGACCUUUUAGGGUCUAGGGCUGUAAAGCGUCUCAGGGUUGCUGCCAAACGAGUCAUGAACUGGGCUGGAUUUUUAUAUUUGAUGAAAAAGAGCCUAGACGCUAUCUGAUUUGGGAUAAAGAAAAAGGAGCAUUAACCUUGACUAUGCCUUUAGCUCCAGCCACCUUUUUAAGAAUAAAUUGCUGGGCAGGUGGGGAAGGGCUAGUCACUGAACGAAACUGUAAGCCAGACCAGGUGUGAGGAGGGGAGGCGAUAAAAAGAUUACAGGGUGGAGGAGCGGAGGCUGAGGAAGAAUUGGGACCUAGCUUGGCCUGGCGAGGAGGGGAGAGGUCAGAUGGGUCUGUAGAAAAGGAAGAUUAGAAAGACUCAGCGAUGCUUGGGGUUGGGACUGAGGGGACAGGUGGGAGGGAAAGAAGGAAGAUUUGGGAUGAGUUGCACUGGGCACAGAGACUAGGAAGGGACUGAUGUGUAAAAGAAUGCCUGGACAUCAGGCACCUCAGACCAUUUGCCCAUUUUACGACAAGAAUUAUUUAGAUCUUGCAGGAUGGAAAAACUGAAAGUGCCAUUUUCCAGCUAUUUGGAACUACUGUCCAGUUUGUAUUGGGGUCAAGCGGCAUUGCAGAAGAAAAAAAGACGCUUAGAUUUCAGGUCAGGUGAGAGCUGAAGAGGUCUGAAGUUCUUAAGAAUACAGGCUAAGGGAGAAGAAGGAGGAAUGGAAGGUGGAAGCUUGCCCAUAGUGAAGGAGGCAAGCCCAGAGAAAAGAGUAGAGACACGGAGAAGGAGUGAGGGUUUGUUGCCUCCCAGAAAAGCAGAGAAAGGGUUGGGGCACAGAAAUAAGGGAUUGGGGCACAGAGAUAAGAGGUCGGGGUGUGGGAAUAACGGAUUGGGGGUUCUUGCCCCCUAGAAAAGCGGGACUUGCUGCUAACGGUGAAGGAGAAGGAGUUGAGGGGUACUUGCCCCUCCCCCAGAAAAGCGGGACUUGCCGCAAAGGGUGAAGGAGAAGGGGUUGAGGGGUACUUGCCCCUCCCCAAGAAAAGCAGAGAAGGGGUAAAGACACGGAGAGAAGGUGUUGGGGUACUUGCCCCUCCCCCAGAAAAGCAGAGAAGGGGUAGAGACACAGAGAGAAAGGGUUGGGGUACUUGCCCCUCCCCCAGAAAAGCAGAGAAGGGAUAGAGACACCAAGAGAAGGGGUUGGGGUACUUGCCCCUCCCCCAGAAAAGCGGGACUUGCCGCUAAGGGUGAAGGAGAAGGGGUUGAGGGGUACUUGCCCCUCCCCCAGAAAAGCAGAGAAGGGGUAGAGACAUGGAGAGAAGGGGUUGGGGUACUUGCCCCUCCCCCAGAAAAGUGGGACUUGCCACUAAGGGUGAAGGACCAAGGCAGGCGUCCCUGCGUGGUCUGACACCUUUGAAACGUGGAUGAAUAAUCAGAAAGGCGUCCCUGCAAUGAUUAAACACCAAGGGAAGGCUGCCUUCCCAGUCCAUGACUGGCGCCAGAGUUUUGGGUCCACGGAUAAAACAUGUCUCCUUUAUCUCUACCAGAAAAUGAAAGGAAUUGAAAUUAAGAGAAGGGAGAGAUUGAAGUGUGGCGCCAAGAUUGAAAGGAGAAAGAAGUUGAGGGAUAGUGAGGGAAGUUGGAGAAGAGAGUAAAAAGAGGCCGCUUACCAGAUUUGAAAUUGGUGAGAUGUUUCUUGGGCUGGUCAGUCUGAGGACCUGAGGUCAUAGGUGGAUCUUUCUCAUGGAGCAAAGAGCAGGAGGAGGGGACUGAUCUCCCAAGGGAGGUCCCCUGAUCCAAGUCACGGCACCAAAUUUCAUGCGCGUCCAUGUGAAGAGACCACCAAACAGGCUUUGUGUGAGCAAUAAAGCUGUUUAUUUCACCUGGGUGCAGGUGGGCUGAGUCUGAAAAGAGAGUCAGCCAAGGGAGAUAGGGGUGGGGCCAUUUUAUAGGAUUUGGGAAGGUAAUGGAAAAUUACAGUCAAAGGGGGUUGUUCUCUGGUGGGCAGGGGCGGGGGUCACAAGGUGCUCAGUGGGGGAGCUUCUGAGCCAGGAGAAGGAAAUUCACAGGGUUAAUCACUCAGUUAAGGUGGGGCAGGAACAAAUCACAAUGGUGGAAUGUCAUCAAUUAAGGCAGGGCAGGGCCUUUUCACUUCUUUUGUGAUUCUUCAGUUACUUCAGGCCAUCUGGGCGUAUACAUGCAAGUCACAGGGGAUGCGAUGGCUUGGCUUGGGCUCAGAGCCCUGACAGUUACCAUUCUUUGGGCUUUUUAUUCCUUUGUGCUGAUCCAAGUUUUCAUCUUUUAUUAUUUUCCUUCAGCCCCCAUUUUUUUUUUUUUACAUUUUUAUAGUUCAGGUUUGCUCACAGUAUAUUAAUUUUCUCAGGCUUUGCAUUGUGCGAUAAAGUCUUCAUUUACUUCAUCUGGAAAACAACUAUCACUCUAUCUAGAAUCUAUCAUUAAUAGGUUUAUUUUUAACCUUACAGAUGCUUUUUCAUUGCUGGCAAGGAUAAUUAAUGAUAAGUAGUCUAGCGAAAUUCUUAUCUUUCUUUCUUUGUAAUGUAUCAUUUUCUCUCAAGGUUAUAACAAAUUAUCUUUAUCACAGGGUUUUAACAACUUAUGUGUGAUGUCUUGUCUCUUGAGGUGAUAUUCUCUGUGUUUAUUGGUCUUGAAUUCAUUGAGAUUUUGAAUCUGUGACACUGUAAUUUUCCUUUGGAUUUUGAAAGCUUUAUUCUUUAUUUCUUCAAAUAGUUUUCUGUUUUGUUGAUUUUCUUGGCACUCCUGUUACAUGCCUGUUAGUCCACUUAACAUUUUUCCAGAGAUCACUGAGGUUGUUUUUGCUGCAAUUUUUUUUUUUUUUUUGAGAUGGAGUCUUGCUCUGCUGCCCAGGCUGGAGUGCAGUGGUGCCAUCUCAGCUCACUGCAAGCUCUGCCUCCCAGGUUCACGCCAUUCUCCUGCCUCAACCUCCCCAGUAGCUGGGACUACAGGCACCCACCACCACGCCAGGCUAUUUUUGUGUUUUUUAGUAGAGACGGGGUUUCACCGUGUUAGCCAGGAUGUUCUCAAUCUCCUGACCUCGUGAUCUGCCCUCCUCAGUCUCCCAAAGUGCUGGGAUUACAGGCGUGAGCCAUCAUGUCCGGCCUUUGCUGUAAUUUUUAUCUCUUCAUUCUAUAUGUGUAAAUUCACUGUUCUUUUUUCUCUAGUGUAUAUAGUAUGUUCUAAAUCUCAUCCAAUGAAUAUUGAAUUUCAUAUAUGUUUUUAUCUUGGGAAGUUCUACUUGGCUUUUUUGAUGUGGUCUAUUUUAUCUCCUUGUGUUAAUGUUAUAUUCAACAUUGUUGAGUGAAUAAAGUAUAUUUAUAAUAGCUUUUUAAGGUUUGUUUCUAUAAUAUGGACUCUGUUUCUAUUUACUGAUUUUCUCUUGCUUUAGGGUCAUACUUUCCUUCUUUUAUUACUAUUGAUUUUUUAUUGAAUAUUGAGCAUUUUGUUUUUUCUAUUUUUGGUGUGUGUAACAGAUUUUAUUAUCCUCCCUAUCCCAAAGAAUGUCCCUAUUUUUUCUGGCAAUCAGCUAACCUACAGUUUACCCAGCUUGAUCCUUUUGUGACUUAUUUUCAACUUUGGUAGAGGAGUUUUAGAGUGGUUUUUAGUUUUUAAGUCUACUUUAAUAUUACUAAAGUCUCACCUGAAUGACAAUCUAGGUCUCUUCUUAAUGACUGAGGAGUUUGAUAAAGAUUCUUCACUCUGCUUUGUUUGAAUGUGAAGGUCACCCAGCUCUGUAUACAUUUCCAAAACUUUGGCUCAUUUAUUCUCAGUUGUUCUUUUCCUGACAUUGUAAAAUUUCUGUAAUGCCUUCAAACAUAGUUUUCUGUAUCACCUAAUUAUGUCCAUAUGAAGAUUCCUGAAGUUUUGUGUAUGAAAAACCACCUCAUUCUCAGCUAUUCAAUUUCUAGCUAUUUCAUCCUCUUCAAAUUCUGAUAUCUAUUUAAUUCAAUAAAACUCACUCGCUUUACUUGGGAUCAUUCUCCUUGUAUGAUGGUCUUGAAGUGCCUCCAAGCAGAAAGCUGGGGUUAAAUGAGCUUUUGUCCAUGAUUUCCCUUGUCCCAGGAACUACAGCAUUGUGACAUCUCAUGUACAAUGUCUGUAACAUGGAUUUUUAUCUUCUGUUCAUUUUGUUUUCUUUUUCCUAUGGGAGGGUAAAUUAGUCACAGUGAAUCUAUCACUUCCAUAAGUCAUUCCAAAUGGUAUCUGAGAUAUCAUGAAGUUUAAGAACUGACAAAAGAUAGAUGAGAAAAAUCUCUUUACUUUUAUGUAUCAGUUUUAGGUAUGUUUCAGAAACUACACACUCAUUAGCUUUACUUUAAUUCAUAAGCAAACAAUUUAGUAUAUGGUAUUAAACUGAUAUUAAUGUAGAUAGAAUGGUAAUCACUAGGAUUAUUUCACUAGGAAUAAAUAAGGAGAAGCAACUCAUUUAGCCAUUGCACUAGUGUUACUGAAAUGGGAGAGUUCCCUAAACCCCUUGUGGGACUUUUAACAGGGGUGUGGCUUGCUUGCUGGGCUGUAACAUGUUCAAACCCCUUACAGGAGAGGGACAUGCAGAUGGGCAGAUGCAGGAGCUGGGGUGAGCGUUUGAGCUCUGGCCCCACAAUAGCAUCUAGGAGUGUGUUACUAUUAAUGCUUUUUUAGCUGACAGCUAAGUGUUAAACCAGAUCAGUGGAUGGCUAAUUUUUAAACCAGUUCACUGGACAGCUAAGUGUUAAACCAGCUCAGUGGAGAGCCAAGGUGACAGCCUUUAACACCCUGCCCUCUUGGUACCCGGGUCCUUGUCCAGCAUCCAGGAAGAAUCAGGUCACUUGGACUUGAAGGUUGGUGAAUAAGGGGAUUUUAUUGAGUGAUGGAGGUGACUUUCAGCAGGAUGGAUGGGGAGCUGGAAAGGGAAUGGAGUGGGAAGAUGAUCUUUACCUGAAGUACGGUCAUCCAACAGCCAAUCUUCUCUAUUUCUGUCCCCAGCCAAACUCCUUGUUCAGAUGCUCCUUCUUUUCUCUCCUUCUCAGCCAUGCCACUCUGCUGCUCUGCCACUCUUCUGCUCUUUGUUCCUCUGUUUUUGGAGCUUGGGAUUUACAUGGGCCCAAGAUAGGGGCGUGGAGGGCCAUAGUGUUCUUGGAAAAGACAACAUUUGGGUGCGAAAACAGAAAUGCCUGUUCUCAUUUAGGGCUGUGGGUUUCCAGACUUGAGAGUGGGCCUUUGCCAGGUAACCACCCUCUUCUACCCAGUAUUUCCCUGCCUCUUGUCUGUAUCAUUAUUAGAUCAGAUUUGUGUGUGUGUGUGUGUGUGUGUGUGUGUGUUUGUAUGUUCUGUAUUUGUAUCAAGGUUUGAGAAAUAAUUUCAUGUUUUGGUUGAGGGUAUGAUGAAACAGUAUGAGAGAGAUGGUGAUUUAUGCUAAGUUAUCCAACUGAAAAUGAAAACAACCUAAGGGAGAAGUUGUUCAUUUUUAAAUGUUUAGUUUUAAACCAUCAGAACUCAGCCAUUUUGUACAGGCAAGUUAAAUGGUCUCCUGGAUUUAGGGUAAUUUUGAGAGGUUCAGGUUUUGUCAGUGUAGAGACAAUCUCCUUUUUUAUCAACAGAUUUUUUUCUCAUUAGAAUCUUAUGUCUUUUGGGCAAGUUGAAAACGCAAUGAGAAAUUUAACUGUAUCCUUUUGUACAUAAAAUAUAUCUUUAUAUGUAAAAUAUUCAUAAUUCUUCUGCAAAUAUCUUUGGUUAAGUGCUUCAGUGGUAAUAGAAUACAGGAUAGAGGACAUCUUAAAUUGAAGAAUUAUUCACAGUGGCCAUUUUCUAAGCAGGUACUCGGUUAAACAACUCUUGUACAUUUUAGAACUAUUCACAAACACACACACACACAACUGAUCUAAUAAUAAUACAGACAAGAGGCAGGAAAAUACAGGGUAGAAGAGGGUGGUUCCCUGGCAAAGGCCCACCCUCAAGCCUGGAAAAUCCCAGCCCUAACUGGGAAGAGGCAUUCCUGUUUUGCGCCCAACUGUUGUCUUUUCCAAGACCACCUUGGCCCUCCACAACUCUAUCUUGUACCCAUAUAAACCCCAAGCUCCAUAAAGAGAGGAACAGAAGAGCAGAAGAGUGGCAGAGAAGUAGAGUGGCAUGGCUGAGAUGGAGAGAAAAGAAGGAGCAACUGAAUGAGAGGAGUUUGGGGACAUAAAGGAGAUUGUCAGCAACUUAAAAUUAAUUAUGUAUAAUUUAAGACUCAUUAUUCACCUUUUUUACUUCUAGUUUCAUUUCUUCUGUUAUAGUCUUCACUCUGAAUUAUUUAAAGUUUGAAUACACUGCUUUUUUCCAAUUAUAUUUAAUCAAGACUGUGGGUGACUGUCUAAAUCUGCUGGCUGUGGUAGAUGAACAAUACUUUGACUGAUAUACUAUUGAUUGCAGUUCUACUUGUGAUUGAUUUUCCCAUUUAAAACUAUCUUUGACUAAUUGAACCUCAACUUUUUUCUCAAAAAUAAACAAGUUAUAGUAUUUAAAUACCUGAAGCGCACUGAAGAAUUGGAUGUCUUUCUAAUUCUUUGUUGGCAUAUGCUAAGACUAUCUUCUUCCAUAUUUUAGCAUGCAAUAUUAAAAAAAUUGGAAAGCAACACAGUGUGUCAGUCUCAAACUCUCUAUGUCACAUAGUACAAAUGUUAAAUUUUAAUGUAUUUUUUUCAAGAAAAUAAAUUGAACACCCAAUAGGUACCAGAAUUCAUGCUAUACCUGUGUUCACUUUCCUCUUGGACUGUGAAAGUCACAUAAGCAGACAUGUAAUGUGUUGUGCUUAAUAAGGACCAUUAUCAUUCCGCAUCCUCAUCUACUUCUGUCUUCUCCUAGACAUCAGCUAGCAUACAAGGCUAAAUAUUGUAUUUCCCAAAUUAUUUUGUAUGUUCUGGUUGUCACUUAGUUUCUGCCAGUGAGAUUUAUUCUUUUAGAGCUGGAAGUGUAAGCUGACAAGCAAAGUCAGAUAUGACCAUUGACAGUCGCUAGUUUCCAUUUCCAGAGUCUAGUCACCAGCUCCAUGACUGUGUGGUGGUUGUGAUGGUUGUAGUAAUAAUGAUGAAAGCAGCAGCAAUUUUCUCAUGCUAGUUUGCAAGAGCAUUGACAUUAAAUCUAAAUGUCAUUUAUUUCUCCAGCAUGUCCAGUGAUUUUGUAAGACUUAAUUAUUCUUACUAAAUUAUCUCUUGUUGAAACACCUGAAGUAAUUUCUGUUUCUUGAGCUGAAUGCUAAUUGACAUAGAUUGUAUAUAUGAUACAAAUAAUGCUUGCGCUGGUAUGUGUGUAUAUGUAUAUGGGCCUGUGUAUGUGUACAGAGUCAGAAAAACCUAGAAUUACCUUCUUGAUUUACUACACACUUCCCGUUUGAACUUGUUGAACCUCAAUUUCCUUAACUUACAAUCUUUAGAAAAUGCUUAUUAUGCCAUAUUAUUAUAAGGAUAAAAUUGUGGAAUAUAUAUAAAAUAUCUCCAACAAGUAACAGCAGUAAAUAAAUUGUGACCAGCAGAAGGGGAGUAGUUAUUAUAAUGACAUGAGAAUUAAAAUUAUGCCUUAUUUUGAUAUCUUGGUUUCUAUAAAAAUUAAUUAUUUUUGUUUGUUCUACAUAUUUUACUCAAUCUUCUAACAUUUAGGAGAUGCAGUAAAUAACAAUAAAAAUACAAAACAGAUGUGUGAUUUUCGUGAGUUCCAAGAUAUCAUUAUGACAGGUAAUAAAUAAACUAAACAUGCAAGCAGAAAAAUGUACUUUAGUAAGUAAACAGAGUUUUGUAAAUGUGUCCACAAAUGGCUUGUGUUGCUAGAAAGUAAAAUCACAUUCAUCUUGGAUAUAACAAUUGAAAUGAAUAUGCACUGAAUUUCAUAGAAAUCAGAGUAGUUUUAGAAAAAUAAUUUCAUUUUAGUUAGAAACUAAUCAAGGCAUAGGUGCUAUUCUGACUAAAUUAAAUUUGUUUAAAUAUUCAGUUUAUAUGUAAAUGUGUUGUUUGAUAAAUGUCAAGAUUUUUCUUAAUUUUAACAAAUCUUUUCAUUAGAAACAAUAUUUUUCUCGAUUUAUAUAAUCUACAUUUUCCUUUACUUUCUCUGAUGAGUUUGAAAGAACACCUGCAUGACUAAAUUCCUUUGAAUUGAUUUUAAUACAAAUAUAAUUUAUAGAAAGCUUUACUUGUUCUUUUAAUCAUUUUGUCUUUCUUUGACAAACCAAAUAAAUGAAAAUAAGAUGACAACUUAAAAAUUAAUUCAACAUCAUUUAAAGUAAAUAUGAAUAUACUUACCUAUAAUGCAAAGAUAUUUUUGUAUGGUGAUUUUUGAACAAAGCAAUUUGAAAACAUUGAGUUCUUAAGUGAUGAAUAAAAUUUACAAGUAUACCAGGAAGAAAAUAUAAUAAAGUGGGUACAAUUUUAAUAAAAACAAGUUUAAUUUAAACUUAUUUCCCUAAUACUUUUAAUAUUGGAAUUUUUGACAAUGUAUUCAAAUUAUGGCAGGAUUUAGAGAAUGUAGGCUCUUCUGUCAUCUACUUUAUCAAAUACUAGUUUCUCAAAAAUGUAUCAUUCAUUUACUGUGAUUAUAUUGCUUUUCUUCUUUCUUUCUUUCUUUCGUUCUUUUUUUGUUUGAUUUUUGAGACAGUCUUGGACUGGAAUGCAGUGGCAUGAUCUUGGCUCAAAGGAACCUCUCCCGGUUCAAGCGAUUCUUGUGCCUCAGCCUCCAGAGUAGCUGGGAUUACAGGCGCCCGCCAUUAUGCCCAGCUAAUUUUUUGUUAUUUUUAGUAGGUACAGGUUUUUGCCAUGUUGGCCAGGCUGAUGUCGAAAUCCUGGGCUCAAUUGAUCCACCUGUCUGGGCCUCCCAAAGUGUUGCGAUUACAGGCAUGAACCACUGCACCCAACCACUGUGAUUGUAUUUUUAGUGCCUUUCUUUAUCCCUUUCAUUCUAUUCCUCAAAGAAAGCGAGGGAGAAAAAAAUGUAUGCUAUUUUUCCAAAGAGAUUAUUGUGAAAAGUUAAACAGAAACUUCUUUAGAGUAGGAAGAUUGAUUCCUCAAAAUUUAUUUCAUGAGGUGGUGGGAGUAGCUCCCCUGAACUGCUGCCUCCAAAGUUGUGACCCACAUAACAUGUCUAGAGUGGUCUGUACACCCAUGGCUUAUGGUGACCAGGUUUUCAUCUGGGGGUUUCUAGGAAGAUGAGGAAUAACUAAGGAAAAAUAAAGAUGAAGAAGACAAAUAUUACCAAUGAUCAAAAAGAACAACAUACACUGAGCUGAUCAAAUUUUAUUAACACAUAGGGCUUAAUAAACAUCUCAAUGUAUAUUUUAACUCACACUUCCAGAAAUUUAUUUUUGUGGUUUUUGUUUUGUUAUUUUACAGGCAAACAAAGUGAAAUUUUAUUUUGUAUAUUGUAUUUCUGUUAUAAUUAAUUUUGGUCAAGAAAAGAGAGAGGCAGUGAUAGAAAUGAGAGAGAGAGAAUAUAAACAGAGAAGGUGGAUAAGAAAAUCUUUAUGUAAAUAAAUGCAUUAUGAGAAAAAUGUAUAGGUACCAUAUAUCUCAGAUUAUGAAAAAACUAGUGUCUUGUUUAUCAUAGUAAAGAGACAACUUGUACCAAAGGUAAGCAAUACAUUUCAAGACAUUUAUAGCUAGUUUUGUUAAACUUUGUAGUAUGUAUAAUUUUCUCUUUAUUAUUUUAUAGAAAAUCUUGUUCUUUUGAUGAAAAUGUUAAAAUUAGAAAUAUUACAGAGCUCAGGAGUUGAGUAUCCUCUGAAUUUUAGUAUUAUUAUAUUCAUUUAAAACUCAAUCCAACAUUUUAUAACACUGUGUUGCAUUAUUGGACACAAAUUCAUGUUAAUUUGAGCUAACAUCUGCAUUUAUUCACUGCGUUUCCAUUCUCUGAAUAGGGCUAUCAUUUGGGUCAUAGCUUAGUCUGAGUUACUUUCCAGUAGUUUCAUAUGUAAACUCAUUUCAGAUAUACAUAGUCACAAUUAGAAAUGUAAAAAUGGGCUCGCAUUUUUAUCAAAAUGCCAUAAGCUUAUAGGUACAGAUAUUUUAGCUCAUGCCCUUGUAAAGUUUUCAAGAAAUAACAUAUAUAUUGCCUGAUUGCUCUUUUGUUUCAACAGUGAUUUUUAUUUUGGGUAAAUAAUGUAAGCAUAUAUACAAAAACCUAUACAAUGGAGAAAAGAUAAGAAAAACAUGAUUCAAAAUCUAAAUGUAAACACAAAUAUGUAUGUGUGUAUAUCACAGGAUAGAAAUUAUUUUAUAAACCUGAGACCAUGACAUCAAUUCAGUUUUUAGUUAAACUGAUUUCAUUUAUCUUUUUUGAGGUUGAUAGAAAAAAGAAAGUAACUGAUUCGUUUAAGUGAAUAAUGAGUAAUUAAGCCAUAAAUAGACACUAGGGAAAUAUAAAUGCAUAUUGCUAAAUCAAAGAAAUCAAUCUGAAAAGGCUGCCAACUCUAUGUUUCCAACUAUCUGAUAUGCCAGGAAAAGAAAAAUAAUGAAGACAGAAAAAAAAACAUUACUUGUCAGAUGUUAGGACAAAGGCAGAAAAGGAUGAACAGGUAAAGGACAACAGACACAGAGUUUUUAGAGCAGUGAAUCUUUUAUUCUUUAUGAUAUUGUAAAGGCGUAUAUAUGUCAUUAUAUUUUUGUGAAACAUAGUUUGAACAGCACAAGUUUGUAUAACACAAAGAGUGAACCCUAAUGUAAAAUACAGACUUCAGUUAAUAAUGAUAGGUCAAUAUUGGCUCCUCAGUUAAAACAAAUGUACCACAUUAAUAUAAAAUCGGGGUAUAUGAAAACUCUUAUACUUGCCAUUAAUUUUGUUUUUCGUAAAGCCCCAACUACUCAAAGUCUGUUAAUUAAAAACUACUGAAGCAACAAUAAACUUCAGGUAAAUGUGUGCUCACAACAAGAUUGAUUAUUAGAUGGCUAUCAUUUUAAAGGUUUUGCAAAAUUCAUGGGCUGUCAAGGAGAAAAAAAGUUGCUUUUUUUCCUUCUCAAAUGUCUUGAAUAGAAAAAAAUAUAUAGAGUUUUAAUAGAAAACAAAUAGACAUGCCAAAAAUUCAUUGCAUUUCCUGGAUCAAUAGCAUCAUAUUACUUUGGGAAGGACAAAAAAUAAAACAUUAAAUGAAAAAAUUAUCUUAAUUAUUAUUUGUCCUAAAGAUGUAAUUAAUAGUAUGGAAAUAUCCUAAAGGGAUGUAUCAGUCAGCUUUCAAUUACAAAAACUGACUGAUACAUUCCUUGAGCCCAGGAGAUUGAUACAGAAAUAAGCCAUGGUUAUGCCACUGCACCUGGGCAAUAAAGCAGACCCCAUCUCUUAAAAAAAAAAAAAAAGAAAAGAAAAGAAAACACAAACCCCUCUAGGUAUUUUAAUCAGAGGGUAUUUAAUACAAAAAUUUGAUUACAUAGGUGACUGAAUAGAUCACUUAUUUGGGAAGUGGAACAAGAUGGCCAAAUAGAACCUUCCAGCUCAUACUUCAUUCUCUUCACUAAGGAAUGCCAAAUUAAACAGCUAUCCCUCCAAGAAAACGCCUUCAUAAGAAUAAAUAAAUCAGGUGAGAAACCACAUACCUGGUUUAAAUAUAAUAUCAAGGGAAUUCGCAUUAAAGAUGAUAGGAAAGACACUUACAUUUUCUACACCACCCCUCCACCAACCCGAGGCAGAGCAGCAUGGAAAGAGAAUCAGUAUGCUCAGGAAGGGAGAGUGAAGUGAGUGUGGGUCUUUGCACUGGAACUCAGUGUUUCCCUGUAACAGCAAAGCACAACACACGACAGAUUUCUACUGGUGUUCGUGGAAGGAACAUUUAGACCAGAUCUUGCCAGAAGAGGAUUCUCCACUCCAGUGGGAGGAAAUUGAUUCCUGGCCAGCUUUACCACCAGCUGAUUAAGGUGCCCACUGGUCCAGAACAAAUUUGAGUGAUAGGCCACAAUAACUGGAGUUUUUGGACAAACACUCAUGCUGCACUGAUCUUGGAGCCAGUGGACUUGGGAUGUGCAUGACCCAGUGCGAUACCAGUUGUGGCAAGAAAAGGGAGUACCCAUGUCAACCCUCACCCAACUCCAGGCAUUGCAACUCCAGGAGAGAUUCCUUCAACUUGAAGGAAGGAAAGGGAAGAGUAGAGAUAAUUUUGUCUUGCCACUUGGGUACCAUCUUAGCAGCAUAAAGCAUCAGGCAGAUUCCCGAAACACCAGGCAGAUUCCUGGAGCCCUUGAUUCUAGGUCUUUGCUCCUAGACAGCAUUCCUAGACCCACACUGGGCCAGAAGGAAAUCUGCUGUCUUGAAGAGAUAGACCUGGUUCUUGCAGGAUUUACUAGCUUCUGACUGAAAUAACCUUGGGCCUUGAAUAAACAUCAGUGUUAGCCAGGCAGUAGUGGCCAUGGGCCUUGGUCAAGCCCCAGUACUGUGCUGGUCUACAAGGCUUCAGGUAUGAUCCUAUACAGUGUCAGCUAUGGUAGCUAUGGGUAAGCCCAUGUCACCAUUCCCCUAACUCCAGGCAGCCCAGUAUGGAUAGAGACUCCUGAUUAGGGAUAAAAGAAGAAAGGGAGAGACUUUUACUGGUAACUCAGGAAGUUCUUAUCUUACUCAAGUUCACCAAGCCUGUAUUUCGAAGAGUCUGCAAGAAAUGCAGCAUUCCUGGGCUUAGGGUGACCCUAGUGCUGAAUUAGUUGCAGGGACCACAGGAUUUGGUAACAACACUCAAUCCCCUUUAAAUUUGUGAAAAGCCUUUUCAAAAAAUAGGUACAAACAAGUCUAGACUGCAAAAAUAUGAAUCAACACCCAACUCUUCAAUGUUCAGACAUAGACAAAUACCAAAGCACCAUGAAUAUCGAAAAAAAAAUGACCUCACCAAAGUGACAAAUCUUAGAGUGACAGAGACAUCUGAUCUUUCAGACAGGAAAUUCAAAAUAGCUGUCUUGAAGAAGCUUAACAAAGUUCAAGAUAACACAGAGAAAUAAUUCAGAUUUCUAUCAGAGAAAGUUCACAAGGAGAUUGAAAUAAUAGAAAAAAGAAAAAAUUCUGGAGCUUAAAAAAUAAUUUGACAAACUGAAAAAUGCUUCAGAGUCUCUCAACUGCAGAAUUGAUCAAGCAAAAGGAAUAAUUAGUGAAUUCGAAGACAGGCUAUACAAAAUACGUGGUCAGAGUAGAAGAAAGAAAAAAGGAUUAAAAAAUGAAGCACACACACAAGAUAUAGAAAACAGUAUCUAAAGGAAAAAUCUAGGAGUUAUUGGCAUUAAAGGGAUGUACAGAGAGAGAUUAGAGUAGAAAGUUUAUUCAGAGAAAUAAUUACAGAGAACUUUGCAAACUUAGAGAAAGAUAACAACAUCCAGGUACAAUAAAGUAAAAGAAAAGAAAGCAGAUUCAACACAAAUAAGACUGCAUGAAGGCAUACAAUAAUCACUCAAAGGUCAAUGAUAAAGAAAUGACCCUAAAAGCAGCAGGAGCAAAGAAACAAACAAAAAACAUAUAAAGGAGUUAUGAUGUCUGGCAGUAGACUUUUCAGCAGAAACUCUACAGGUUUGAAGAAAAUAGGAUGACGUAUUUGAAACGCUGUAGGGAAAUAAUUUCCAAUGCAGAAUAUUACAUCAAGCAAAAUUAUACUUCAAACAUAAAGGAGAAAUAAAAACGCCCCUAGAAAAAUAAAAAUAAAAGCUGAGAAAAGACCUAUCUUACAAAAAAAUAAUAAAGGGAGUUCUUCAAUCUGAAUGAAAAGGAUGUUAAUGAGCAACAGGAAAUCACCUGAAAGCAUAAAACUCAGUAGUAACAGUAAGAACACAGACAAAUAUAAAGUACUCUAACACUGUAAUUGCAGUAUUUAAGACUUUCAUAUUGUUAGUGGGAAGUUAAAAAGCAAACCUAUCAAAAUAAUAACUAAAACAUAUUUUUAAAAGAAAGACAGCAUAAAAAGAUGUAAAUACAGACAACACAAUGUCAAAAGGCAGGGUUGAAGGGGAUGGGGUUAAAGAGUAGAGGUUUUUAUCUUUGCUUGUUUUUUUUUUUUCUUUUCUUUGUAAUCAGAGUUAAGUUGCCAUUAGUUUGAAAUAAUAGGUUUUAUUAUUUGUAACCCUUAUGGCAAACACAAAACAAAAAACAAGAAAUUAAACGUAUCAACAGAGAAAAUUACUCUUACUCAAAGAACAUAAGAAACAAGGAGAAAAGAAAGAACCAAUAAAAUAACCAGAAAAAAAUACUAAAAUGGUAGAAGUAAGUCCUUACCUAUCAAUGACAUUGAAUGAAAAUGGUCUAAAUUAUCCACUCAAAAGAGAUAGAAUGGCUGAAUGGAUUAAAAAACAGAAUUCAACAACAUGAUACCUACAAGAAACUCACUUCACCAAUAAAAACACAUGGACUGAAAAUAAAGUGAUGGAAAAAGUUAUUCUAUGCAAACAAAAACCAGAAAUUCACAGGAGUAACUCUACUUAGAUAAAAUAGAUGUCAAAUCAAAAAUUGUAAAACGAGCAAGAAGGUCAUUAUUAAAAGGGUCAAUUCAGCCAGAUGAUAUAAUGAUUGAAAAUAUAUGCACUCAAUGCUGGAGCAUGCAGAUAAAUAAAGCAAAUAUCGUUAGAGCUAAAGAGACAUAGACCCUCAUACAGUAAUAGCUGGGGACUUUAACAUCAUAUUUUCAGCAUUGCACAGAUCAUCUAGACAGAAAGUCAACAAAGAAACAUGAAACUCUGUAGUAUAGAUUACAUGGAUUUAAUGAAUAGUGGUAACAUUGUAUGCAACAUAUUCUUUUACUGCAGAAUAUAUUACAUUCUUCUCCUAAGCACAUAGAAAUUUAUCAGCACUUCCAAGGAUAGACUAUGUGUUAGGCCUACAAAAUAAGUCUCAAAAAUAAAAAUAAAAAUAUUAUAUCAAGUAUCUUUUCUGACCAAGAUGGAAUAAAACUAAAAUUAAACAACAAGAGGAACUUUGGAAGCUAUACAAACUCAUAUAAAUUAAACAAUAUGUUCCUGAAUGACCACUGGGGUCAAUGACAAAAUUAAAAGAAAAUUUUAAUAAUAUCUGAAGCAAAUAGAAAACAACACACCAAAACCUAGGGGACACUGCAAAGGCAGUACUAAAAGGGAAGUUUACAUUAAUAAAGGCCUACAUCAAAAAAGUAGAAAAACUUUAAAUAAAAUACCUACUAAUGCAUCUUAAAGAACUAGCAAAGCAAGAACAAACAAAACUCAAAAUUAUUAGAAGAAACUAAAUAAUAAAGACCAGACAAGAAAUAAAUGAAAUUCAGACUAAAAAGUAAUACAAAAGAUCAACAAAAUGAAAAGUUGUUUUAAAAAAGAGCAACAAAAUUGAUAAACCAUUAACCAAACAGAAAUGAACAAGACUCAAAUAAAAUCAUAGAUCAAAAAGGAGACAUUACAAAUGGUACUACAGAAAUUCAAAGGAUUAUUAGUAGUUUCUCUAGGCAAUUAUAUGCCAAUAAGUUGAAAAACCUAGAAGAAAUGACUUUGGAGUCUCUCAACUGCAGAAUUGAUCAAGCAAAAGGAAUAAUUGCUGAAUUCGAAGACAGGCUAUACAAAAUACAUGGUCAGAGUAGAAGAAAGAAAAAAGGAUUAAAAAAAUGAAACACACAUACAAGAUAUAGAAAAUAGUAUCUAAAGGAAACUAAAGGUUUUCUUUAGUUUCUUUAGGAAAAUAAAGAUUUUCUAAAGGUUUUCAUCAUUUUAUGUGACUAGAAAUGACUAGAUACAUAAACCUUCUAAAAUUCAACCAUGAAGAUAUCUAAAACCUGAAUAGCCCAAUAACAAAUAAUGAGAUAGAAGCAGUAAUAAAAAAUCUCAUCAAAAAAAGCAUCUUAUCUCACCACAUUCCUUCACUGACGACUUCUAUCAAAUAUUUAAAGAAGAACUGACACCAAUUCUACUCUUCAAAUUAUUCCAAAUAGUCGAGGAGAAGAGAGUACUUCUAUAUUAAUUCUAUAAAACAAGUAUUACCUUGAUAGCAAAACCAGACAAGGACACAACCAAGAAAGAAAACUACAGGCAAAUAUCUCUGAUAAACAUAGAUGCAAAAAUCCUCAACAAAAUCCUAGCAAAUUGAAUUCAACAAUAAAUUAAAACAUCAUUUAUCAUGAUCAAGUGGGAUUUAGUCCAGGGUUGCAAGGAUGGCUCAAUGUAUGCAAAUCAAUAACAUUAAAGGAUCAUUCAUCAAAAUUAAGUAGGCUUUAUUUCAGGGAUGCAAAAAUGGCUCAAUAUACAUAAAACAAUAAAUGUGAUACAUUAUACUAUCAGAAUGAAGGAUAAAAGCCAUAUGAUCAUCUCAAUAGGUGCCAAAAAAGCAUUUGAUUAAAUUCAACAUCCCUUUAUGAUAAAAACCUCUCAAAAAUUGGUUUUGGAAGGUGAAAACCUCAACACCAUAAAAGCCACGUAAGAUAAACCCACAGACAGUAUCAUACGGAAUGGAGAAAAAAUGAAAGCCUUUCUCUGAGAUCUGGAAUAAGAUAAAGAUGCCCAUUUUUACUGCUUAUAUUCAACAUGUUACUAGAAGACCUAGCAAUUAAACAAUUGAAGGAAAUAAAGGGCAUCCAUUCAUGAGAAACCACCCCCAUGAUCCAAUUACCUAUCACCAGGCCCCACCUCCAACACUGGGGAUUAUAGUUCUACAUGAAAUUUCAGCAGGGACACAGAUCCAAACCAUACCAAAACCAAAAAUCAAUGAUUUCAAAACAAAACAAAACAAAAAUCAAAAUUAAUUUUAAAAAUCAAUGGUUUUUUGAAAGAUCAAUAGAAUCGAAAAUCACCUAGUAAGACUGAUAAAGAAUAAAAAGGGAAAAUAUAAAUUACCAAUAUCAGAAAUGAAACAGGACAUUUCUACAAACAAUGCAAACAUUGAAUGGAGAAUAAGGAAAUGAUACAGAAAAUCCUACAUACAUAAAGUUGACAAUAUAUAUAAAAUGAACCAAUUCUUUUAAAAAAUACAAACUACCACAGUUUAUCAAAUAUCAAAUAGAUAAUUAUAUCCCUGGAACUAUUAAGAAAAUUGAAUUCACAAUUUAAAGUUCUCAUAAAGUAAAUCUCCAUGUUCAAAUUAUUUGAGUUGAGAAUUCUACGAACUCUUUAAAGAAGUAAGCAAUUCAACACAGGCUAUUUCAGAAAAAGAAAAAGAGGAAACAUUUCUAAAUUUAUUUUAUGACCCUAGUCUUACCAUGAUUCCAAAACCAUACAAGGACAAUACAAACAUAAGGCAAUGCCAGGCCAAUAUCUCUCAUGAAUAUAAACAUAAAAAUCCUCGACACAAUGGUGGAGCAAAAAUAAUUCAGCAGUAUAGGAAAGAAUUUUGUACUACGAUUGAGUGAAGUUUUUUCCCAGAGAUGCAAGCCUAGUAUGACGUUUGAAACUUAAUCAAAGUAAUCCACCAUAUUAUCAAGCUCAAGAAGAAAAAAAACCACAAGAUCACAUUAAUCGAUAUAGGAAAAGCAUCUCACAAUAUCCAACAUUCCAUUAUAAUAACAACUUUCAGAAAAAUAGAAAUAGAGGGAACUGUCCCCAUUUACAUCAAGUAUAUUUACAAAAAUCCUAAAGCUAACAUCCUCUUCUUAUUUGACAAAGGUUGUCCAGAAUAUACAAAAAAUAAACUCUCAGAACUAAACAGUAAGGAAAUAAAAAUCCUAUUAGAAAACGUGCAAAAGACAUAGACCUACAUUUCACUGAAGAGGAUAUAGUUUCAUAAGCAAAUGAAAAUAUUUUUACUUUCAUUAUCCAUUGGAGCAAUCAGAUUUAAGCCUCAAUGAGAUAUUGCUACACGCUUAUCAGAAUCGCUAAUUGUUUUUUAUGUGAUAACACCAAAUGUGGACAAGGAUUUGGAGGAACUGGAUUAUUUACAAAAUGUUGGUGGGAAUUUGAAUGUAAAAUGCUACAAUCAUUCUGAAAAACAGUUUGACAUUUUCUAAGACAAACUAAACAUUCAACUACCAUAUAACUCACCAAUUGCUGUCUUGAGCAUUUAUCCAGAAGAAACAAAGACACGUGUUUCACACAAAAACCUAUAGAGGAAUGCACAUAGCAACCUUGUUUAUGGUAGCUAAGAACAGGAAACAAUACAGAUGUAUUUCAAUGCAUGAAUUGUUAAACUUUUGUGCAUUUAUACCACUAAAUACUACUACAACAACCUACCUGAAUCUCCAGAAAAUUGUUCUUAGUGAAAAAACUAAUUCCCAAAAGUUGCAUACUGUAUGAUUCCAUUAAUGUAACAUUAUUCAUAUGACAAACUUACAGAAAAGGCAAAGGGAGCCAGCCCCUCCACACCUGUGGGUAUUUCUUGUCAGGUGGGACAAGAGACUGAGAAAAGAAAUAAGACACAGAGACAAAGUAUAGAGAAAGAACAGUGGGCCCAGGGGACUAGUGCUCAGCAUAGGGAGGACCCACACUGGCACCGGUCUCUGAUUUCCCUCAGUAUUUAUUGAUUACUAUUUUUACUAUCUCAGCAAGGGGAAUGCGGCAGGAGAGCAGGGUGAUAGUGGGGAGAAGGUAAGCAAGAAAACAUGUGAGCAAAGGAAUCUGUGUCACAAAUAAGUUCAAGGGAAGGUACUAUGCCUAGAUGUGCACAUAGGCCAGAUUUUUGCUUUUCUUCACCCAAACAUCUCAGUGGAGUAAAGAGUAACAAAGCAGUAUUGCUGCCAACAUGUCUCGCCUCCCGCCACAUGGUGGUUUUUGAGGAUACAAACAAAUGGAAGAACAUUCCAUACUCAUGGGUAGGAAGAAUCAAUAUCGUGGAAAUGGUCAUGCUGCCCGAGGUAAUUUAUAGAUUCAAUGCCAUCCCCAUCAAGCUACCAAUGACUUUCUUCACAGAAUUGGAAAAACUAAAGUUCAUAUGGAACCAAAAAAGAGCCCGCAUUGCCAAGUCAAUCCUAAGCCAAAAGAACAAAGCCGGAGGCAUCACACUACCUGACUUCAAACUAUACUACAAGGCUACAGUAACCAAAACAGCAUGGUACUGGUACCAAAACAGAGAUAUAGACCAAUGGAACAGGACAGAGCCCUCAGAAAUGAUGCCGCAUAUCUACAACCAUCUGAUCUUUGACAAACUUGACAAAAACAAGAAACGGGGAAAGGAUUCCCUAUUUAAUAAAUGGUGCUGGGAAAACUGGCUAGCCAUAAGUAGAAAGCUGAAACUGGAUCACUUCUUUACACCUUAUACAAAAAUUAAUUCAAGAUGGAUUAAAGACUUAAAUAUUAGAUCUAAAACCAUAAAAACCCUAGAAGAAAACCUAGGCAACACCAUUCAGGACACAGGCAUGGGCAAGGACUUCAUGUCUAAAACCAAAAGCAAUGGCAACAAAAGCCAGAAUUGACAAAUGGGAUCUAAUUAAACUAAAGAGCUACUGCACAGCAAAAGAAACUGCCAUCAGAGUGAACAGGCAGCCUACAGAGUGGAGAAAAUUUUUGCAAUCUACUCAUCUGACAAAGGGCUAAUAUCCAGAAUCUACAAUGAACUCCAACAAAUUUACAAGAAAAAAACAAACAACCCCAUCAAAAAGUGGGCAAAGGAUAUGAACAGACACUUCUCAAAAGAAGAUAUUUAUGCAGCCAACACACACAUGAAAAAAUGCUCAUCAACACUGGCCAUCAGAGAAAUGCAAAUCAAAACCACAGUGAGAUACCAUC